AAAACAAAAGGUUGCUUGGAUCAUUGAAGGUUCUUAAUUUAAGUUCCUGUAAACAACUUUGUAGUCUUGGUGACUUUAACCAAUUCCCAGCUCUCGAGAGGUUAAUAGUUAGAAAUUGCACUCGUUUGCUUGAGGUUAGUGAAUCAAUUGAGCAGUGUGUUGAACUUGCCCUCAUCGAUCUAAGCUACUGCAAGCAGCUUAAAAACCUUCCAAGAAUCAUAGGCAUGCUAAAGAAAGUUAAAACAAUGUUGCUAGAUGGUUGUAAUCUGGGUGAAUCUCAAACUGAGGAUACAAAUUUAGAUAUGGAUUCACUGGACAUGUGCAAUGCUAACAAAAACAUUAGCAUAAGCACAAGAACCUCUUUCUCCACCUUUGUGGGUGCUAUACCAAGCCGUUUGAAGUUUUUUUCAAGUUCUUUGCCAAGAUCUCUAGUAAGGUUGUCCCUUGUAAAUAAUAAUUUGUCCACUGAAUCCUUUCCUAUGGAUUUUAGUAGUCUGUCCUUGUUAAAGGAAUUAUAUUUAGAUGGAAAUCCUAUCCAUUCCAUGCCCAAUUGUGUGAGAACCCUUCAUAGGGUUGAGAUACUUAGUAUGCUAAACUGUAAUAAAUUGAAGUUGGUCGAACAUCCUCCACACACACUAAAAAUCUUGCUCUAUUCUGAUCGCGAGUCUUUAGAAAAAGUUGUAUUUGAUCCCAAAAUGUCUCCCCUCAUGUUAUUUUAUUUUCCAAGAAGUUACACCCCUAGGUCGUAUGAAAUUGAAGGCAUGGUGAAAAUCCAGACAAUGGUGGGUGUUGAGGAAAAGGUAUUACGUAGCUUGGGCUGGAUUAAUUUACUCCAUAACAAAAGGAAUGUGGGAAAUAAUCCUACGGAAUCUGGAAUGCAGGUUUUGUCAAGUUAACUGUCUUUCUUUAUUUGACUACAUAAAAUACUAUAAUAUAAUCAUUUAAUUUAGAUGUUUGUAUUUGGCAGAUGUUAUAUGAAUUUGGAAUAUUCAGCACAACAUAUGACGCAGAGGAGAUGCCGAGUUGGUUUAUUCAUAGAAGCGCAGGGCCAUCGAUUUCAUUUACAAUCCCAUCAUCAUCUCCAAAUAAUCUCCUUAAAGGAAUCAACUUCUGCUUUCUGCAGACAAUGAGAGUUUUGUAUGAGUUGCCUGUAAGUCUACAUGAUCAUUUCCGCAUUACACCGAUGAUCACAGUUAGUAAUAUAACAAAGAACCGCAUGUGGAUAUACGAACCUCUCUGGGACAGAUACUUUGUAGAUAAAAAGUGUAGGGUGGUGUUAAGUCAUUGGAUGUUAGGGAUGAAUGAGAUGGAGCCUGGUGACCACAUUACUGUUACUGUUACAGAGCCAUCUUAUGAACUUACAAAGGAGUGUGGUGUGAGUCUUGUGUAUGAGGAUGAUGGAGAGAAGAAGGAUGAAGAAGAUGUGUUGGGUUAUUACAAGUCAUGGAAUCACAUAAUUGGUGGAGAUCUCUCUCCUUUUCAGACAACUACAGGACAAUUCAUCCUAAGAAACCAGCAGUUUGUUACAUGUGGCUUAUGUAUAAUGACCCAUUUAUUUUAACAGAUAACUUAAAUCUUUUAAACAACUGGAUCAUAUAUACUAUUGAUUUUAUUGACCCAUAAGAUAAGAUGUUGUUUUAUAAAAAUAUUAAAGAUAANUAUAUAUAUAUAUAUAUAUUAUUGAUUUUAUUGACCCAUAAGAUAAGAUUUUGUUUUUAUAGUAAAAAAUAAAAGUUGUACUUUUAAUUUAUAAAAUGAAUAGAUGCAAGCAUUGAUUCAGAAACGGGGACAGUUUUGGUCCCAGGGGUAUUUUGGGAAAACUUUCCUAAUUUAAAGUUUUGAGUUAGUUUAGGAUUCCAAUUAGUUUAGUAUAAAUAGGGUAUGGUUGUGUGACAUUUUUAAUUAAGUUUUUUUUCAGUAAUAAAAUAUGGAGAACAAGUAAUUUUCCCAGAUUUCUUCCUCCCCUGUUUCGCUCAUGCUCUGUUUCUUUUCUGCACACAGUUGAAGUUUCCAUUCUGUCAUAAUCAAGUGAAUUGAUUCUUGUGUUAAGUUCAUUUUCAAGAGAAUUAAGCGAAUUAAUUCCUUCAUCACUUUCCAUAAAUAGAUGGAUAAUGACCCAUUUAUUUUAAUACAUAUGUCAUAACUUAAAUCUUUUAAACAGGAUCAUAUAUACGAUUGAUUUUAUUGACCCAUAAGAUAAGAUUUUUGGUUUGGUAUGGUGUGGUGGCAUCCAUUAUACCCUACCCUGAGGAGUAUUUAAACUUUUCAUUUUCUAGAUGAUUGUCAGCUAAGAAAAUUCUAGUAGCAAAAAGUAUUUGAGAGGCCCUUCCUCUUGAAAGAAUGGGAAAACCCUAUUAUUUAUAUAAUUCAUUAUCAGUUAGUUGUUUCUGGUUGUGAAUUUCCUGCUUAUUCUCUUUACUCCGUGUGGGGCUUAUCAGCACACUCAAUUGAUUAAGUCUUUCGAUAUGUUGGAUCACAUAAAUAUAUAUGGACCCAAUACGUAUGACUACUUUGUCCAAGUAGGUUGUUUGUGAACAAUGAUUAACAUAUCACUUUUAAUCUAUUUUCAGUAUGAAAGGAAAAGUUUUGGUUCAGAGCUUUAUCCCUAAGGAAGCUUGACAUAAGUCGUCGCGCACAUGAGGUAUACUUUUUGACACCCAAACCUUUUCUCUCAUCGCGUAAACAAAAGGAAUACACAACCGAAUAUUAGGAAUCAAAGCUCUCAAUUCGUUUAGGGUGUAACAAAAUAAGGGAGUUAUAACCUUUCAUUGAAUGCAUUGAAGUGGAAAUAUUAAAAUUUGGAAUCAUUGAAUACUACAAAUAUCUGUUCAUACCAUGUCUAAACACUAAGGGUCAAAAUCUAGGAUUGAAUUCUCACCACUCUCUGUCACAGUGUAAUAUGCAAUUGAGACCAAUUCAUAGAUUAAUAAUUUUCAGUAGAUGUUGUUCUUGGGUAAAUUCUAUGUUAAUAACAAACUAUUACACUUUGGAAGACAAUAUGAAAUUGUGUAAGCAUAUUGCUUGAUUUUAAGGAAUCUUAUUGAUAGAUUCAUUCUUAGGAUAGAACCAAGCAACAUGUUGAGAAUGCUUAAAUUGCUUCAAGAAUUUGGAAGAGAUGUGUCACCAGGACUCAUUAAUUCUGUUGAAUCAAGAAAAUGUAACAUAAUAUAUACGCUUCCAAGUAACUAUCUGUUUUCAUAACAUUUUGUGUUGUAUCCUGUAUAAUAUAUAACUUUUAAAAUUUUCUUACUUUUCGUUUCUAUGUAGGGUGAGGGGGGAUCUUCAAGGUCUCAUCCUUCACAUGAAAAGGAUUGAGAAAGUGAGGCUACAUGACUGGCAUGAGUUGAAAAUAGAUGCAAUGGGAAAAUGGGUAGCCUGAUGCUAUUGCAAACUCAAUCGUCUAUGACCUACUUUUCCAGAAGUAUUAAGAUAAUAUAUACCAGCCUCUACUACAAAAUUGAACACAUUUGGAAUUGUAUGUUAUUUCCCCAUGAUUCUUUUAAGCAUAGGUAUCAAAAUUAAACACUUCUUGAAUUGUGUGCUAUUUCUUGAUCAUAAUUUGAGCUGAAAUCUUGACCAUUGCCUUAUCAACAAUGUCUAUCGUGUCUAUGGACUCAAAAGCUCAAAUCCUUGAUAGGAUUCUAUAAUUUAUUUGGAUACUAUGUAAAAUUCGCUUGCUUCACCUUAAUAUUUUAAGACUCCGAUUCUGAAAGAUGAGAAUUCUUGUAUCAUUUGUUUUUUUAAUUUUAGAAGCAACAAUUUUAAUUAGGUCGCCCCUUUUUCUCCACAUCACGAGACAGGAUAGUAAUAGUAUCACAUAUUAAUUUAUAUAUCUUAUCUUUACCGUCCUCUAUAUCUUUAUUGUUACUCUUCUUGUUGUCAAAAGAAUAUCAUAUUCUCAUUUAUUUUCAUUUUCCAUCUCAUCUUGAUAUUCUAUCAAGUUAUGAGUAGUGUUUUUGCAACAAAGUUAGACUCCAAAAUAUGGUCAUUUGAGGCUGAAAAUAGAUCAUCUACAUCAAGUCAUCACUUAUCAGUGGUCUUUUUGACCACUCUCCUUUAGUGUUUUUUUCAUGUCCCCAGUGUCCUUAUUAACAACUUGAAUAUCACAUAACCCCUAGCCUGAUUUCACCUCUAUAUGAGCUAAAACAAACCGGUUCAUCUCCUUACCAACAUCUUGAUUACCAUUGAAGCCAUUAGAGUUGGUCAUAAUUACCAUUCACACUUGCAUUAGUAACCUUGUUUUCGGUAUCCACAUUGGAGAUACAAGGAGUAGAGGCUUUAAUUACCUCAUUUGCAACAGCUAUAGUAUGCAACUCCAUCAUAAAAAUAAAUAAAUAAAUAAAUCAUGUUCCCAGUAAUGUAUUGAAACAAAUGAACUCAUAUUCGUUUCUUCAUGAUACUCAACACUUCUAUCGCUUCUGUUGACUAAGUAAGGUUCUUUUUAUUAGUCUUCAUGCACACUUUGCCUCCUAACCUCUAUUUUUUCGAUCUCUAACCACACAACCUGUCAUCUACCACUGAAUAAUGCAUCCCGAAACCUUUCUGAUUAACAACUGCCACAGCUCCUUCUCGUUCAUAGAGUUGGGGAAAUUAGAAAAAUGAAAAGUAUAACAAAAUAUGAUCCAUUGAUUUACACGAUCUACUAAACUUCCUUCCUUCUCUUAAUUGAUCGAUCUUUGUAGAAGAAAUUUGCCAUCCUCCCUCCUGGUUGCACUGUUUCUUACCUGAUUGAAAUCUUUUCAUAAAGAUUCCCCUGUUAUUGGAUUGAAGAAAGCUCACUCAUACUCCUAAUAACACCUAUCAAAUUCCCCUGAAGCAAUCUGGUAAGCCUCCUGAUGAAACAUGAAACUUCUGUAUAUAUAACUUCCUCUUUCCAACAGAAUUAGCCAUAGAAACACAGUAGUCCUACGUAUUGGGUACAGAAACGAUUGAAAUAAUAUUAAAACUGGAAUUNNNNNNNNNNNNNNNNNNNUAAUAGGAGACACUGAAAAUGGUGUGCUAUAAUAAACAAAUCAAUGAAACACGUUGCUAUUUCUUGCAUUUAAACCUUAAGAGUCAGUCAAAGAUGGUAUUCAUGAGCAUUCAAACCUUGAAAAUGAAUCAAAGCACGCAUAUAGGCACACAAGUCCCUGGUCUAUUGCAUAGAAUCUGUGAAAAGAAUUUAGCAUGCUCUUCAAAGUUAUUGAAACAAAGAAACAAACAAGACUAAAUUACAAAAAUCGUCUCUAUGUUAUAUUACUUUUUAUGCGUAUGGUCAAGUCGAUGGAUUUAAUGGACGGGCAACCAGGGACUAAAAGUGUGACCAAAUGUUGGUUUAGGGAUGGAAAAGGUAAAUGAUGAAACUAUCAGACCAUAUCGAUCGCAUUUUCAACUUAUUUUGUUAUUAGGACAUAAUACUUUGAAGAAUCUAUCCAAUUAUAAUAGUGAAACUUGCAUUGUAUCGGGAUGAUAUUGCUACAAUUAAUAGGUUUUCAAAGUAUAUUGCGGUAAUACGCAUGAAUGAAAUUAGGAUGCUAUUAGAAAACAGAUCAAAAUUUUGUUUCUUAGAUUUAGCCCUAAUUAGUAAAAUGAAAAACUUGAAUUGUUUGAGAUAUAAACAAGAUACAAAUUACACAUACUCGACAUUUUAAAAUGAACAGGUUACAACACAUUAAAUAACAAUGUGAUAUGCAUUUAUACCACUUAUCAAUUGGUGAGUCCUCAAAGACACAUUCUUUCUGAACAUCAAUGCUAUAACUAACUGUUACAUUUUUCAAAGUAAAAUGCCCUAAGAAAGAAACGGAAGUACCUUGCUAUCAUCAUAAAACCAAAGUCAUUUGAAGUUGCUAAAAGGUUUGGUAUGUAUAAAUAGUCCCGUGCUUCAUUAGAAGAAUUGGAACUUACCAGUGGAUUUACAAGAAGGAAUUGAGAUUAUAGAAAACAUUACAUAAAUAGUCCCAUGCAUCAUUGGAAGUCAUAUAUAGGUUAAAUCAUUAACUUUUUUCCUUGAUGAAAAUGGUCUUUGUGGUUUCAAUUCCUUACAUGGUUUGUUUCUAAUCCAUAUAAAAUGAUAUCUAUAUAUACCAUUUUAAUAGAUUUAUCUUUUUUUUUUUACUUAAUUUUAUUUUUUAAUAUGUUAACAUUGAGGGACCCACCAUACCAAACAGUUCACACACCUAUGUUCACCAGAAAGAUUACCAAAGUUAUAUUCAAGCUUAGAAAAUUACAAGAAAUUAAGGUUGUAUACAACAGUAAGAAUAAAAAAAAAAACUCCAACAAGAAAGAAACUAUCUCUUUUCUGAUCAUUUUGAGGUCUCUAAAAAUCUGAAAGCUGCAUAACUUUCAGAUUAUUGGGUUCAUCGGUAACAGAAUAUCUAAAAUUUGUUGUAGAAUAAUUUGUAUCACAAUAAAAGUGGUGCAUCAAGUUGCAGGUAUAAUUAUCUUAUUCCACUUACUAAAAGCAUGGAAAUGGAAUAUUUGGUUUAUAAAAAGAGUCCCAGAAGAAUAUACUAUAUAGCUCAGAUAAAAAUCUCCCCAAUCACCUGGAUAGACAAUACCAUAUGAACCAAUGUAAAAAACAGCAUAAGCAUUUCAUCAAAUACCUUGACUACGUGAUGUAAGAUGACCACAUUCGCCAAAAAAACACAAUGAAAGAAGGAAAAUUUUAGGAACAUAAUCAAGUAUAACAUUCUAAAGAUUGAGAACUGAAUUAAAAAAACAUCAUCAUAAUAAUAAUAAUGAAAUAAACCAAAACAAAGACAAUGUAACUUGAAAGAUUUAUAUAAAGCUCUGUUAUAUCUACUGACGGAAUAAGAAAUUGAGGAGGAGGAUGAUGGAAGUACAAGAUCUAACCAUGACAAAUGAACAAUGAGCGUUGGUUUGGAGAUGUUUCUGUCUAAUUUCCAAUACGGGUGAUUUUAAGAAGGCCUUCGAACACCUCACAUUAUUUCUUAUUCAAAUUUUGAUCCGGAAUGUCUAAUAAAGAUACCAUGGAAAGAUGAUCCGUUAGAAACAAUAAAUGUGGCUCUCGGAGCAGCGCGGUGGAGCAACUGAGCGCAAUAUGAAGCAUUGCCCUCGACCACUACCAGAAGUCAGGAAUUGAGUUUGAUUGUGCUUCUAGCCCUUGAACAUCGCUAUCUGAAAUUGGGAAUUGGGGACGAAUUUCAGGGAGAAAUUAGAAUUGAAGCAACGUCAGAAUGUGGGAUCGUGGAAAAAUAUACUUCACCUGUGUGAGAGCGAGGCGAGAGUGUUGCCGAUUCAACAAUGUUGUAACAUGAUAUUCAUUAUUUAGUAGGUUUGGUUCACGAUUAUUUUGGAUGGAAUUUGAAUUUGUUAAACAAAUUGAAAUUCAUUAAUUAGAUUUAGAAUUUGAAGGAAUUAAUCCAUGUUAUGUCUUUGGUUGGUAAAAAGUGAGAUGAAAUUUUAAUUUAUAAACAAAGGGUAAAAUGGAAUCUUUUUUCUCAUUGAACACCUUUAACAAAUAACAUAAAUCAUCCUUAACCAUUGAGGCCUAAAUUACCAAAUAGCCCUUAAAUUUAUAAAUGGAUACUCACAUAAAUGACUAUUAAGUAGGGGUGAGCAAAAACCGAACCAUCAAAACCAAAAGAAACCGCAAUUGACCAACCGAAACCAAUGCAAAAAACCUUUGGUGCGGAUUUAAUUUCUACAAAAACCGAAGUUAUCGGUGUGGUGCGGUUUUUAUCAAAAAACCGGUCCACCAAAACUGAACCGCACCAAAGACAUAUAAAUAAUAAAUUAUUAAUUUCUAUUAUAUACAUAAUUAUAUAUCACAUGUUAUUUGAAAAAGUAAUAAAUACUAAUGUAACUUUGACGAUAGGUUUAAUAAUUUAAUCAUAUUCGAGAGCAUUUAAAAGAAGUCUCAUUGUUCCCUUCUUCCUUUCCUGAUCUUGUGUUAGACGAAAUCAAUGUUUGUUUAAUUGUGUUUGUGGAACCAUAGAAAUGUGUUUAGGCGGAGGCCACUGUAAGUUUUUUUAACACGUUAAUGGUAUGACAUAAAUAGGUUUUACUAGAUUGUAUGACAUAAAUUGUUUUUUUUCCUACAAAACUUAAUUAAUAUGUUUAUUUAUCAAUGCUUUUGUAGUUUUGUAUAUAUAAAAAAGAACUUGUUUUACAAAAGGCUAUGACAUAAAAUCAUAAAUGAUUGUUUAAAAAAUACGUUGUUUAAAAAACAAAAAAAAAGUUGUCCAUAUGUUGGCUAUUUAGUUAAAAAUUGGCUAAAUUAGUUUCAAAAUAUGGCACCAGGCAAGAAUUAAGAAUUAUUGGACUUGCAUAGUUACAAAAAAACCUGACCCAUAACAGCAAAAACCGCACCAAUACGUAUACCAGAUUUAAAACUGAAACCGCACCAUUUAAACCGAAACCGCAUGAUAAAACCGCAAAACCGAACCAAUGAAAAACCGCACACGUUGGUUUUAGUUCUACAAAACCUCACCUUGCAUUUAGCGGUUCAGUAUUGCCCUAAAACCCCACCAAACCACACCAUACUCACCCUAGUAUUAGGAGCAAAGUUAUUAUCCUAAAAGAUUUGUACGACCAUUUUCUUGGCAGCACAUGACACAUGAAGUAUAUGAUAACUACAAAAGGGUCAAUGGCCUAGCGGUAUGGAGUGACCGUCUCAUAUGAGAGGUCAGGAGUUCAAGUCUCAGUGGAGACAUAGGUGGUUAUUUAGUAGUAGAUUAGUUAGUUUGCCGUUUCAAAUAAAAAAAGUAUAUGGUAACUUGAUGUGAAAAACGAAUUCUUUUAUGAGGAGGUUGAGUGAUAUACUUUAGAACAACCCCAAAGUUUUAUUUCACAUCUGUUUUUAGGAUAUGUUGAUAAGUUUGCAAGAUUUAUCUUUAUUUCAUACGAGAAGUUAUCUUUUAUUAUUAUUUAAGAUUAGUAUGUAACACCGGUCAAAAUUAGGUCAAAGAUAAUUCCCAUAAAUAUAAUUAACACACAUUAUAAUCAAUUUACUUUAAUAUUUAAUGAUAUUUUCAUUCAACACUACAAGUCUAAACGAUUCCAAAAAUAUAUAGAACGUCUAAAUCUGACUUCGCAUGAAGAAGUUAUGAUAAAUUCUAUCACUAUAGUAUUUGUAACAAGUGGAAUUUAAAAUAGACUUAGAAUUAGCUAUUGGAAUCUAGAAGAAAGUUGUAGUACUCGGAAAUACUAACGCGUGGAUAAAAGAACAUCAAAAAUGAAGUUCGUAUACAAAAGUUAUGACCUUCCGAAGAUGCAGUUGUCUAAGUGCAUGACACGUGGUAGAAACCCUAGCCGCCAUGGUUCACGACGUGAACAUUAAUUCCACGACGUGAAACGUGUCAGGGGCACUAAUCGGGGCUAGAAAACACGUGUUAAAGCUACGGGGUGACUCAUGGAUGUUCACGACGUGACCCUAGGCAUGUCACGACGUGAAUGUGCCAAAAUCAGCCUAUAAAUAGCGAUCAAGACCCUUUCAUUCCUUACACCUUCUACUUUUCUCUCCCUCAUUUUUCGUAGGUUGUUUCCCUUCUCGAGCCUGACAACGACGAGCCUUUGACCGUUUAGAUUCUAUAGAUCACGCUACUAGGGUGAGUUUCACGACCCCACUUUUUAAUAUUUUCGGGGAAAAACACAUGCUAAAUAUUGUAUAUAAGUUAAUAUUAUAUCUAUAUGAUAGUAUAUUCGUAUCAACAAAACUAGUUAUAUUAACUUGGAUAUAGUUGUUUUAAAUAUGAUAUUUUGAAAAUAUACAACUAUUAUCAACUUGUUAGCAUGUUACUGUACUNAUAUAUAUAUAUAUAUGUUAUGUGUGAUAUAGUUUCGGAGUUAUACUCGAAAGUUCUAUAUACAAAUUACUAAGUAUGUUUCUAUUGUUGGUUUUAUGUCAAGAUAAAACCUAGUUUUACCUCAAGUUAUAGCUGUUAUACUACCUAAAUAUUAUGAAAUUAGGAGUAAUGCUUAAAAGCAUUGUCUAGUAAGUUAGGGUUUUAGACACGAAUAUGCUGUUGUUGUUAGAGCUAUAGGAGUCGUUGAAGUCUACAUGAGCUAUUGUAUUCAUCAACUAAGAUUGGAAAUCUUAGGGAAAAUCCUCUGACCUGUAAACGUUAAUCCCGAGCGAGCGAGGAAGUCAUGUAUGAAUAAGAUACAGGUUGACAACCCCACUUGUGUUUGUUAGCUACAACCAAAUUUAAACGAGUGACGAACUGUCCUUUUAUUUGUUAAUUGUUCCCACGUUUAUGAAGCGUGUGGAACUUAUCUUAAGAUGCGAAACUUGUAGCAUCAAGCAGAGGUUUGAAACUAGGCAUACAGCCGCGGUUACGGACUUAUGGUAGCAUUAUGCAAUUGAGACCAAUUCAUAGAUUAAUAAUCUUCAAUAGAUGUUGUUUUUGGGUAAAUUCUAUGUUAAUAACAAAUUAUUGCAUUUUGGAAAACAAUAUGAAAUUGUUUAAGCAUAUUGCUUGAUUUUACGAAAUCUUAUUGAUCGAUUCAUUCUUUGGAUAGAACCAAGCAACAUGUUGAGAAUGCUUACAUUGCUUCAAGAAUUUGGGAGAGAUGUGUCACUAGGAAUCAUUAAUACUGUUGAAUCAAGAAAAUGUAACAUAAACUUUUACAAUUUUCUUAAUUUUCCUUGAUCUGUAGGGUGAGGCGGAAUCUUGAAGGUCUCAUCCUUCACAUGCAAAGGAUUGAGAAAGAGAGGCUACAUGGCUGGCAUGAAUAGAAAAUAGAUGCAUUCGGAAAAUGGUUAGCCUAAUGCUAUUGCAAACUUAUUAUAUCCUACUUUUCCAGAAGAAUUAAGAUAAUAUAUACCAGCUGCCUCUACUGCAAAAUUAAACACAUUUGGAAUCAUAUGCUAUUUCCCCAUGAUUCUUUUAAGCAUAGUUAUCAAAAUUAAAUACUUCUCGAAUUAUGUGCUAUUUUCCUGAUCAUAAUUUGAACUAAAAUCUUGGUCUCAGUUAUUACCUUAUCAACAAUGCAAUCGUGUCUAUGGACUCAAAAUCUUAAAUCCUUGAUAGGAUUUUAUAAUUUAUUUGGGUACUAUGUAAAAUUCGCGUGCUACACCUUAAUAAUAUUUUUAGACUCUGAUUCUGAAAGAUGAGAAUUCUCAUAUCAUUUGUUUUAUUAUUAUUAUUUUAGGAGCAACACUUUUAGGUCGCCUCUUUUUCUUCACAUCACAAGAUAGUAAAGUAAUAGUAUCAUAUAUUAAUUUAUAUAUCUUAUCUUUACUGUCCUCUAUAUUUUUAUUAUUACUAGUUGUUGUUGCCAAAAGAAUAUCAUAUUCUCAUUUAUUUUCAUUUUCCAGUUCAUCUUGAUAUCCUAUCAAGUCAUCAGUGGUGUUUUUGCAACAAAGUUAGACUCCAAAAUCUGGUCAUUUGAGGCUGAAAAUAAAUCAUCUACAUCAAGUUAUCAGUAUUCUUUUUGCACUGCUCUGAAAAAGCAAAGUAUGAAACUGUUGGACCAAAUUUAUAAAAAGAUAAAACACAGGGAUGAUUUUUGUAAUUUAGUCAACAAAUAAUUACUUGCAGAAGUAAAGGCAAAGUACCACUUCAUGAAGCCCUUUCUACACCAAAACACCUGCUUCAAAAACUAGCAAUGUACUUUCAUUAUUGUUGUUAUAGAAUUCUACUUCCAUUUCUUUCUAUUACAUCAAUGUAUUUUAUAUAUUUUUUUUCUUAUGAAAGCAUUAUACAUUGAAAUAUCUACCCAAUAAAAGCAUUGCAUUUUCAACUUAUUUUAUUAUUAGGGCACAAUACUUCAAAAACUAGCAAUGUACUUAACAACCAAUUUGGAUUGUCAUAUUGCAAUUCUCAAGCACACAUACAAACAAUCACGACUGUGUUGCUUGGAUAAUCCUUAGUCUACAUCUUAAGUCUUAAGAUAGAAAUGGCUUACAUCCUUUAAACCCUAAAAGCCAGUUUAUCACAAAUUAUCAAGCCAAAAUCAUUCAAUUGUGGUAAAAGUUAAUACAUGUUUCUGGUUAUUGAACUCAUUUGCUUCACACAUAUAAACUCUUGAUUGAUGGAAAUGCGUAUAUAAGUAAGGACUUUAAUUUACUCAAUAGCAAUCACGAUUCUCAACCAUCAUAUAGGAAAAUUGUUUUUUUUUUCAAACGCAGCUUUGGAUUUCGAAGAACAAAUAACAAUAAUGCUAGUAGUUGACUGAAUUUUACCGAGAGAAGUAUAUUUGUUAAUAGGUCACGCAUUUCGCAAUUCGUCAUUUAGAUGUUGAGCCUCGACUGACCUGGUUUUGUAGAAUAGCAAAUGACUUGAGAUUACGCAACUUCGGAUCCACUUCCUUAUAUUUCACAUCCGACUCGUCUCCCUUGGUUUCGUUGGGUGAAAGAAUUGUUACGAGAAGAAAUGGAAUUAGCCAAUUGAAUAGAAAGAAUUGAAAUUCAGGAGAAAAUUAGGUAAAUGGUCCCUUGCAUUACAAAAAGUCAUAAAUUAGUUAUUAAAUUAUUGUCAUUAACAUUUUUUGUGAUAAAAAUACACAAGUGAUCCUUGUGGUUGGUAGAAAAUACAAUUGGAAGUCUCUUUGAGGAAUUUUUAACAUCUUUUGGGCCUCCAUAAUGCUUCCCACUCAUUCUCAUUGACGCAGAACGAAAGCAAAAAUAAAGAAAAACUCAAAGUGUUUUAUUACUGGAAUUCCAAUUCUUCCCUUAAACAUAGAGGCUCAAACCCCUGAUUAGGUUUUGCAAUUAAAUAGUGGCAACACCAUGGCGAUAUAUGCCACAUUGUGACGCCAACUUAAUGCCACGAUAACUCUUGCCUUGGAUAUGUUGUGGGACUCCCUCACCACGUUGUGGCCAUAAGAGAUCCAACUUUCAAUUUAUCAAAAUUACAAAAAGGAGCAUUUCCGAAGAAGUUAUGAGUUGAUGAAAGCGUAGAGUUUGUCACACCCCCAAACCAGAACGGCGUAAACGUUCGGGGGCGGAGGACGUCAUGUUCAAUAUCAUAACAGUUCAUAGAAAGGAAAGUACACACCACCAUAUAUAAUAAGUUUGCAAGAUGUUUACAUAGUUGUAUUCAUUACAUGUUCAAAAUAAAGGUACAUAAACAUCAUUCAAAAUGAAGUAAUUAACGCCAGCGCGUUAAUCCCAAAAGUUGAUUCCCAACCUGCUUAGCGAUUUCCUGAGAAUACAAGUUAUUUCAAAGAAAAAGUGUCAACAAUUAAGUUGGUGAGUCCAUAAGUAGUUUAGAAAAAUUGGAUGCCAUUCCAAAAUGGGUGUAUGUUUUCCAGUAAACGUAGCGUUUCAAAAUGUAAAGAGUUAUGAUUUGUGGUGUUGGAAAUGAAUGCAUUAGCUCCAGAAAAUCCCAUAUUUUCCUUAAUAGUCGAAAUACGAUUUGUUGUGUUUUCCAAGAAAAACCCUUAUUUUCUUAUAAAAGUAUGAGAUGUAUAUAGUUGUUCAUGUUAUAAGUUGUAAAUGAUUGCACCGGGAAAAUCCCUUAUUUUCCUAUUAGUUGUUUGGUUUGUAUGCAGGAAAAACCCUUAUUUUCCUCACACAUAAUGCCAGUCUCUAAGACCGAAAAUUGCAAGAAACCGACGUUUCUCGUAAGUGUGUCAUAGUUUUAUAUAUAAUAAAACUACGCGAAGACCGAACCGGUUGGAUGAAGAAUAGUUUUAAUAACUACUCGCUCAUCAAAACUGAAUAUCAUAGUAAUUGUAUAUCCGAUGAGUUUCUAUAACCAUACUAAACAUAAUAUGCCUGUAACGACGUUCUUCAGGCGUCGCAGUGCUAUGACAACUGUCACCCCAAAAGACGGACUGUAGCUAACAGUCAGGGUGCGGGAUCAUGACUUCCCGUAUAGAUCUAUACACAUUUGACACGUUCUCGUCACGGGAGAUUCUGGUUAUAGACAGGACUUACUGCAGUACUUUCUAAUAAAGAAAAGUAACGUUUGAAGAUGUACGCGUCUCAUGGAUUCUCAAUUAAGUCUAUAUUAAAGUGAUAGUUUUGUAUGCAAAGUUUAUCUUUUUUUCAAAAUGUUUGAUAAAGCAAAAUCAUAAGUUUUUAGAAUGUAUAAAACGAUUUAACAAUGAAAGAUCAUUAUAUGCUUCGUAUAAGUCUAAUGCACACAAAGUAUGACAAGAGUUUUCCAUAAUAGUAAUGAGUUCCAAGUGGUUUAUUUGAUAAUAUAAGUGAAGUGAAACUUUAUAAAAUACACGAUAAUAACCGUAUGUUUACUUGUAUUCCCCCCCUAAAAGAGUGUAAAAGUAUUUAAAAAUGUAUUUAAAGUGUGUUAGAAAGGGGUAUGAACUCACUUGACAACUUGAAGAUGGCGAGAUGGAAAAACGGCAGAGUUUCGUCUCGGGAAAUGGAUUUUCCUCGGAAAUCUCGGGAUUCCUCGGGAGAAAAUCGACCUUCGGAUCUUGCACGAAGCGACCAGGGCUUCGGGGUAGUACGAGCACGGAAAACGAGGAAAAACGCAAGAGAAAUGAGAGAGAAUGAGCCCUUUCUUUGGAAACCUUCGUAUGCUAUUUAUAGAGAGGCUGGUCUGCCUCAGUACGCGGGGCGUACGCUAGUACGCGGGGCGUACGCUAGUACGCAGCGCGUACGCGUACGUCACGCAUGACCGAGGCCUCGACUGCCUCGGCUNUGGGUCGGAUGGGACGCCGGGUCGGAUGGGACGUCGGGUCGGACGGGUCGGACGGGUCGGCUUCCUCGGAUAUGGCGACGUGGACGAUCCGAGGCCAAUCCUCUCGGUUACGCGGGGCGUACAGGAGUACGCAGCGCGUACUUCGGAGAAGGACGCUGACUCCUCUUCGGAUAAUAUCCGAAUUUUGAAUAAAAAUUAUAUAUAAAUUAAUUAUCAAACUUCAAAAAUUCAUAUCUCCCUCAUACGAACUCCGUUUUUGGCGUUCUUUAUAUCCCCGCGAAGGUGAGACUACGAUCUACAACUUUCAUUUAGAUUCCGUUGGCAAAUUCCGAAAUUAUUUUUAUUAUUUAUUUAUUAAAGUGACGUGUUUAAGGAAUUUCUUUAAAAAUUCAUAACUUAUUCAUAUGAUGUCCGAUUUGAGCGUUCUUUUUAUGCAUGUUUGUAGUUUAACGAUAUCUAUCACUUUCAUUUAGACACCUAAGGUCAGAAAAUGUUUUAUUGAAACUUUGCGUUUUUACGUAACUUUGUAUUGCUGGUUUUUGUCGGAAAACUUAUAAUGAGCAUAACUUCUUCGUUAUAACUCGGAUUUUUGUGUUAUUUAUAUGUUUGGAAACCUUAAGAUGAUAACUACCACAUAGUGUACUCCAAAUAGAGUUUUUGAAUACUUCAUAUUCUAUUUCCUUUCUCAAGGAGGUUACAUGACUCGAUCUUUACUGACAUGAAAUAACGGGUUGUUACAGAGUUUCUCAUUGCCUUUUCAUCGAUAUAAGGAUUGUCGCACAUCGUACAAGUUGAGUACACCCCGCGUACUCAUCAGGAAUGGAUUCCGGUGUUUGGGCUUCGGUUUGGGCCAUCUUUUGUGUUUAGUUGCUUUAGGCCAUAUUGCGUGUGACAUCCCAAAAAUCUCGGCCAGAAAAGACCGAUUUUCAUUUAUGCUUUUAAAAUAAUUUCAGAGUAAAUCCUUUUGAUUUGAAAGAGUUGCGGAAUUUGUUCCCAAAAACAAAACGUGAUAAAAUAAUAUUUACCAAAGCAUUUCAUAAAAGAAAUGUAUUUUCAUUAUAUAAUCAAAACUCGGGAUGUCAUGUUCCGAUACAGACCAUAAAGCAUAAACGAUGACAUUACAAGUCAUUCAACAAAUAUAUACAUAUACAGACUUUUAAACAAAACAACUUGAUGGUUCAUCCAUCUUAUGCCCUUGCACCACUUCCUGUAAUACAAAUAAAACUGAGUGGGUCAGGCGUGGGAGCCUGGUGAGCAUAUAGGGUUUUCAACCCACAAUAAAUAAUUAUAUUUAAUUCCACCAAUCAACAAUAACCCAAUUACCCAUUCCCAUUAUUCUCACUUUACGUCCCUAAAACAACUAACACAAGGGACCCUAGUCUUAGAAUAUUUGAUCGGGGCAACAACACAUGCAUUCGGGGGUUUCCCGACAAUAUAUGUCAAACAAGGCAACCGUGAGGGGGAUGGAGUACAGCGAAUGAACACCCAAGUUCAUUAAGACCUACAGGUGGCGAACCUGCUAGCGUUCCACAGGACUUUCUAGAAAAGUCUGUGGUCGUCAUCUAAACUCCGUUAGAUGACUGAAUCAAAACAACAACGAGGCCUCUCAUCUGUUUAUUACACACCAACUAUCUACCCAUGUUCUACCCAACAUAUUAGUAGAUAAAAACAUACAUUUUUAUACAUAGUUUAAAAACCUGUAUAGCAUGCUUUAAUCAAUACAUAUUCCAAAACAACAGAUGAGACACAUACACAUAACACGUAUUUCAUUGAGAAUAAAUCAUAUCUAUGAGAUAGAAGAAAGUGAAUAUACAUUCUCGCAUAUAACAAGAAAAUGUACACAUAACACGUAUUUUAUAUUAAAUACUUAAUAAUUAUGCGUUAGAAGAAAGUAACCACACACUCACCUGAUCAGAAGAUGAUCGGACAGCACUACGGCUUGCAGAAGUAGUAAUCCUCAACAGAUCUGGAGGAUCUCAACAGAUCUGGAGGAUCUCGAGAAUCGCACUUCUUGGGAUCCCGGGAGCAUGAAACUUCCUUUUUAAUUUGGAUAUGAGGUUCGGGGUGUCGGGAUGGCUUCGGGGGUUUAUGCGCAGAGUUUCGGCACAAAGAGGAGAAGAAAUGAGCAAAAAUACCCGGAACCCUCGCAUCCUAUUUAUAGGAGGUUGAGGCCUCGUCGUACGCUGGGCGUACAGCCUUACGCGGGGCGUAAGCCGCCGAAUUCGUCACUGCAUGCAUCAUCCGAAGAACUCGAGUGCGAGGUGCAUCAUGCUUCGCGGUACACUGAUCAUUGAUUCCUUCGGAUAUACAUCCGAAUUAAAGAUUAAAUUUAAAUACUAAUUAUUUAAUAAACUUCGGAAAUUCAUAUCUUCUUCAUACGAACUCUGUUUUCGACGUUCUUUAUAUCCACGCUUAGGUGAGACUACAUUCUACAACUUUCGUUUAGACUUCGUCUGCUAAUUUUGAAUUUAUUUAUAUUAUUUAUUUUUAGUAGGCCCGGACAGGAAAACUUCGUUAUAAAUUCAUAAUUUCUUCGUUUGACGUCCGUUCUCGCCUAACUUUUUAUCGUUUUACUACAAUUAAUGAGAUCUCCGAUUCUCAUUUAGAUUGUUUCGGCUAAAAACCGCUCGGUCUCAAAUUGAGUAUUCGGGCUGCAUACCGCUAAGUCAAAACUUCGAAAAAUUAUAACUUCCUCAUACGAAGUCAGAUUUUGGCGUUCUUUUUAUGCACGCUCUCGGUUUAACGAACUCUACGACUUUCGUUUAGAUUACUAAGGCUAAAUAUCGCUCUAACGUAAAUUUCACUUUUUACGUCAUUCAGCGUUUGUCGGUUCUGUCGCGAAACUUCGACAGGUUAUAACUUCUUCGUUAUAACUCGGAUUUCGACAUUCCUUAUAUCUCCGGAAUCCUUGUUUCGAGCACUACAACCUUAUGUAAAGAUAUUGAGUUUAUUUUACACUUAAAUUUUGACGCUUAUUUUAUUCUUAAUUAAUCAAAUCACAUAAUUAAGCAAUUAAGCACAAAACACAUAAUACUCAAAUAAUUCAUCAUUAAUACUUCAAAAAGAGUUACAAGGGUUAACCUAGACUAUUAAAUCAAUGAAAAUGCCUAGCCUGGAAACGCAGGCGUUACAAUUCUCUCCCUCUUAGGAUGAUUCCAUCCCCGGAAUCACACAUCAACAAACAAAUGCGGAUAGCGACUCAACAUGUCACUCUCCGUUUCCCAGGUGAGAUUUGACCCAUUCGUAUGUUUCCAACGGACAAGCACUAAUUCGACCAUCUUGCAUCGAAGCUUCUUAGUCUUUCGGUCAACAAUUGCCUCAGGUUCUUCAAUUAACCUCUUGUUUUCAUCAAUUCUCAAUUCAGAAAUUGGAAUUAUAUCGGGAACUUCUCCCGUGAACUUCCUCAAAUAACACACAUGAAAAGUGUUGUGAAUUCCAUUCAGUUCUUCGGGUAAUUCGAGCUUGUAAGCUUGGUUCCCAAUCCUCUGAAGAACUUUAAACGGUCCAAUAAACCUUGGACUCAACUUUCCCCUUUUACCAAAUCUUAUAAGUCCCUUCCACGGCGAGACUUUAAGCAAAACCGAAUCUCCAACCUCAAAAGUCAUCGGUCUUCGCUUCUUGUCAGCAUAGCUCUUUUGAUGAUCUUGAGCUGCUAACAUCCUUUCCCUAAUCACUUUCAACUUCUCAGCAGUUUGAUGGACCGUCUCGGGACCCAUAAACUGUUUUUCCCUAGCCUCAAGCCAACAAGACGGCGUACGACACUUUUAUCCGUACAAAGCUUGAUAAAGUGCCAUCUUUAUGCUUGAGUGGAAACUAUUGUUGUAGGAAAAUUCUACCAAAGGUAAAUAUUCAUCCCAAUUACCUAGGAAUUCUAGGGUACAUGCUCUUAGCAUAUCUUCAAGUGUUUGUAUUGUUCUUUCACUCUGACCAUCAGUCUGCGGAUGGUAAGCUGUACUUAAACAUAACUUGGUACCCAUUUCCUUUUGUAGACUUUUCCAAAAUCUUGAGGUGAAACGGCUAUCACGAUCCGAUACAAUCGUUAACGGAACACCGUGAAGCCUCACAAUUUCCUUCACGUAAGAAUUCGCAAGCUUUUCCAUAGACCAUUUCUCCUUGGCCGCUAUGAAAUGCGCACUCUUAGUGAAUCGAUCAACGACCACCCAAAUCAUGUCGUGACCAUUCUUUGUUCUGGGCAGUUUAGUGACAAAAUCCAUAGCAAUGUCUUCCCACUUACCCAUAGGCACAGGCAAAGGUUCUAAACUCCCGUACGGUUUCUGAUGUUGUGUCUUGACUCUCGCACAAGUCACACACUCGGCCACAUACUUUGCAACAUCAAGCUUCAUCGUCGGCCACCAGUAGUAGGGUUUCAGGUCCCUAUACAUUUUAGUGCUACCCGGAUGAAUCGAGUACAUGGUCUUGUGAGCUUCUUCCAUCAGAAGAUCCCUAAUUCCUCCUGACUUAGGUACCCAAAUACGAUCUUGGAAUACCUUCAGUCCAUGACCGUUUGUACCAAACACCAACGUUUUACCCAAACGUUCCUCCUUCCGGUCAUUCUUCUCAGAAGCUUCCUCUUGAGCUCUCUUUAUACUCUCCACAAUUGUCGAGACAACUUCUAUUUUCAAUGCUCUUGGCCUUUUCCUUUCAACAUUGACUUUACGACUAAGACCAUCAGCAACAACAUUAGUUUUACCGGGAUGGUAAAGUAUCUCACAGUCGUAGUCCUUGAGUAACUCUAGCCAGUGUCAUUGCCUCAUAUUCAAUUCUUUCUGAUUAAAGAGAUAUUGGAGACUCUUAUGAUCAGUGAAAAGUUUGCACUUCAUGCCAUAGAGGUAAUGCCUCCAUAUUUUUAGAGCAAAAACUACCGCUGCCAACUCCAAAUCAUGAGUCGGGUAGUUCUUUUCAUGCUCUUUUAGCUGUCGAGAUGCAUACACGAUCACGUUAUCUCUUUGGGUCAAAAAACAACCCAAUCCAACUCCAGACGCAUCGCUAUAAAUAGCGAAGUCUUCAACUCCAUCGGGUAGAGAAAGAAUCGGUGCCUCGCAUAACUUCUUCUUUAGCUUCUCGAGUGCUUCUUUAUGCUUAUGACUCCAAGCAUAAGUAGCUCCUUUGUGGGUCAAAGCUGUCAAUGGACUAGCGAUCGAAGAAAAGCCUUGGAUAAACCUUCGGUAAUAUCCGGCUAAUCCUAAAAAGCUUCGGAUCUCCGUGGGACUUUUCGGUUGUUCCCACUUCAUUACAGCUUUAAUCUUUGCAGGAUCAACCAUUAUCCCUUCUUGGUUGAUCACUUGACCCAAGAAUUGGACUUCACGAAUCCAAAAUCACAUUUGGAGAACUUUGCAUACAACUUCUCCUGCUUCAAAACUUCUAACACUUCUUGCAAGUGUCUGCCAUGCUCCUUAUGGCUUUUCGAGUAAAUCAGAAUGUCAUUUAUGAACACUAUCACGGAUUUAUCAAGGAACGGAUUACAAACACUAUUCAUUAAAUCCAUGAAUGCUGCUGGAGCAUUGGUUAGUCCAAACAACAUAACCAAGAACUCAUAGUGUCCAUAUCGUGUUCUGAACGCAAUCUUCUCGAUAUCCUGCNAUCCUGACCUAAGAUCGAUCUUCGAGAAAUAGCUCGAACCUUGCAAUUGAUCAAACAGGUCAUCAAUCCUCGGCAACGGAUAUCUAUUCUUUAUUGUUGCCUUGUUCAGCUCUCUGUAAUCGAUGCACAUUCUCAUACUUCCAUCUUUCUUCUUUACGAAUAACACCGGAGCUCCCCAGGGCGAUGAACUAGGUCUAAUGAAACCUUUGUCCAAUAACUCCUGAAGUUGCAUCAUCAGCUCCUUCAUCUCCGUCGGUGCUAAUCGAUAAGGUGCUUUUGCUAUUGGCGUGGUUCCUGGUAACAAGUCAAUUCUGAACUCCACUUGUCUAUCAGGUGGUAAUCCAGGAAGAUCUUCGGGAAAUACUUCUGGAUAAUCACACACCACUGGAAUACUCUGCAUCACCUUCUUUUCCUUCUUAGCAUCAAUCACGAAUGCUAAAUAUGAUGUACAUCCCUUGGUCAAACACUUUCUGGCUUUCAUUAGGGAAAUGAUUCCAGAAUUUACUCAGCGUUUGUCCCGAAACACCAUAAACGAAUCUUUCCCAGGUGGGUUUACUUUAACUAUCUUCUUCUUGCAUAAAAUUUCGGCAUCAUUGGCGCUAAGCCAAUCCAUUCCCAGAACGACGUCGAAACCAUUAAGUUUGAUAGGAAAUAAUUCAUCGUGAAACUUAUUCCCAUUAAGGUCGAUUAAGAUGUUUUUCAUACGAUGGCUAACAGGUACAAACUUGCUACUAGCAACUUCGACUAAUAAAGCAUUAUCUAGUCUAUCAAUAGGCAAAGCUAUUUUUCUACCAAACUCAUGCGAAAUAAAGGAGUGGUUGGCUCCAAAAUCAAACAAAAUUUGAGCAGGUAAUUCGUUUACGAGAAAGGUACCUGAAGCGACAUCAACUUUAUCUUUAGCAGCCUCAAGUGUCAUUUGGAAGGCUCUCGCCUUCGGCUUUGGUGGAAUGUUGGGCUCAGCUGCCUCCUUCUUCUUCGGACAGUCUUUCAAAAUGUGCCCCUCUUCAUUGCAACCAAAACACAUCCUUUUGUUGGACGAACACUCAUUGGCAAAAUGCCCAAUUUUUCCACACUUGUAGCAGGUUACAUCCUCACUACACUUCCCAAAGUGCUUUUUCUUACACUUAUCACACCAUUUCGCUUCGCAUCCUUUUCCUCCAAACUUUUUCGAAUCAGAUUUCGAAAAAUUGCUUCUCUUACCGGAACCAGAUGUUCCCUCAAACUUUCUCUUCUCACCAACCUCAACCUUGUCGGUGGUUCUCCCCUUAAUCAUGUUCUCAACAGACUUGACAUCCCAAAUAGCUGCCUCUAGAGCAGGUGCCUAACAAACUGGCACUGCGUACUCCCAUGAGAGUCCCUUUGCAUACCGGUCAACCUUUGUUAACUCAUCUGGAACGAUGCGCAAAGCAAACUCCAUCUUAUCGGUAAAGUUAUUAGUGUAUUCAUCAACUGACAUGCUGCCUUUCGUUAAUGUUAGAAACUUGUUCAUCAACUGAGCCGAGCAGAACUUGCGCUUGAACUGCACCAAGAAUUCUGCCCGUGUCAAUUGCAGUGGCUCAUUAGGGCUUAAAGUCUUCCCUAGAGUGUUCCACCAACGAACGGAUCCACCUCGGAACUGACGUACUGCGAACGNCCCUCCCCCCCCACCCACAAGUCAUAAAGGCUAACUCCAUUUCGGAGAUCCAAUCCAUCACUCCGAUCGGGUCCUCCUUUCCAGUGAAGGUCGAUGGUUUGCAAGUCAGAAAGUCCUUGUACUUGCAUCUUAUUCCAUCAUUCCUUCCAUCAAGGUUGUUUUGCCUAACUAUCAGUGGGUUGGCUUGACCAGCAGACCCACUGAAGUUUCCACCUUCCGAGUGCCCUUCAUUAAAUUCAGGCUCUUCCACAUGAAUUUACAGUUCUUCACGAUUCUGUUGAAGCAACCACCUAGUUUCAUCCAUCUGACGAUCCAACAUUGUUUGAAUCAUCAUUUGCACACCAGCCAUGGUUAUUGGCUCAGGUGCUGCUGCUACGACAGGUAUUUGUUCAAUCACUGGUGGUUGAUUCCUGUUUUCAUCAGCAUUUCCAACUCCACUUCUUGUUCUCACCAUUUUGAUCUACACACCGAAUAAGGUGAAAUUAGAUCCUCAAUCACGAUAGAUAUUCAAAUCAUCCUUAUCACUCCGAAACGUUCACAUGCUAGUUCUAAUAUUGUAGACGUACGCUUAGAAUCCUACACACAUAAAGUUUCUAGAUCCGGUUGGCAACAGACCAUAGAUCCGAACAAAUAAUAUCAUAUAUGGCAACAUAUAACAUUUAGCACAUAAAAGCAUUUUAGGCAACUUUCCUAAAAUAAACUAGUGCUCGUGUCUAAAACAUAAUAGACACAUAUCUCAAAACUUCACUUAGCAUUUUAAGUUUAAGUCUCGAAAUCCUACAAAUUCCUAGUUCGCUUAAACUAAUGCUCUGAUACCAACUGUGACAUCCCAAAAAUCUCGGCCAGAAAAGACCGAUUUUCAUUUAUGCUUUUAAAAUAAUUUCAGAGUAAAUCCUUUUGAUUUGAAAGAGUUGCGGAAUUUGUUCCCAAAAACAAAACGUGAUAAAAUAAUAUUUACCAAAGCAUUUCAUAAAAGAAAUGUAUUUUCAUUAUAUAAUCAAAACUCGGGAUGUCAUGUUCCGAUACAGACCAUAAAGCAUAAACGAUAACAUUACAAGUCAUUCAACAAAUAUAUACAUAUACAGACUUUUAAACAAAACAACUUGAUGGUUCAUCCAUCUUAUGCCCUUGCACCACUUCCUGUAAUACAAAUAAAACUGAGUGGGUCAGGCGUGGGAGCCUGGUGAGCAUAUAGGGUUUUCAACCCACAAUAAAUAAUUAUAUUUAAUUCCACCAAUCAACAAUAACCCAAUUACCCAUUCCCAUUAUUCUCACUUUACGUCCCUAAAACAACUAACACAAGGGACCCUAGUCUUAGAAUAUUUGAUCGGGGCAACAACACAUGCAUUCGGGGGUUUCCCGACAAUAUAUGUCAAAUAAGGCAACCAUGAGGGGGAUGGAGUACAGCGAAUGAACACCCAAGUUCAUUAAGACCUACAGGUGGCGAACCUGCUAGCGUUCCACAGGACUUUCUAGAAAAGUCUGUGGUCGUCAUCUAAACUCCGUUAGAUGACUGAAUCAAAACAACAACGAGGCCUCUCAUCUGUUUAUUACACACCAACUAUCUACCCAUGUUCUACCCAACAUAUUAGUAGAUAAAAACAUACAUUUUUAUACAUAGUUUAAAAACCUGUAUAGCAUGCUUUAAUCAAUACAUAUUCCAAAACAACAGAUGAGACACAUACACAUAACACGUAUUUCAUUGAGAAUAAAUCAUAUCUAUGAGAUAGAAGAAAGUGAAUAUACAUUCACGCAUAUAACAAGAAAAUGUACACAUAACACGUAUUUUAUAUUAAAUACUUAAUAAUUAUGCGUUAGAAGAAAGUAACCACACACUCACCUGAUCAGAAGAUGAUCGGACAGCACUAUGGCUUGCAGAAGUAGUAAUCCUCAGCAGAUCUGGAGGAUCUCUACAAAAAUCGAAUUUGGAUAUGAAUCGCACUUCUCGGGAUCCCGGGAGCGUGAAACUUCCUUUUUAAUUUGGAUAUGAGGUUCGGGGUGUCGGGAUGGCUUCGGGGGUUUACGCGCAGAGUUUCGGCACAAAGAGGAGAAGAAAUGAGCAAAAAUACCCGGAACCCUCGCAUCCUAUUUAUAGGAGGUUGAGGCCUCGCCGUACGCUGGGCGUACAGCCUGACGCGGGGCGUAAGCCUCCGAAUUCAUCACUGCAUGCGUCAUCCGAAGAACUCGAGUGCGAGGUGCGUCAUGCUUCAUGGUACGCUGAUCAUUGAAUCCUUCGGAUAUACAUCCGAAUUAAAGAUUAAAUUUAAAUAUUAAUUAUUUAAUAAACUUCGGAAAUUCAUAUCUUCUUCAUACGAACUCUGUUUUUGACGUUCUUUAUAUCCACGCGUAGGUGACACUACGCUCUACAACUUUUGUUUAGACUUCGUCGGCUAAUUUUGAAUUUAUUUUUAUUAUUUAUUUUUAGUAGGCCCGGACAGGAAAACUUCGUUAUAAAUUCAUAACUUCUUCGUUUGACGUCCGUUCUCGCCUAACUUUUUAUCGUUUUACUACAAUUAAUGAGAUCUUCGAUUCUCAUUUAGAUUGUUUCGGCUAAAAACCGCUCGGUGUCGAGUAUUCGGGUUGCAUACCGCUAAGUCGAAAUUUCGAAAAAUCAUAACUUCCUCAUACGAAGUCAGUUUUUGGCGUUCUUUUUAUGCACGCUCUUGGUUUAACGAACUCUACAACUUUCGUUUAGAUCACUAAGGCUAAAUAUCGCUCUAACGUAAAUUUCACUUUUUACGUCAUUUAGCGUUUGUCGGUUCUGUGUCGCGAAACUUCGACAGGUCAUAACUUCUUUGUUAUAACUCGGAUUUCGGCAUUCCUUAUAUCUCCGAAACCCUUGUUUCGAGCACUACAACUUUAUGUAAAGAUAUUGAGUUUAUUUUACACUUAAAUUUUGACGCUUAUUUUAUUCUUAAUUAAUCAAAUCACAUAAUUAAGCAAUUAAGCACAAAACACAUAAUACUCAAAUAAUUCAUCAUUAAUACUUCAAAAAGAGUUACAAGGGUUAACCUAGAGUAUUACAUCAAUGAAAAUGCCUAGCCUGAAAACGUGGGCGUUACAUUGCGCCAUCAGAUUUUGAUCUAAUAUUUAUUUGUGGAGACCCACUAUGGGAUUUGGGCCCAAUUUGGAAAAUUAGGCAAUAUUUGGGCCUUGGGUGUUUAAUUGGAAUUUGGGCUUUUGGAUUGUUGAAUUGGGCCUUGGAUUUGGGCCAAGUUAUGAAGAGGCUAAAAAGGGCUUUUACCCUAGUUUGGACACUUUGUAUGUGUCAGAUUCGAUUCUUGAUAGAUGAUUAACUUGUGAUUGAUAGUGCGAAGAUUUUAGCGGGGGCCAACAGUCAGAGAUUUAUCUGCGGGAUUCAGAAGUGCAAGGUGAGUCUCCUCACUGUGAUAUUGGGUCGAAGGCACUGAUGCCAGUCUAUUGGUUUAUAUAUCAUCGGAAGACUAGGAGGUGACCCUUGGCACUUAUAUGUGUCACACCCCCAAACCUGAACGGCGGAAACAUUGGAGGCGGAGGACGUCAUGUGCAGUACCAUAACAAUUAAAUAGUAAAGAAAGUAUACACCACCAUAAUAUAUAUAUAUAUAUAUAUGUAUAUAUAUAUUUGAAAAGUUUACAUGAUUGUAUGUGUUACAUGUUUGAAAGUCAAAUACAAUAUGGUGUUCCAAAAUAUGUUACUAACGACAGAGCGUUAAUCCCCAAAAGUAGUUGCUAACUUGGUUUAGCGAUUCCCUGAGAAUACAAGUUAUUUCAAAGAAAAAGUGUCAACAAUUAAGUUGGUGAGUUCAUAAGUAGUUAUUUGUGUAAAUGUAUGACAUUCGAAAGUUCACGUUUGUUUUCUAGAAAACUCGAUAUUUUCUUAUGAAAUGAGUUAUGAAUCGUUGUUGUAUGAAAUGAAUGUAUUGAACCAGGAAAAUCCUAUAUUUUCCUAAAUGUGAGAAGCAGUCUUAAAUGUCCAAGACUGUAACUUGUAAGCAAAUAUGUCAUGCUUAAACUGAUAACAUAUAGUUUUAUUAGUGAACAAAACUAUAAGAAGCUUGUAGUUGUAUGUAAAAGCAACCGUAAUAUUACUUUUCCCGUAAAAACAUAAUACCAUAAUAAUUGUCUAUCCAGUGAGUUUUCAUCACCGUACUAUGAUGGAUUUGCCUGUAGCGACGUUCUUCAGGCAUCGAAAUGUUAUGACACUUGUCACCCUUAACCUGCCGGUCCGGUUGUAGCUAACAGCCAGGGUACGAGAUCAUCAAUCCCAUAUAGAUCUAUACACACUUAUCACAUUCUCCGGACGGGAGACUCUGGUUAUAAAACAUCACUUUCUAGUGGUACCUUGAUAGGUAUAAUGAAGACGAAUGUCGCACGGAUUCUCAAUUAAGUCUAGUAUUUCAAAUUGAAUGUGUUAUAGUUGAAAUGGUUACCCUUGAUAUGAUGUAAUAUGUAAAUAUAUAAAUAAAGCAUAUUUGUAUUUAUAAAACAUAAUGUAUCCCAAGAGGGUAAAGUUGUGUUGUGAGAUGUUUUGCAUGUUCACAUCUUCAUAUGAUAGUUUUAACAACAAUAUGAAAAGUAUAGCAAAAGAUUGAUGUUUUCACACGAUUUUAGUCAUGUGUUUACUUGUAUUCCCCCCUCCCCCCCCCUCCCGUAAAAGUGUUUAAAAGCAUUUAAAAUCGUAGUGAUAGGGGUAUGAACUCACUUGGUAGAAAUUACGUUUUGAUGGAAACGAUGCUUUAUUCGGGCAACACUUCGACCGGAAACAAGUCGAUUUCUCGAGAAUCUCGAGGCUUUGAACUUCCGUCAAAGCUUGGAUAUGAAGUCAUGGAGUCGGGGUAGUCUCCAAAGGGUAGAAAGUGAAAAAGUAGUGGAGAGAGAUUGGAAAAUUAGCCCAUAAACCGGAGCCUUCGCAUCCUUUAUAUAGGGCUAGAAGAGGCCUCGAACGCGGAGCGUUCUUGCGAAGAACGCUUUUUCCAAAUGGAUUAUUUGUGAAUAAUGAUUAACACAACUUUUUAUCUGUUUUCAGUAAAAAAAAAGGAAGAAUGUUGGUUCAAGCUUUAUCCUAAAGGAAGCCUAACAUAAAUGGUCGUGCACAUAAGGUAUACUUUUUGACACCCAAACAUUUUCUCUCUUCGCGUGAACAAAAGGCACACACAACCGAAUAUUAGGAAUCAAAGUUCUCAAUCUGUUUAGGGUGUAACAAAAUAAGAGGAGUUAUAACCUUUCAUUGAAUGCAUUAAAGUGGAAAUAUUAAAAUUUUAAAUCAUUGAAUACUACAAAUAUAUGUUCAUACCAUGUCUAAACACUAAGUGUCAAAAUCUAGGAUUGAAUUGUCACCAUUCCCUGUACUUGUCACAGUGUAAUAUGCAAUUGGGACAAUUCAUAGAUUAAUCAUCUUCCGUAGAUGUUCUUAGGUAAAUUCUAUGUUAAUAACAAACUAUUGCAUUUUGGAAAACACUAUGAAUUUGUUUAAGCAUAUUGCUUAAUUUUAAGGAAUCUUAUUGAUUGAUUCAUUCUUUGGAUAGAACCAAGCAACAUAUUGAGAAUGUUUAAAUUGCUUCAAGAGUUCGGAGGAGAUGUGUCACUAGGAAUCAUUAAUAUUGUUGAAUCAAGAGAAUGUAACAUAAACUUUUACUAUUUUCUUACUUUUCCUUCUUAUGUAGGGUGAGGGGGAAUCGUCAAGGUCUCAUCCUUCAUUCACAGGAACAGGGUUGAGAAAGAGAGGCUACAUGGCUGGCAUGAAUAGAAAAUAGAUGCAUUCGGCGAAUUGGGGAAUCUUCAAGGUCAAUCGUGUGCAAGUCAAUGAGCUAUAUCCUAGUUUUCCAGAAGAAUUAAGAUAAUAUAUACCAGCCUCUACUGCAAAAUUAAACACAUUUGGAAUUGUAUAUUUAUCAAAAUUAAAUACUUUUCCAUGUGUGCUGUUUCCCCAUGAUUCUUUUAAGCAUAGUUAUCAAAAUUAAACACUUCUCGAAUUGUGUGCUAUUUCCUUAUACCGGUAUCUAGAUUGGAGAUAAAAGGAGUAGAGGCUUUAAUUAUCUCAUAUGCAACAACUAUAGUAGCCAACCUAAUUUGAAUACAACAAAAUGUCACCAUAAACAAAAACUAAGAAGCAACACCCAAAUGAUGAGAGAAGAAGCAGCUCCAAUAACUUUUUCACUCUUGCAAUACUCUCAAUGUAGAAAAUACUUGACCCUCUCAUUCCUAAACACUAUACAAAACAUUAAAUGUAAUUAAGUCGCCUGUUUAAGUCAAAAGCUAGAUUGCCCAAAAAAUUAUUCUAUUUAACUUCUUUGUGGGCAAUUGAGGAGAUCAAGAAACACAAUGCCUUCGAUCCUACAUCAACAACCUACAAAACAAAGCAACCUCCAUCUUCCUCAUAAUCACCAUUUUUUCAUCACUGUUAAUAGUCGUUGAAGUUCUUUACUUUCUUUACUACAUAUGUUAUUCGUUGGUAGUCAAAUUCAUGUUCUUGAACCCAAAGAACACCACAGCUAUCAGAACUUUUAUCGAACACUUGGCGUGUGUUCUUACAAACUCCACCUCAACCCAAAAUCUCUUUGUUGAGGGACCCCAUUUUCGAUUCAAAUCACCAAAACAAAUACAAUCCAAUAAAAUCAAUAUGAAUUAUGAUUUGAGAUUUAAAAAAAAUCACGUAAAAUAUGCACCCAAAAACAGUAUGGUUUUCACUUACGACAGAAAUAUCCAUUGAUUAUCCACUAUGAAGUUAUAACUGAAACACCAUUCUUACAUCUCCAUCCUCCACAAUAUGUAUGUGUUUAUGCGUAAAGAUACAAAGAAGAAUUAGACCCGGGAAUUCAAACCUUUGUACGUACAUUAUCUAAGGGGGUGUUUGGAUAGGAAAAAAAGAGGUGCUUAUUGCUUAUUCCCACAAUAAGCUAAUUUAAGUGUUUGGAUAAAAUCCAGCUUAUUAGGCUAAAUAAGCUAAUUUUAAUAAGCAUUUCUUUCCAUGCUUAUUGCUUAUUGCUUAUUUCCACCACAAAUAAGCUAUAAGCAAUAAGCUAAAAAUCUAAUCCAAACACCCCCUAAAUGGGUUAUACACAUUUCCCCAUAUUUACAUUAACAGUCCCUAGAAAUAUGUGUGUAUGUCUACUUUAGCCCUAGACUUUUAUUUUUAAGCCACAUGGUCCUACAUCAACAUUUGAGCAUAAAUUUCAAGUACUUACAUGGCAUAUAAAACUGGCUAUAUCAGUUAUGGACGAUCAAAAAAACAGGUCAGCAUCCACUCUAAGCCUCUAUUAAGCCGAAAAAUAACUUCAGGGACCUUUUAAACUAAUUCGAAAAACAUUGUUACCCAUAAGUGACAUUAACCCUUGCAAAAAUUGUAUAUUACUUUGUAUGCAUAUGGUCAUUUCCAUGGAUUUAAUAGGUGGGCCACCAAGGACUAAAAAUGUGAUCAAAUCGUUGGUUUAGGGAUGGAAAAAGGUAAAUGAUGAAACUAUUCGACCAUAUCCAUGACAACAUAAACCAUAUGGUUUAUUUUUUUAGUGAACGUAGAGCUAGUUGUAUGAGUAUUUAACAGUUGAGCAAUCUAGUUAGAUGACCCAAUUGACAAACAGUGUGACCAAAUGUUUUUUUUUUUCGGCCUGAACAAGUAAAGUACCAAACUGUUGGACCAAAUUUAUAAAAGACAAAACACAGGGAUGAUUUUUGUAAUUUACUCAACAAAUAAUUACUUGCAGAAGUAAAGGGAAAGUACCUCUACACCAAAACACCCGCUUUCAAAAAAAAAUAAAUAAAAAAAAAUUUCAAAAGAAAGCAAAACGGUGUUUCUUUUUUUCUUUUUCGGGAAAGAACCUUGAAAGCCUCCGAUCCCAACGCGUAAGAAAACCCCAACAUUUUCGUUGUUUGUUUAUAGUCUCUCGCCCUCUCCCUUCUUUUCAUCGUGGACUCACCGUUUCCCUGUUGACUUACUGCUCAUCUUUCUUGGUCUUUGUCUCUGUUCAUUUUUCCUCUGUUAUCGUUACUUCAGGUUUAUGUAAACUCUCCUCAUCCUUACAAGCUAUUUUUGCUUGUCUAAGAAUUUCACUUAUCAAUCACAGAUCAUUUGAAUUUUCAUAAACAGGUGAUUAAAAUUUUGUCUAUUUCAGCUAAUUUUUUUUAGUUUACAUAUCAGUUAUAUUGUUACAGUCCAUUACGUUCUUGCUUGAAGUCAAGAAUGAUGUACAAAACUUUGCGCAGACUGGGAAAUUCUCCGAUUCUCAAAAAUUCCUUCGUUAAUCACUUUAUAUUUUGAGUUCAUAAACACCAUUUUUUUUACAUUUGAUUCUUUUUUUGAAUGAUGUUAUCUGCUCCUUAAUUGUACGCUAAACACUCAAAGCUUUAAUAUUCGAUUCACAUAAUUCUAGAUUGGCUGCUGAUGUUCCCUUUGUUCAAAACCUGCUGAUCUGUCAAAGCCAGAGUGUAAGACAUCCAGGUGUUAUUUUGCUUGAAUCAAUAUUAGGAUUUUGGUAGUGCAUAGUCUAGAUUCUGAAACAAAUAAGUAAUGCUCUCUCUGUUUGAAAAUAAGCUGGAUUAGGUUUGUGUUUGGAGGUACAAAACUGAUAAGAGAUUUCUUUGUAGAUUUAAGUCAUAUGAAUAACAUUUGUCAGCUAAGCUUAUGUCAUUUGUUACUUAAAUCAUUCAUACCUUCCGGUUUUGAGUGUUUCAACUUCUUCCACAAGUGCUUCUACUUCUGAUACAGAAAAUGGUCUUCUAAUUCUACGUUGUGAAACUUCACAUUUCUUGGUCAACUGAUAGUGCUUCAGUUUUCACUUACAAGGAUAGCAUCAGAGCUUUGGAAUCAGCCAUUCCAUCUUAUGGCGAUUCCGUUUGUAAGGGUAUAAUUUCUUGAUUCUUAUCAACUUGGUUUUAAGGGCAUUUCAGUUAUCAGGAUCAUUAGGGCAUUUACGUCUUUUUCAUAGACGAGAGAUCGAGAGAUCAAAAGUUGCAAUUUUGUCAGGGUAUAAUGUCUUGCAUAACAAACAGGGCCUUAAAGCAUUAGAAUUUCCACUCAAUAGUUUUGUUAGGGAGUUCAUAAUCUUUCUUUAAAGUUACUUUACAGUAUCUAGACGCCAUCAUCUUCCUUAUUCUUCUGUAUCCAGCCAGCACGUGACUGUGCCUGAAAUGCCCUCAUUUUGGUUCCAUGGUGAUUGAAUUUUCAUCAUCAUCAUCAUCAUCAUCAUCUCUAAUACCCAUCAUUACAUAUACCUUAUGUCUUACGAAAGGGUAGAUUUACACUACUAUGUAAGUGAACUUCAGAUGAAUUUUAUUUAGACAGUAAUAGGAUACUUAUGUGGGUUUACCAAAAUAAAAUAGAGAUGUUGUGCAACAAAUGAACAGAUUGGUUAGAUAUUUUCUUGCACCCCUGAAAAAAAAAAGAAAAAAAAACUCAAUUCAGUUAAGUGAGCAGCUACUCUUUAAAUAACUAAAUAACUCACAUGGCAAUGUAAUUUUUAUUUUACAUCAAUACUUUGCUAUUAGCAGAUGAGAUUUAAGUUGCAUAUUGUAAUCGGUAAUUUGCUAUUGUGCAGAGGCAUUUUGUAUGGGUCCUGACAUUUAAGCACCAGCACAAGUGAAGAAAGCCGGUGAAACCAACUUUCAUAAUUAAUAACAUGUGGAAGAGUUUGAGAGCUUACUGAGAAGUGUCAUCAACCCGUAAUUUAUUAUGGUCGUUCUAUCUGAUCUUCCAGAAGGAUCUUCAUCUUCUUCAUCAACUCAUGGUUAUAGUUCAUCAGCUCGUGUUCAUACUCCAUCCACUCAUGGUCAUAAUUCAUCAACUCAUAAUCAUAGAUAUGAUGUAUUUUUAAGUUUUAGAGGUGUUGACACUCGUCAUAGCUUCACUGAUCACCUUCAUAAGGCCCUCAUUGAUGCCAAUAUCAGUACCUUCUUGGAUGAUGAAGAGAUUGAAACAGGGGAAGAUCUGAAACCGGAACUGGAGAGUGCGAUUAAGGCAUCUCGGGCUUCUAUUAUCAUCUUGUCUAAGAAUUAUGCUUCUUCAACAUGGUGCCUGGAUGAAUUGGUGUUGAUCCUUGAGCAGCGUAUGACAUCCAACCAUAUCAUUGUCCCAAUAUUUUAUCAUGUGGAGCCCACCCAUGUCAGGAAGCAACAAAGUAGCUUUGGAGAUGCAAUGGCUAAGCAUAAACGGACAAUGGAGGCAGAGAUAAAUGCGGAUAAAAGAAGUCAAUUAGCUCAAAAGAUGAACCGAUGGAAUAAAGCGCUUACACAAGUUGCUGAUUUAAAAGGGAAUGACAUAAAUGGCAGGUAACCACUUUCUUACCCUUAUUCAUCUCCCAAUGCAUUUCAAUAAGUUUUUUCUAAAUCAUUAAAUAGACAUAUAUCUGAUGUAUUAUGAUAUAUAGAAGAUGCACAUAAUUGAAGAUAAGUUUCCAAAUAUGUGAUCUCCUAAACCAGUUCAUAUAGAUGGGUUAGCCAUUCUCAUAAUUUUCACAUGUUUGUUAUGCAUUUUGUAUUUUAGAUGAAGUUAGUGCAUUUAGAUGAACCAUCUCCUGGAUUUUUACAUGCUUUUUAUUUAAAAACCAAAGUUUGAUGAGUUUGCUAUGCAUUUACCGUUAAUUAUACCAUACUACCUUCAAAUCCCGGCUUUUAUGAUAAAUAAUUGCUUUUAGGUGUAUGUAGUAAAAGAUAGCCUAUAACUAUUUCAUGGCAUUUUGUUCAAAUCUAUGUAAACACCCACAUCGAUGGUUAAGUUUGAUAGUCUUGUAGAAACAUAGUGAAUUUUGGUGGCCUGUUAGUGGAAUCUUGUAUUUCAUUGGUUGCUUUGGUUAUACCAUAAUCAAAUCUUUAUGACCAAUCAUUAGCAAAAUCUUGUAUUUCAUGUCAUUUUGUUCAGAUUGAUGCAAACCAAUUAAUAAUAACAGCUAUGAUAUAAUCUUAGUUUGGAUCUUUGAAUAAGUUAAAUCUCACAAUCUGGUUCAUUAGUUUUGUAGAUUGUGUUUUGAAGUUCUUAUAUAAUCAAGUUUCAGGUUAGAGACGGAGUUUAUUGAAGAAAUUGUGAAGGACAUCCACUGUAGAUUACAUGUGCACUUAAGGAGUGUUGGACCACAACUUAUUGGGAUGAAUUAUCAUAUUAACUUUGUAACUUCAUGGUUAAAAGAUGGAUCCUCACAUACAGUAGACAUACUUACUAUUUAUGGUAUAGGUGGGAUCGGGAAGACAUCUUUAGCCAGACAUGUAUAUGGGCUAUAUUCUCAUGAAUUCCACAGAAGCAGCUAUAUUGAAGAUAUCACUAGAAAAUGUGGGGGAAAGUUUAAUGGGUUACUUGAUUUACAAGAAAAACUCUGCAAUGACAUUUCAAAAACAAGUUCAAUUAAAGUUCAUGAUGUUUCGGUAUACACCACAAAGAUACAGAAUGCACUAGCCCUUAAAAGGGUGUUUCUAUUUCUUGAUGAUAUCAAUACUCUUGUUCAGUUGGAUGCAUUACUUGGAAGCAAAGGUUUUCAUCCUGGAAGCAAAAUUAUAAUUACAACAAAAGACAGUUGGUUGACUGAGAGUUGUGCUUUAUUCAAAACAAACAUUAAACCCAAGCAUGAAAGGCAUUUACUUCAAGGCUUAGGUUAUAGUGCAUCGCUACAACUUUUGAGUUCUCAUGCAUUCGUGUGCAACCAACCCAAGGCGGGAUAUGAAGAGGUGUCUGAUAAACUUGUUAAGUAUUGUGAAGGACAUCCAUUGGCUCUUGAAGUUUUGGGAAAGUCUCUGCAUAAUCGAGAUGUAGCUUAUUGGGAAGGGUGCAUCGAAGGGUUAAAGAAAGAAAUUAGUUCCCCUAUAAAUAAUGUUUUAAAAAUGAGUUUCGACACCUUACCAUCCAAAAAUAAUAAGGACUUGUUUAAGUAUAUUGCUUGUUUUUUGUUGGAAUAGAUAGAGAUGUCACCGAAACAAUACUAGAGGCAUGUGAUAUAAACACAAGAUCCGGGAUCAUGAAUCUCAUUGACAGAUGUCUUCUUAGUAUUGGAUGGAAUAGUGAAUUGAAGAUGCAUCAGUUGGUUCAAGAGCUGGGAAGAUUCGAAGUACGUCAAGAGUCACUUGACAAACCAUGGAAGCGAAGUCAAAUAUGGUGUCAUAAGGAGUCAUUCAAAGUGUUGAAACAAAAAAAGGUGAGAGCUUAUGUAUACUUGUUGGUAGUGUGCAUAUUCAAAUUACAUUUUAUUAUUCAUUUUUAUUUUUGGCCAUCUGUUUCUUCUUAGGGUAAGGGAAAUCUUCUAGGCCUUACCCUUGACAUGCGCAUGCUUGAGAAAGAGAAGUUGGGUAUAUCAUAUGAGCUAAAAACAGAUGCAUUAAGUAACAUGGAUAAUUUGAUGCUACUGCAACUCAAUUAUGUGCACAUGAAUGGGUCUUUUGCAAACUUCCCAGAGGAAUUAAGAGGUUUGUGUAUGCAUGGUUCCAUUUAAAGUCUAUACCUUUAGACUUACCGAUGAUGAAUUUGGUUGCUCUUGACAUGUCAUAUAGCAAUAUCGAAUCAUUUGUCGGUUGUUAUAAUAAUCCACAACGGCUUGAAAAGAGGCAAAAGGUAACUUAUCUUCAUUUAUUAUUCGUCUGUGCUGAGUUGAUGGAAUUCUCAACUGUUCUAUCUUAUUUCCAUUUCUGUAGUUGGAUGGAUCGUGCUUAAAAGACAAAAGGUUGCUUGGAUCAUUAAAGAUUCUUAAUUUAAGCUUCUGUAAACAACUCCGUAGUCUUGGUGAUUUUGACCAACUUCCUGCACUUGAGAAGUUAAUAGUUAGAAACUGCAUUGGUUUGCUCGAUGUUUGUGAAUCAAUUGAGCAAUGUGCUGAACUUGUCUUCAUCGAUCUGAGCUACUGCAAGAAGCUUGAAAAACUUCCAAGAAAUGUAGGCAUGUUGAAGAAUGUUAAAACAAUGUUGCUAGAUGGUUGUAGUCCUGGUGGAUCUCGAAUCCAGAGGGCUAGCAACAUUGACAUAAAUACAAGAACCUCUUCCUCUUCCUUUAUGGUUGGUAUACCAAGUGAUUUGAAGUUCUUUGUAAUUUAUUUACCAAGGUCUUUAGUAAGUUUGUCAGUUGCAAAUAGUAAUAUGUCCACUAAAUCCUUUCCCAUGGACUUGAGUUGCCUAUCCAUGUUAAAGGAAUUAUAUUUAGAUGGCAAUCCUAUGAAUUCCAUGCCCAGUUGUGUGAGAACCCUUCCUAGGCUUGAGAUACUUAGUAUGGAGAAUUGUAGAAAGUUAAAGUCAGUUGAGCAUCCUCCACGAACACUAAAAAGGUUGCUCUUUUAUGUUAAUGGGGAUCUUCAAGGAAAAGUCGUAUUUGAUCCAGAGAUGUCCCCACUACAGUUAUCAUCAACGGUGUCGGUUUCUGCAGCUUUCUCAUAUGAAAUUGAAGGCAUUGUGAAAAUCCAACCAAUGGUAUGUGUUGAGGAAGAGGUAUUACGUAGCUUGGGCUGGAGUAAUUUAGACUUUCUUAACCAAAGGCACUUGGGAGCUUAUUCUUGGGAAUCUGGAACCCAGGUUUUUUUAGUUAAUUGUUUGUCUCUAUAUGAAUAUGUAUAAUAUAAUUAUUAUGGUGAUUAAUUAAGGUGAUUGUAUUUUGCAGAUGAUUUAUGAAUUUGGAAUAUUCAGCACAAUGUAUGAGGCGCAGGAGAUGCCGAGUUGGUUUAGGCAUAGAAGUGUGGGGCCAUCAAUAUCAUUUACCAUGCCAUCAUCAUCAUCAUCAUCAUCAUCAUCAUCAUUGUCAUCAUCUCCAAACAACCUCCUAAAAGGACUCAACUUCUGCUUCUCUGCUGACAAAUUGAGACCUGCAGUUCCAUAUGGUUGGUUCCAUUGGUCACCGGUGAUGGCAAUUACUAAUAUAACAAAGAACCACACGUGGAUAUACAAACGUUACAAAGACAGUUAUUGUUUUGAUCGAAAGUGUUGGGUGUUGUUAAGUCAUUGGAUGUUUGGGAUGAAUGAGAUGGAGGCUGGUGAUCAUGUUACUAUUUUUGUUACACUGCCAUAUAAUGAAUGUGUAAAGGAGUGUGGGGUGAGUCUUGUGUAUGAUGAUGGAGAGAAGAAGGAUGAGGAAGAAGAUGUGUUGGGUUAUUACAAGUCAUGGAAUCAUAUAAUUGGUGGAGAUCUCUCUCCUUUUAAGACAACUACAGGACAAUACGUCUUAUACUACUGGCGGUUUUUUGAUUAUGGCGUUACAUUGUAUCAAUAUUAUCGUAAAUUUGUUCCGGACGGCCCCCACUUUCAAGGUAGAUGUGAUUUUUGUUAAAUAGAUGGAUAACGACCCAUUUAUUUUAGCAGAUGGAUCAUAACUUAAAUCUUUUAAACAAAUGGAUCAUAUGACCAAAAUCCUCUCAUUUUAUUGAUCUAUAAGAUAGUAUUUUUUUUAUAAAAUAUAAAAAAUAAAAGUUGCACUUUUAAUUUAUGAAAUGAAUAAACCCAAAACAUCGAUUAGUCUAGUCUACACCAGGAGGUCCAGGAAGCCCAUCAAAUUAGUUGGGAUCAAGUCCAGUGCUUUUUGGUUGGGUAUGGUGUGCUGGCAUCCAUUUUACCCUACCCUAAGGAGUAUUUAAGCUUUUCAUUUUCUAGAAGAUUGUUAGCUAAGAAAAUUGUAGUAGCAAACAUGACUGGAGAGGCCCUUAAUUCCUCUGAAAGAAUGGGAAAACCCUAAUAAAUCAUUCAAUCAGUUAGUUGUUUCUGGUUGUGAAUUUCCUGCUUAUUCUCUUUACUUUGUGUGGGAGCUUAUAAGUACAAUCAAUUGAUCUAGGCUUUUGAUCUGUUGUAUCACAUAAAUACAUACGACUACUUUGUCCAGGUGGAUUGUUUGUGAAUAAUGAUUAACACGACUUUUUUUUUUUUUUUUUAUCUAUUUUCAGCACAAACAGAAAAGUGUUGGUUCAGAGCUUUCUCCCAGGGAAUCCUUGCAUAAUUGGAGGUGCAAAUGAGGUAUACCUUUUGACACCCAAACCCUUUCUCGCUUCACAUGACCAAAAGGCAUACAAAAUAAAAUAUUAGGAAUCAAAGUUCUCAAUUGGAUUAGGAUCUAAUAAUAAUAAGAGGAGUUAUAACAUUGCAAUGAACGCUUGAAAAUGCAAACAUUAAAAUUUAUAAUCAUUGAGUACUGUUAUGAAUUUCAGUUCAUACCAUGUCUAGACACAAUGGGUCAAAAUCUAGCUAGGAUCAAAUUCUCACCAUUCCCUGUACUUGUUAUGCAAUCGAGUUUAGUAGAUGUUGUUCUUGGGCAAAUUCUAUGUUAAUAACAAACUAUUGAACUUUGGAAAACAAUAUGAAAUUGUUUAAGAAUAUUGCUUGAUUUUAAGGAAUCUUCUUGAUAGAUGCCUUUUUUUAGGAUAGGACCAAGCAACGUGUUCAGAAUGCAUAAAUUCCUUCAAGAGUUUGGAAGAGAUGUAUCACUAGGAGUCAUUAAUUCUGUUGAAUCAAGAAAAUGUAACAUAAUAUUUACACUUCCAGGUAACUAUCUGUUUUCAUAGCAUUUUGUAUUAUAUCUUGUAUACUUACAUAACUUUUAUUUUUGUUUUUUUACUUUUCCUUUAUUUGUAGGGUGAGAAGGAAUCUUCAAGGUCUCGUCCUUCACAUGAAAAUGCUUGAAAAAUAGUUUGAUUCAUUUGAAAAUAGAUUCAUUCGGAAAAUGGGUAACCUAAUGCUAUUGCAACUCAAUGGUCUGCAAUUGAAUGAGUUAUAUCCUACUGCAGCUCAAUCGUGUGCACCUCAAUGACUUACUUUUAUCCAUACCUUUCCAGAAGUGUUAACAUAAUAUAUACUAGCCUCUGUUGAAAAGACUAAACAAAUUUCAAAUUGUAUGUUAUUUCCCCAUAAUUCUUUUAAGCAUAGUUGUCAAAAUUAAGCACUUCUCGAUUGUGUGCUAUUUCCUCAUAAUUUGAACUGAAAUCUUGGUAUCAAUCAUUCCCUAAUCAACAAUUUCCAUCAGUCUAUGGGCUAAAAAUCUCAAAUCCUUUUUGGGAUUCUAUAAUUUAUUUUGGUACUAUCUAAAAAUUCGCACACUACACCAUAAUAUCCUUUUUAGGCUCCGAUUCUGAAAGAUGAGAAUUCUCUUAUCAUUUGUUUUUUGAUUUUAGAAGCAACAUCUUUAGGUCACCCCUUUUUCUUCACAACACGGAACAGGAUACUAUCACAGAUUAAUUUAUAUUUCUUUUAUUUACUAUCCUAUUUAUCUUCAUAUUUACAUUAUGUUGUUGCCUAAAGAAUAUCAUAUUCUCAUUUGUUUUUAUUUUCCAUCCCAUCUUGAUAACCUAUGAAGUAUCAGUAGUGUUUUUGCACCACUCUCAUUUACAGGUUUUUACAUCUUGAUAUCUCAUCUUGAUUCCGCCUCAUUUGAGCUAAAAAACCGUUCAUCUCCUUACGAACAACUUGAUUACCAUUGAAGUCAUUCAGUUGGCCAUAAUUAACCUUGUUUUCCAUACCCACAUUGGAGAUACAAAUAAGGUUCUUUUUAACAGUCCUUAUGCAUACUUUGCUCCCUACCCUGUAAUUUUUCAAUCUCUAACAAUUCCAACCUGUCAUCCACCACGAUGCUUGGUGACCGUUGCUCAAGAGAAGCAAACAAAGAAACAAAGAAGACUAAAUUACAAAAAUCGUCUCUAUGGAAUAUUACCUUUUAUCCUUAUGGUCAUUUUGAUGAAUUUAAUAGGUCGGCCGCCAAGGACCGAAGGUGUGACCAAACGUUGGUUUAGUGAUGGAAAAGGUAAAUGGUGAAACUAUUAGACAAUAUCCAUGACAACAUAAACCAUAUGCUCAAUUUUUGUAGUCAACAUAAAACUAGUUACAUGAGUAUUUAAUAGUUUGAUCGAUCUAGUUACACGACCCAACUGAUUAACAGUGUGAACAAAUCUUGUUUUUGGGCUGAACAAGCAAAUAUGAAACUACUGGACCAAUUUAUAAAAAGAUGAAACACAGGUAUGGUUUCUGUAAUUUAGUAAACAAAUAAUUACUUGAAUUUUUGAUGUUAUUAACUAUUUUUCCCAAUUUUUAAGCCUCCAUGACAAUAUAAAUUCGUGAAAAAUAGUAUCCAGAUGAUAAAAAAUUCAUCAUACUUCCACUAAACAAACUUAAGCUGGGAAAAAUAUAAAAUGGGUUUCUAAAUAGUUACCUGGACUUUAUUAUUUUUUGUGUAUUUAUUCUAACAAAAAUGGAAAUAAAUAGAAUACAGUUUCCAAAAUCGCCCAAACUUUUUUUAACUCUGAUUUUAUACAUAUAUAAGCUGUGAAAAAUAUAAAAAAAUAUUUUUCAAUUAGAUUUUCUAUUUUUCUUUGUUUUAUUCUCUUGAAUAAUCAUUAAUUGGUGAAUAAUUAUCAAACUAUUAAAUUAAAUUACCAAAAUAUUUGAAAACUUCGUUUACAGUGUACAUAAUCUGGGAAAAAUAUCAAUGGUGAUUUUUACAUAUUGUAAUAUGAUUUUGUGGAUUUAAGUGUAUUUAAUCUUAGAAAUAGGGGAAAAAUAGUAUACCGAAUAGAAAAAUCAUCAAAAAUUUUAGUUACAGUUCUAAUAUAUAUGAGAGUCCUCUGGUACAUUUUCAUGAAUUUUGAAUGAAUAAAACUAUUUUUCUCAUUAUUAGUCCAUUAUAAAUACAAAAAUCGGGGAAAAUAGAUAUGCAUCAUAAAAAAUUCUGAAAAUAUUUUUCUGAGUCUUCCACAUAGGGUAGGAGCUGCGAAAAUUGUUAGAUAGACUUUUCAAAUUUAUUAAGGUGGUUUUAUGAUUUAUUUGAAUUAAACAAAAAAAAAUUCAAAACCAUAGCAAAAAGUAACAAAAAUCGAUGAAACUCACUGAGAAGUCAUCAUUCACUUUAGGGUCAUCCACGAAUUUACCUAUGAUUUAUAGACAUCAGAAAAUAUUUUAUAUGAAUUGUUUCCCUAUUUUAUUGCAAUAAUUAUAAUAAUUCGAGAAAAAUGAAUUAUUUUCUGAAAAUUUGUAGAACAUCUCAUUUUGUUGAUGGAAUUCUAGGUAAAAUCGGAUUUUGUCAUAAAAGAAGUUUAACAUAUUUAUUUGGGAAUAAAUCUUUUAUGAACCUAUUUGAAUGCUUUUUAACAACAAACUUUGAUGAUCAAGCCUCUAAGCUUGAAGAUCAUCACAUGCAUGUUGGUUUUUGGGUGAAAUAAUAUCACCAUAAUCAUAAAAAUCAUGGUUAUGAACAUGCAUGUGAAUAAUCCAUCUAUAGAAUGGUGUAGAAAAAGAAGAUAUGCAAGAAAACUUGAGAUUUUGAAGGAAGAUUGAACGAUUUUCGUGAUUACCUUGAAGAACCACCCUAGAUGAUGAAGAUUUCAUGAUUAUAGGUGUUGUUUGAUCUUAUUUUUCCAAAAAUUUCAUGGGUUAGGAAGAGGGGGAAAGAAUGGGGGUUUUAGAGAGAAGAAAAGAGAGAUUAUAUCUCUCUGGAUAGAUCAUCUCUCUCGUCAUCUCUUUGGGGUUCCCCUUAACCAAAAGCGACCACAAAAAUACAGAGAUGCAUCAGGACUCAUGAAGAAUGGACUGGCUAAAUCUCUGCCACAGAUUCGGCUCCUAUGUUCGUCAGUUUUAAAGAGAAGUGAAAGAUAAGUUUUUAGAGAGAGAAAGAAAAAGGCGGAGUGUGGGAAAUGAGGGAUGUGAUUAUGAUUUUGGGGAAGAGAGGUAUGGGGGAGGAGAGAUCCGACUUUUGAAUGGAGAUAGAGGUUCCCUCUUUUAAAUUUUAUAAAAUUUAAAGCAAAUUUUAUAAAAAUAUCAAGGUUUUAUUCACAAUACGUUGAGUUUUGGCUUAUAAAUUAAGGGUAAUUGGUAAUGACCUAAAUUUUUUUUCCUUAAAUAAAUUUUCAUAAUUUUAAUUAUUAUAAGAUCAUAUUAUAAGUUUCAUAAUUAUUUUUAUAGAAUUUUUAAGUUUAAAGUUUAUAAAUACGAGUUUUUAUGGCUUUUAGGGUUUUGGAGUUUAUUAAACUUUGAAUAUCAAAAUAGAUUGAAUCUUUGAGACUUUAAAUUAUUUUUGUGUUUCCUAACUCUUAUUCAGGUUAGAAAUAAUGUUUGUAAUUUAUUUUUAACGGUUUAUUGGCAUUCUAUGUAGUGUUUCCGAGAUUCAAACGAAAUUGAGGAAUCAAGUAUACAAGUCAUAGUUUUCAACAUUGACUUAAGUUUCUAUGAGACAUUGACCUAAUUUCUACUUCUAGGUCAAGUGCAUGAUGUGUGUAUAUGAUUCUUAAAAAGGUUUUCGAGUCAAAGAGUGACCCAAAUAUGGAUAGUCUCUAUAGUUAAGUAGUUACAGAAUUCACAUAUUAAUGUGAAAUCUAAGUACACCAUCCAUUGUUUCUAUCUGUUUUCAAGUUUCUAGUAGGCUAUAACUUUGUUUCUAGCUACCAAUUCUAGUAUGUUUCAUGCUUAUAUGUGGAACUAAAUUUAGUCAAAUCUAGAACCGACUCGAAUUUUGACGGUUGUCACAGGAAGGGUGCUUAGAAGGGCUAAAGAAAGAAAUAGAUUCUCGUGUAAAUAAUGUCUUGAGAAUGAGCUUUGAUUCUUUGCCAUAUAAAAAUGAUAAGUACUUGUUUAAGUAUAUUGUUUUUUUUUGUUGGAAUUGAUAGAGAUGUUACUGAAACAAUAUUAAAAGCAUGUAAUAUAAAUACAAUAUAUGGAAUCCCGAAUCUCCUUGACCGAUUCCUUCUUACUAUUAGAGGGAAAAAUGAAUUGAAGAUGCAUUAGUUCGUUCAAGAGAUGGGAAGAUUCGAAGUAUCUCAAGAAUCACUUGAUAUGCCAUGGAAGCGAAGUCGAUUAUGGUGCCAUAAAGAGUCAUUCAGAGUGUUGAAACGAAAAAAGGUAAGAUGUCAUGUAUACUUUUUGUAAUGUGCAUGUCUGAAGCCCUUUUUAUUUUCUAAUACUCUAAUUUUUAAAAUUUAAAUUGUAUUUCUUCUUAGGGUAGGGGAAAUCUUCUAGGCCUUUCCCUUGACAUGCGCAUGCUUGAGAAAGAGAAGUUAGGUGCAUCAUUUGAGCUAAACACAGAUGCAUUGAGUAACAUGGAUAGUCUGAUGCUACUGCAACUCAAUUACAUUCACUUGAAUGGGUCUUAUGAAAGCUUUCCUUAGGAAUUAAGAGGGUUGUGUAUGCAUGGGUUUCGUUUAAAGUUUGUACCUUUAGACUUACCUAUGGAGAAUCUUGUUGCUCUUGAUAUGUCAUAUAGUAAUAUUGAAUCAUUUGUCAGUUGUUAUAGCAAUUCACAACGACUUGAGAAGAGGCAAAAGGUAAAUUAUAUUAAUUUUUUGUUCUUUCAUGUUCACUAUACAAUGUGUUUAUUAUGUUUAAAAAGGAGAGAGAUCUUUCAUUAAACUUUCCAUUAUAUUCAUUUUUUGUUCUUUCUUGUUCACUAUACAAUGUGUUUUGUAACACCCGUAGAUCUGGGCUAGUCAAUUUAGAGGCAAUAAGUGUCGAAAACGACUUUUUGGCAAAAGAUUAUUUAGAAUAAAUAAUCUUAACCAAGUUGUAGAAUAUGUCUCAAGGAUUCUGUACAUAUAAAGAACGCCGAAAUCCGAGUUAUAACGAAGAAGUUGUGGCCUGUCGAAGUUUUACGGCAAAACCGGCACGACACCGGGAGACGUAAAUAGUGAAUUUACGAAGGAGGACCUUUUAGUCUUGAUGAUCUAAACGAAAGUCGUAUAACAUGUUACACUGAGAGCGUCCAUAAAAAGAACGUCCAAAUCUGACUCCGUAUAAGGAAGUUAUGAAUUUUCUAAUAUUCAGCAUAGCAGUGCACGACCCGAAAUUCGAAUUUUAGUUUAAGCGGUUUUUGGCCAACACAACCUAAAUGAGAAUUGAAUAUCUUAUUAAUAUUAAUACAACGGUAAAAAGACAGACGAAAACGGACGUCGGAUGAAGAAGUUAUGUAUUUUGAACGGACUUUUCCUGUCCUGUUAAAAAUAUAAUUUUAAACAUAAAGUCAAAAUUAGCUGACGAAGUCUAAACGAAAGUUUUAGAGUACGUCUCCACCUGCGUGUGGAUAUAAAGAAGGUCAAAAACAGAGUUCGUAUGAACGAGUUACAAAUUAUAAUAACAUGUUUACAUAUUAAAAUAAAGNUAAACUUGAUAAGAUAUACAUUCAAUACUCAUUCCAGAUAAACAGAUCAUGUAUAUAUAUAUAUAUAUAGACACACACACACAUAUGUAUAUAUAUCAUUAGAAAGGUAUCAACGAUGUGGUCAUUAUAAGACUAAUGUUGAGUUCUUUCGACAUUAGUUUAAUACAAAUAUCGUUAAAUGUAUUUAAAAUAGUAUUAUAAAGGGGUGUUUAGUUGUUUAUAUAACUAUAAGGCCAUUAAGUAAUUAUGGAGGGUAGUUUUUGAAAAUUCAAUUACUAUAAAUAAGAGCCUUGGGCUCUCAUAUUUUUUGCAUCAUUCUCUUGAUUCAAAAGUCUUUCUCUUCUUAUCCCCCGAGCAUUUCGGUCCCUCGUGAUUCGACUUCUCUUUCUUUAGUUUUAGUAUAGUAAGGUUAGCGUUGCAUGAAUCUUUCUUAGAAAGAUUCAGUGGCGAAGUUCUGUCCCUGCAGAGCUCGGCUCCUAGCUAAAGCCCCUUUGCAAGUUCUGUCCGAGGGAAAUUAUUUUGAGAUAACGAAGUGCUGCCCAAUUGCAGAGUCACCACCUUUUCAAGUGAGUGCAUAGUUACUUUCAUCUUAAACAUAGAUAUGAAGUAUUUAAUAUAAAUUACGUGCUAUGUGUGCAAAUUGUCAGAAUACUUGUUGUCUAUGUUGAUGAAAGAUUUUUAUACAUGUUUUAAAUGAUUUAAAUUGUAUACUUAUUUUAUAUCUACAAAUAUGUUGGGUAUAACAUGGGUAGAUGAAUGAUGAGAGAUAAAAGAUGAUGUUAGUAAACAUUGGAAGCUAUAAAUUUAGUGUCCAGUAAAUAACACCGGCAUCUAUGGGCUUAGUGCAUAUUGGACAAACGAGGGUAGCUAUUGACUUAGUACCUAUUAGGUAAACACGAGUAGCUAUGGACUUAGUACAUGUUAGGUGUUGGUAGCUAUGGACUUAGUACUUGGUAGCUAUGGACUUAGUACCUGUUAGAUAAACGUUGGUAGCUAUGGAUUUAGUACCUAUAAUGGUAGCUAUGGAUUAAGUACCCGAUGAAUGAACUUUGGCAGCUAUGGAAUUAGUGCAUUGGCAGCUAUGGACUUAGUGCCUAUCUUAUAGCCCUGGAAGUAAGGGACUUCGGAAUGAACGAAUAGAUGACUCUUAGGGUAGACCCUUGAGAGUAAGGAAGAUAUGGGGAUGGGUAAUUGGGUUGAUUGUUUGAUGUUUAAACAAAAUAAUUAUAUUAUUGUGGGUUGAAAACCCUAUGUACUCACCAGGUUUCCCAACCUGACCCACUCAAGCUUAUUUGUAUCACAGGUGUCGAUAUGAAGUUACAUUACACUGAGAGAUUAAAGAGAUGUAGAUCACUAGUGUAAAUAAAUGUAAGUUCUGUUUAUGCUUAUGUUUCUGUAUUAAUGAUGACAUCCCACAUGUUUUAAAAUGAACAAAAAUACAUUUAUUCGGAAAUUCUUUGAUAACGUAUUUAUCAUGUUUUUUUCUGGGAACAAAUUCCGCAACACUUUUAUUAAAAGAUGUACUCUAAUUUUUAUAAAACAUAAACAAAAUCGGUCUUUUCUAGCCGUGAAAAUGGGGAUGUCACAGUUGAUAUCAGAGCAUUAGUUUAAACGAACUAGGAAUAAAGAUUUAUUUCAAGACUUAAACUUAGAAUGCUAAGCGACGAUUGUGAGGAGUGUGUCUAAUAAAUUUAGGUAAUACACCUGAGUAGACACAAGCACUAGCUUAUUUAGGGAAAAUGCCUAACAUACUUUUAUGUGCUAAAUGAUUUAUGAUAUGCAUUAUAAGAUCAGAUCUAUGGUCUGUUGACGACCGAAUCUGGAAACAUUAUGUGUUUAGGUUUUUAAAUGUUUAGUUACGGUAUUAGAGUUGGCACGUAACUUUUCAGAGUAAUAAGGAGUGUUACACGUCUAAAAUCUUCUCUAUCUAUAUUCUCGUCUUGAUGCGAUGAAUGCAUGCUUUAGUGAAAAUAACAUCAUGGUGAAGACUUAUAGAAAAUUGAGUAAAUAGAUGAAAUAAAAAAGGCUUAUGAUAGUGAAUGACACCUAUCAGAAGAUAUCGUAAGAGAAGUAUUUUGCCUUUAGAAUAUGUUAGAAGGUACGUUUAGAGGAGUACGGUACGUCCAAAGUACACCGUCGAUUGACGGGAUGAUGGAAUGUGGUGGUUGUCGAGGCCAACAAAAAUAAUAACCCUAAAUAUUACACACUAAAAUAGUGUAUAGCGGUAAAGGGGUCGAAUCCACAGAGAUUGGUUCAAUUUAUAACUCUAUGAAAAAUCUCUUUGUAAAAAUACUUGUAAAAUUACAAUAAAAAUAAAAUGGGGGGUUUUGGUGUUUUGAAAUACUUUAAACAAACUAGAAUUAACUAUGAUUUAAAUAGACAAUUUCAAGAAAAAUAAGGGUUUGAUGUAAAAUCAAUAAGGGUGAGAUGGUUGACUUAAAGUUUCCUCACUUUGACUUUUGAUGAACAUAUCAUUAGAAUCCAAUGGUGCAAUACUUUGAUUUAAAUCCUUAAUUUGGCUAUAGUAAUCCAAGGAGCUUGAGAUUACCUAGACUUUUCUUAAUUGUUGAAAUGGCUAGAGAAGCUCAUAAUAAUUUCCUUAGUCAAAGUCACUAAUUCCAAAUAGCAUGCAAUUAAUGAAAGUCAACUAGCAUUAAGAACCAAAAAGUCACCAAAUCCAAGAGGAGUCAAUUGCUUUCAUUACCAUGUUGGAGAUUUUUUUUAUGUGGUGUGAAGCAGAAACAACACAAAAAUCAUUUGUUGCUUGCUAAUUUGAGGAUCCUUUACUUAAUCAAGAAAUUAGCCAACUAAUCACCACAAACACAUUUAAACUCAUGAAUAAAAACAUAUUAGUAGUGAUAAUAUGAUAAAACACAAAACAUUUCCAUAAAGAUUUAAGAACAAGUUCAUGGAUUUUCAACAUUCAACAAAAGUUCAAAGGAUUCAACAAAAAGUCAACCAAGAUUAGUUUAGCCAAGCAUGACUAAACUUAAAGAAGCAAAAUUAGUUAAGAUUGUACCAAACAUUUGACAAGAAUCAAGAGAUGAAAGAAGAUAUUCUUGAAGUGUUCUUGGCCUUCAAAAGUACUCCAAACUCCAAAGAGAAUGUGUCAAACUCGGACCUCCAAGAUAAGGCUGAGAAGGAACGCCAACCUUCCCAAUAUAGAGCUUUAAGUAAAAUUCCAAAAUUGCCCUUGUCAGGAAUCCACGCGGACCGCGGGUAAUCUUACGCGGGCCGCGUUACUGCGAUGAAAUUUUUGGGCUUCUUCAAGUCUUGGGCCCCCACAGCUAAUCCAUUGGCCCAGUUCCAAUCCAAUCAUCUUCUAGCCCAUUUUUCUUCAAUAUUUCUUCAAUUAGAGCCCAAUUUGUCUCUCCACAUCACUCAAAACUUCCGCAAACUCCUAGACAUCGAUCUUGCACACUCAAGAAUUCUCCCGCGCCCUUUGAUAUUUAAUGUUCAAAACUUUCGCGCCUUCAAGCAGUUGACAAGCCUACUCCCUGAAUCACCUCCACAUCCAUCAAGCACGAAAUACCCACUACUCUUCAAGUGCAAUCGCCUUCCAAAAGAUCCCGCACACUCCCACUCCUCUAGUUUCCUUAAAAUCUGCAAUAAUGCUCAAGAAACUAGAAAGUACCCGAAUUGGUCAUAAAAAUAACAAAAAGGAAAAAAUACAUGGAAAUUAACUAAAAUGUGAAUGGAAUGUGCUAAAAAAACUAUAAAAAGAAGUAAAUAAAACGAAGCUAUCAGAACGAUUGGUUUAAUUCCUAAAGUUGUCCUAUCGUAUGGCAUUUCCACCACCAACCGAGUUGAAGCAGAAUUAAUGAUUGAAGAUACAUGUGGAAGAAGUCCUAGUAGAGUCUAGGGGAGAAUUUUGUGAUUGUAUGGACACAUUUGUAUGUGUUAAAUUUUUUUUUUUGUGAUAAAGACUUGGAAAACUACGACAUAAUACUUGGGACGGGUAUGAGUAGGUGUGGAUGGUAGUAGAGGCCUAUACUAUCGGAAGCACAACACUCUCACUUGGAUUAGGGAAAGUCACAAGGUUACCAAGAAGCUAGUAAUUGAUUUUGUUUUGUUCAUGUGUGUCAUUAUCAUUGUUUCGGUAAUAAUUAAGAAGAUGAUUGUUAUUCCGCCCCUAGUGUUCAUAUCAUAUUGAGUCCGACUAAGACGAGUAUGUUACGUGGUUCAGAGAACCAAGUUUGAUGUAACAUCUGACUUAAGCCAGAAGAUUGAAGUGAGAGAUAAUUGAAGUGAUCAACAGAAGUAUCGUUCUCGUUGUUAAAGCUUGUAGCUAGAAGUGCUACAUGCUAUGACAUGAUUAUAUCACAUUAGAACAUGAAGGAAGACAUAGUAUGUUCUGGAGUUUGACUCUAAGAGACCUGAGUCUAAGCGUUGCAAUAUACGAUGAUAGGUCAUUAGAAUAUGACACAUCGGUCCAUUGUAGUAAUAAAAGAACUUAUCUUAAGUUGAGUGUCCAGUAAGGAUCAAGAUUGCGAAUCGAAGGUCUAACAUGGGACAGAGCGAGAUCAAGCACUACUUGUAGUAAAGAAGACCAUGACUUAGAUAUUCAUUCAAAGAAACAUAGAAUUUAUGAUUAUUACCUUGGAUGAAGAGAUAAAGUAUGGAGUCAUUAUACAACCCUGUUUCGUUCAUGAUUCCAGGACGUAAUCAUCCUAAGGGGGAGAUAAUUGUAACACCCGACUAGUCAAUAUAAAGGCAGUAAGUGUCGAAAACGACUUUUUGGCAAAAGAUUAUUUAGAAUAAAUAAUCUUAACCAAGUUGUAGAAUAUGUCUCAAGGUUCUGUACAUAUAAAGAAUGCCAAAAUCCAAGUUAUAACGAAGAAGUUAUGGUCUGUCGAAGUUUUACGGCAAAACAGGCACGACACCAGGAGACGUAAAUAGUGAAUUUAUGAUGGAGGACUUUUUACCCUUGGUGAUCUAAACGAAAGUCGUAUAAUAUGUUACACCAAGAGCGUCCAUAAAAAGAACGCCAAAAUCUAACUUCGUAUGAGGAAGUUAUGAAUUUUCUAGUAUUCGAUAUAGCAGUGCAUGACCCGAAACUCAAAUUUUAGUUUGAGCGGUUUUUGGCCAACGCAACCUAAAUGAGAAUUGAAUAUCUUAUUAAUAUUAGCACAACAGUAAAAAGACAGGCGAAAACGGACGUCGGAUGAAGAAAUUAUAAAUUUUUAACGGACUUUUCCUGUCUUGGCUUGUUAAAAAUAUAACUUUAAAAAUAAAGUCAAAAUUAGCCGACGAAGUCUAAACGAAGGUUGUAGAGUACGUCUCCACCUGCGCGUGGAUAUAACGAACGUCAAAAACAGAGUUCGUAUGAACGAGUUACAAGUUAUAAUAACAUAUUUACAUAUUAAAAUAAAGUAUAAAUCAUAUAUACGUAAGCAUAUAUAUAUAUAUAUANUCAUUAGAAAGGUAUCGACGAUGCGGUCAUUAUAAGACUAAUGUUGAAUUCUUUCGACAUUAGUUUAGUACAAAUAUCGUUAGAUGUAUUUAAAAUAGUAUUAUAAAGGGGUGUUUAGUUGUAUAUUAUUGUGGGUUGAAAACCCUAUGUACUCACCAGGUUUCCCAACCUGACCCACUCAAGCUUAUUUGUAUCACAGGUGUCGAUACGAAGUUACAUUUGUUGGAAUAGUGUCUAAGGCUGCAACUAUAUUAGGCAAGUAUUUGACCCGAUUGUGCAUGGUCCUUUUGGGUUGCCUUCACCAUAGCAACUUGAUAGGAUGAUUUAUUAUGAGAGAAUAAAUAUUAUUAAUAUAUUAUGAGAAUAGUAUAAGGAAUAAUAAUAUUGUUAUUUGAUUAAUAUACGUCAAAGAUUAAUUAAUAUUAAUUUGGUGACUUAAAGAGAUUAAUUAAAUAAGAGGGUAUAAACUGUCAAUUGUUUGAUAGUUACACUUUGGGCUAUAAAUCCUUAUAGGAUAUAGGGUGGAUGAUUUCUAGAGCUAGGAUAAGCCUAAAAUCAUCCAGGCAUAUCCAAGGAAAGGAUUAGGAUUACUUAGAGUCUAAGUUAUCCAAUUAGGGUUUAAGGGUAAAACCUUAGGAGCCUUACAAGUAUAAAUAGACCCCUUGGGAUAGGGAAAUCGGCAUCUCCUCUACAACAAGGAUACCCUGACCGAUUUACUCCUCUCUCCUCUCUCUCAAAUCAUUCUCUUUGCUAGUUGGUGUUUGUAAGCCAUUAGAGGAGUGACAAUUGUGACUUUAAAGCUCCAAGAACAAGAAGAUCAAACAAGUGUUUCAAGGUAUGCUUCUAACUCUGGUUUUGUAUUGUUCUUAUACCUAAUUAGUCAUUAGAAGUCUUGGAUUCAUUGCAUGUUUAAUUAGAGAAACCUAGAUCCAAGCAUUAAGGUUUGUAUGUGCACAUAGGAAUGUUCAUAUGACCAAAACCCAUCAGUGGUAUCAGAGCCUAGAUUGGUUUCUAUUAAAUUGUUGCUUGAUUGUUUGAAUCUUACCUGCAAAAUUCAAAUUUUGUGAUUAUGAGUCAUGGACUCGACGAGUCCCAUAGUGGACUUGGCGAGUUGGCCUGAAUCGGCGAGUCCAGUUUGGGUACUUGGCGAGUCCGAGCGUCAGGAAGAGCCAAAAUCGGGAUUUUUUUCAUAUUUAUCUUAUGGAAACUUACGUUUAUCAUAUUAGAUCAACCCAAAUCCGAUUUCAUGAUAUAUAUGACUAUAUUUUUGAUCUAAUUGAAGAUAUUUAUCAAUUAAUAAAAUAUUUAAUUUCCUUAUAUGAUAAUUAUUAAUUAUUUUGAUUAAAUUGGUAAAUUGUUCAAAUAUGGAUAAUUAUGUGAUUAAUUGUUAAUUUAAAUUAUUUUUUAUUUGAUCCUUUAUGUUUUAAAUGUUUAAAACUUGUCCUCAAGUUUUGAAAUUUAUGUUUUGUAAUUAAAAGUUUAAUUUAGACAAUUUAAUUUUCAAACCCUAGAAUUUUACAAGUUUAAAAUCCAACCCUAUACUAAUAUAAUAUUACAAGAUUAAUAUCUAUAUAUGUAUAACUUAUAUGCUAGUCUUACCGUUAGUAGGCCUCAUUCACGAAGCUGGUCUAUAAGGUGGGUAUAAGGUUGCGGCCUAUAAAAUGGCGCUUAAUGGGUGUACACUUACACCCACCGCUUCCUUGAUCGGUGGAGGGUAGUUAGUCGAACGGGUAGGAUAGGGCAACCUCAUCCUCUCAUUAAAAGUAUAAUAUGAAAUACAAAGUAACUACAUGUUUUCUUAAAACUUCCCAAUCUUAGUUACUUUAGGAAAAGUGAAUUGAUGCAAUCCCAUGAAAUUACACUUUGCACCUUGCUAAGAUGUUAGUGGCGCGUGUGUGGUUUACCGGCACACUAAUUGGUUCUAAGCGAAGGUGGCAAAGGGUGAUUCAUUGUUUAUCAUAUUUCGAUGGAGCGUGUGUGGUUUACCGGCACAUCGAAUAGGCGAUCGUUACAAUGAAGGCACCAUGUGAAUUUGCAUGGUAAUUCACACCCGCUUUGUGAUCCUCGGUAUCCCAGUCACAAACUAGAGGGGCAUAUCGAGAUUUAAACAUGUCAUUGAAAAGUUUCAAUGAAUCUCAUUCGAACCUAGGAAUUCUCAAUACAUUUAGGACAUAAAGUUAUGUUUUUCAUGGUGGAGAAUUAGUGAAUCGUCAUUCACUUACCUUCAAAUUGUUUGCAUAUUAGAUUACGGCAUCCCUCUUCUAAUGUGUAAAUAUUGUUGUUGGAUCCUAGCCCUAAUUUUUCUUAUUGGGUGAUAAUUAGGGAUUCAUAUUCUAAUCUAUCUUUGUCCUUUCUAUUUGUAGAUGUCGAACGCAAACAACGCUGCUGCUAGUUCNNNNNNNNNNNNNNNNNNNNNNNNNNNNNNNNNNNNNNNNNNNNNNNNNNNNNNNNNNNNNNNNNNNNNNNNNNNNNNNNNNNNNNNNNNNNNNNNNNNNNNNNNNNNNNNNNNNNNNNNNNNNNNNNNNNNNNNNNNNNNNNNNNNNNNNNNNNNNNNNNNNNNNNNNNNNNNNNNNNNNNNNNNNNNNNNNNNNNNNNNNNNNNNNNNNNNNNNNNNNNNNNNNNNNNNNNNNNNNNNNNNNNNNNNNNNNNNNNNNNNNNNNNNNNNNNNNNNNNNNNNNNNNNNNNNNNNNNNNNNNNNNNNNNNNNNNNNNNNNNNNNNNNNNNNNNNNNNNNNNNNNNNNNNNNNNNNNNNNNNNNNNNNNNNNNNNNNNNNNNNNNNNNNNNNNNNNNNNNNNNNNNNNNNNNNNNNNNNNNNNNNNNNNNNNNNNNNNNNNNNNNNNNNNNNNNNNNNNNNNNNNNNNNNNNNNNNNNNNNNNNNNNNNNNNNNNNNNNNNNNNNNNNNNNNNNNNNNNNNNNNNNNNNNNNNNNNNNNNNNNNNNNNNNNNNNNNNNNNNNNNNNNNNNNNNNNNNNNNNNNNNNNNNNNNNNNNNNNNNNNNNNNNNNNNNNNNNNNNNNNNNNNNNNNNNNNNNNNNNNNNNNNNNNNNNNNNNNNNNNNNNNNNNNNNNNNNNNNNNNNNNNNNNNNNNNNNNNNNNNNNNNNNNNNNNNNNNNNNNNNNNNNNNNNNNNNNNNNNNNNNNNNNNNNNNNNNNNNNNNNNNNNNNNNNNNNNNNNNNNNNNNNNNNNNNNNNNNNNNNNNNNNNNNNNNNNNNNNNNNNNNNNNNNNNNNNNNNNNNNNNNNNNNNNNNNNNNNNNNNNNNNNNNNNNNNNNNNNNNNNNNNNNNNNNNNNNNNNNNNNNNNNNNNNNNNNNNNNNNNNNNNNNNNNNNNNNNNNNNNNNNNNNNNNNNNNNNNNNNNNNNNNNNNNNNNNNNNNNNNNNNNNNNNNNNNNNNNNNNNNNNNNNNNNNNNNNNNNNNNNNNNNNNNNNNNNNNNNNNNNNNNNNNNNNNNNNNNNNNNNNNNNNNNNNNNNNNNNNNNNNNNNNNNNNNNNNNNNNNNNNNNNNNNNNNNNNNNNNNNNNNNNNNNNNNNNNNNNNNNNNNNNNNNNNNNNNNNNNNNNNNNNNNNNNNNNNNNNNNNNNNNNNNNNNNNNNNNNNNNNNNNNNNNNNNNNNNNNNNNNNNNNNNNNNNNNNNNNNNNNNNNNNNNNNNNNNNNNNNNNNNNNNNNNNNNNNNNNNNNNNNNNNNNNNNNNNNNNNNNNNNNNNNNNNNNNNNNNNNNNNNNNNNNNNNNNNNNNNNNNNNNNNNNNNNNNNNNNNNNNNNNNNNNNNNNNNNNNNNNNNNNNNNNNNNNNNNNNNNNNNNNNNNNNNNNNNNNNNNNNNNNNNNNNNNNNNNNNNNNNNNNNNNNNNNNNNNNNNNNNNNNNNNNNNNNNNNNNNNNNNNNNNNNNNNNNNNNNNNNNNNNNNNNNNNNNNNNNNNNNNNNNNNNNNNNNNNNNNNNNNNNNNNNNNNNNNNNNNNNNNNNNNNNNNNNNNNNNNNNNNNNNNNNNNNNNNNNNNNNNNNNNNNNNNNNNNNNNNNNNNNNNNNNNNNNNNNNNNNNNNNNNNNNNNNNNNNNNNNNNNNNNNNNNNNNNNNNNNNNNNNNNNNNNNNNNNNNNNNNNNNNNNNNNNNNNNNNNNNNNNNNNNNNNNNNNNNNNNNNNNNNNNNNNNNNNNNNNNNNNNNNNNNNNNNNNNNNNNNNNNNNNNNNNNNNNNNNNNNNNNNNNNNNNNNNNNNNNNNNNNNNNNNNNNNNNNNNNNNNNNNNNNNNNNNNNNNNNNNNNNNNNNNNNNNNNNNNNNNNNNNNNNNNNNNNNNNNNNNNNNNNNNNNNNNNNNNNNNNNNNNNNNNNNNNNNNNNNNNNNNNNNNNNNNNNNNNNNNNNNNNNNNNNNNNNNNNNNNNNNNNNNNNNNNNNNNNNNNNNNNNNNNNNNNNNNNNNNNNNNNNNNNNNNNNNNNNNNNNNNNNNNNNNNNNNNNNNNNNNNNNNNNNNNNNNNNNNNNNNNNNNNNNNNNNNNNNNNNNNNNNNNNNNNNNNNNNNNNNNNNNNNNNNNNNNNNNNNNNNNNNNNNNNNNNNNNNNNNNNNNNNNNNNNNNNNNNNNNNNNNNNNNNNNNNNNNNNNNNNNNNNNNNNNNNNNNNNNNNNNNNNNNNNNNNNNNNNNNNNNNNNNNNNNNNNNNNNNNNNNNNNNNNNNNNNNNNNNNNNNNNNNNNNNNNNNNNNNNNNNNNNNNNNNNNNNNNNNNNNNNNNNNNNNNNNNNNNNNNNNNNNNNNNNNNNNNNNNNNNNNNNNNNNNNNNNNNNNNNNNNNNNNNNNNNNNNNNNNNNNNNNNNNNNNNNNNNNNNNNNNNNNNNNNNNNNNNNNNNNNNNNNNNNNNNNNNNNNNNNNNNNNNNNNNNNNNNNNNNNNNNNNNNNNNNNNNNNNNNNNNNNNNNNNNNNNNNNNNNNNNNNNNNNNNNNNNNNNNNNNNNNNNNNNNNNNNNNNNNNNNNNNNNNNNNNNNNNNNNNNNNNNNNNNNNNNNNNNNNNNNNNNNNNNNNNNNNNNNNNNNNNNNNNNNNNNNNNNNNNNNNNNNNNNNNNNNNNNNNNNNNNNNNNNNNNNNNNNNNNNNNNNNNNNNNNNNNNNNNNNNNNNNNNNNNNNNNNNNNNNNNNNNNNNNNNNNNNNNNNNNNNNNNNNNNNNNNNNNNNNNNNNNNNNNNNNNNNNNNNNNNNNNNNNNNNNNNNNNNNNNNNNNNNNNNNNNNNNNNNNNNNNNNNNNNNNNNNNNNNNNNNNNNNNNNNNNNNNNNNNNNNNNNNNNNNNNNNNNNNNNNNNNNNNNNNNNNNNNNNNNNNNNNNNNNNNNNNNNNNNNNNNNNNNNNNNNNNNNNNNNNNNNNNNNNNNNNNNNNNNNNNNNNNNNNNNNNNNNNNNNNNNNNNNNNNNNNNNNNNNNNNNNNNNNNNNNNNNNNNNNNNNNNNNNNNNNNNNNNNNNNNNNNNNNNNNNNNNNNNNNNNNNNNNNNNNNNNNNNNNNNNNNNNNNNNNNNNNNNNNNNNNNNNNNNNNNNNNNNNNNNNNNNNNNNNNNNNNNNNNNNNNNNNNNNNNNNNNNNNNNNNNNNNNNNNNNNNNNNNNNNNNNNNNNNNNNNNNNNNNNNNNNNNNNNNNNNNNNNNNNNNNNNNNNNNNNNNNNNNNNNNNNNNNNNNNNNNNNNNNNNNNNNNNNNNNNNNNNNNNNNNNNNNNNNNNNNNNNNNNNNNNNNNNNNNNNNNNNNNNNNNNNNNNNNNNNNNNNNNNNNNNNNNNNNNNNNNNNNNNNNNNNNNNNNNNNNNNNNNNNNNNNNNNNNNNNNNNNNNNNNNNNNNNNNNNNNNNNNNNNNNNNNNNNNNNNNNNNNNNNNNNNNNNNNNNNNNNNNNNNNNNNNNNNNNNNNNNNNNNNNNNNNNNNNNNNNNNNNNNNNNNNNNNNNNNNNNNNNNNNNNNNNNNNNNNNNNNNNNNNNNNNNNNNNNNNNNNNNNNNNNNNNNNNNNNNNNNNNNNNNNNNNNNNNNNNNNNNNNNNNNNNNNNNNNNNNNNNNNNNNNNNNNNNNNNNNNNNNNNNNNNNNNNNNNNNNNNNNNNNNNNNNNNNNNNNNNNNNNNNNNNNNNNNNNNNNNNNNNNNNNNNNNNNNNNNNNNNNNNNNNNNNNNNNNNNNNNNNNNNNNNNNNNNNNNNNNNNNNNNNNNNNNNNNNNNNNNNNNNNNNNNNNNNNNNNNNNNNNNNNNNNNNNNNNNNNNNNNNNNNNNNNNNNNNNNNNNNNNNNNNNNNNNNNNNNNNNNNNNNNNNNNNNNNNNNNNNNNNNNNNNNNNNNNNNNNNNNNNNNNNNNNNNNNNNNNNNNNNNNNNNNNNNNNNNNNNNNNNNNNNNNNNNNNNNNNNNNNNNNNNNNNNNNNNNNNNNNNNNNNNNNNNNNNNNNNNNNNNNNNNNNNNNNNNNNNNNNNNNNNNNNNNNNNNNNNNNNNNNNNNNNNNNNNNNNNNNNNNNNNNNNNNNNNNNNNNNNNNNNNNNNNNNNNNNNNNNNNNNNNNNNNNNNNNNNNNNNNNNNNNNNNNNNNNNNNNNNNNNNNNNNNNNNNNNNNNNNNNNNNNNNNNNNNNNNNNNNNNNNNNNNNNNNNNNNNNNNNNNNNNNNNNNNNNNNNNNNNNNNNNNNNNNNNNNNNNNNNNNNNNNNNNNNNNNNNNNNNNNNNNNNNNNNNNNNNNNNNNNNNNNNNNNNNNNNNNNNNNNNNNNNNNNNNNNNNNNNNNNNNNNNNNNNNNNNNNNNNNNNNNNNNNNNNNNNNNNNNNNNNNNNNNNNNNNNNNNNNNNNNNNNNNNNNNNNNNNNNNNNNNNNNNNNNNNNNNNNNNNNNNNNNNNNNNNNNNNNNNNNNNNNNNNNNNNNNNNNNNNNNNNNNNNNNNNNNNNNNNNNNNNNNNNNNNNNNNNNNNNNNNNNNNNNNNNNNNNNNNNNNNNNNNNNNNNNNNNNNNNNNNNNNNNNNNNNNNNNNNNNNNNNNNNNNNNNNNNNNNNNNNNNNNNNNNNNNNNNNNNNNNNNNNNNNNNNNNNNNNNNNNNNNNNNNNNNNNNNNNNNNNNNNNNNNNNNNNNNNNNNNNNNNNNNNNNNNNNNNNNNNNNNNNNNNNNNNNNNNNNNNNNNNNNNNNNNNNNNNNNNNNNNNNNNNNNNNNNNNNNNNNNNNNNNNNNNNNNNNNNNNNNNNNNNNNNNNNNNNNNNNNNNNNNNNNNNNNNNNNNNNNNNUGCAACUAUAUUAGGCAAGUAUUUGACCCGAUUGUGCAUGGUCCUUUUGGGUUGCCUUCACCAUAGCAACUUGAUAGGAUGAUUUAUUAUGAGAGAAUAGAUAUUAUUAAUAUAUUAUGAGAAUAAUAUAAGGAAUAAUCAUAUUGUUAUUUGAUUAAUAUAAGUCAUAGAUUAAUUAGUAUUAAUUUGGUGACUUAAAGAGAUUAAUUAAAUAAGAGGGUAUAAACUGUCAAUUGUUUGAUAGUUAUACUUUGGGCUAUAAAUCCUUUUAGGAUAUAGGGUGGACGAUUUCUAGGGCUAAGAUAAGCCUAAAAUCGUCUAGGGCAUAUCCAAGGAAAGGAUUAGGAUUACUUAGAGUCUAAGUUAUCCAAUUAGGGUUUAAGGGUAAAACCCUAGGAGCCUUACAAGUAUAAAUAGACCCCUUGGGAUAGGGAAAUCGGCAUCUCCUCUACAGCAAGGAUACCCUGGCCGAUUUCCUCCUCUCUCCUCUCUCUCAAAUCAUUCUCUUUGCUAGUUGGUGUUUGUAAGCCAUUAGAGGAGUGACAAUUGUGACUUUAAAGCUCCAAGAACAAGAAGAUCAAACAAGUGUUUCAAGGUAUGCUUCUAACUCUGGUUGUGUAUUGUUCUUAUACAUAAUUAGUCAUUAGAAGUCUUGGAUUCAUUGCAUGUUUAAUUAGAGAAACCUAGAUCCAAGCAUUAGGGUUUGUAUGUGCACAUAGGAAUGUUCAUAUGACCAAAACCCAUUAGUGGUAUUAGAGCCUAGAUUGGUUUCUAUUAAAUUGUUGCUUGAUUGUUUGAAUCUUACCUGCAAAAUUCGAAUUUUGUGAUUAUGAGUCAUGGACUCGGCGAGUCCCAUAGUGGACUCGGCGAGUUGGCCUGACUCGGCGAGUCCAGUUUGGGUACUUGGCGACUCCGAGCGUCUGGAAGAGCCAAAAUCAGGAUUUUUUUUCAUAUUUAUCUUAUGGAAACUUACCUUUAUCAUAUUAGAUCAACCCAAAUCCAAUUUUAUGAUAUAUAUGACUAUAUUUUUGAUCUAAUUGAAGAUAUUUAUCAAUUAAUAAAAUAUUUAAUUUCCUUAUAUGAUAAUUAUUAAUUAUUUCGAUUAAAUUGGUAAAUUGUUCAAAUAUGGAUAAUUAUGUGAUUAAUUGUUAAUUUAAAUUAUUUAUUAUUUGAUCCUUUAUGUUUUAAAUGUUUAAAACUUGUCCUCAUGUUUUGAAAUUUAUGUUUUGUAAUUAAAAGUUUAAUUUAGACAAUUUAAAUUUCAAACCCUAGAAUUUUACAUGUUUAAAAUCCAACCCUAUACUAAUAUAAUAUUACAAGAUUAAUAUCUAUAUAUGUAUACCUUAUAUGCAAGUCUUACCGUUAGUAGGCCUCAUUCACGAAGCUGGUCUAUAAGGUGGGUAUAAGGUUGCGGCCUAUAAAAUGGCGCUUAAUGGGUGUACACUCACACCCACCGCUUGCUUGAUCGGUCGAGGGUCGUUAGUCGAACGGGUAGGAUAGGGCAACCUCAUCCUCUCAUUAAAAGUAUAAUAUGAAAUACAAAGUAACUACAUGUUUUCUUAAAAUUUCCCAAUCUUAGUUACUUUAGGAAAAGUGAAUUGAUGCAAUCCCAUGAAAUUACACUUUGCACCUUGCUAAGAAGUUAGUGGAGCGUGUGUGGUUUACCGGCACACUAAUUGGUUCUAAGCGAAGGUGGCAAAGGGUGAUUCAUUGUUUAUCAUAGUUCGAUGGAGCGUGUGUGGUUUACCGGCACAUCGAAUAGGUGAUCGUUACAAUGAAGGCACCAUGUGAAUUUGCAUGGUAAUUCACACCCGCUUUGUGAUCCUCGGUAUCCCAGUCACAAACGAGAGGGGCAUAUCGAGAUUUAAACAUGUCAUUGAAAAGUUUCAAUGAAUCUCAUCCGAACCUAGGAAUUCUCAAUACAUUUAGGACUUAAAGUUAUGUUUUUCUUGUGGAGAAUUAGUGAAUCGUCAUUCACUUACCUUCAAAUUAUUUGCAUGUUAGAUUACGGCAUCCCUUUUCUAAUAUGUAAAUGUUAUUGUUGGAUCCUAGCCCUAAUUUUUCUUAUUGGGUGAUAAUUAGGGAUUCUUAUUCUAAUCUAUCUUUGUCCUUUUCUAAUUGUAGAUGUCGAACGCAAACAACGCUGCUGCUAGUUCUUUCACGUUGAUGAGCCUUUGCCAAAAGGUCACCUUCGAUGGAACGAACUUUAGCGAAUGGAUAAGAUACAUUCGCACCAUUGCUCGCUAUGAGGAUAAGGAGUAUGUCCUCGAUGAGAAGCUCGAGAAAAUCAACCCUGAAAUCGCUACUCCGGCUGAAAUGACCGCUUUUGAAACUCAUGAGCGAGAUGCAACGAAGGUACAUUGCAUCAUGAUAGCCACCAUGAACUCCGAAUUCCAAAAGUCCUACGAGGACAUGUACCCGUACGAGAUGCAUCAAGACUUAUUGGAGAGAUACCACCAAAACGCGAGACAAGAGCGUUAUGAGAUUUUCACUAACAUGAUUUCCGCUAAGAUGGGUCAUGGAGAAUCUCUUACCGUGCACCUGCAAAAGAUGCAAAGGUAUGUCGACCGUCUUCGCAAGUUGAAUGUUGACUUUGGGGAAGACUUGGCGAUCGACAUGGUGCUUCACUCUUUGCCUCCGAGCUACAAUCAAUUUAGGAUGACCUACCACAUGAACAAAGAGGAGGUCACCCUAAGCAAACUCCAAGGUCUCUUGAGGGUCGCUGAGAGCAACUUCAAGGACAAGUCUGUUGCACCAACUCCCAAUCCGCCCGCCGCUCCUGUCUUGGCUAUUGGACAAGGAAAGGGAAAGAAGAGGAAGGCUUCGUCGAAGAACUAUCGUAAGGUUAAAGCCCGAGAUGGUGCCUCUUCUAGUGGGACCAAAGUUGAUCCCGCUAAGCCCUGCCCUAACCCGAAGGAGGCAGAGUGCCACCACUGCCACAAGAUAGGACAUUGGGAAAGAAGCUGCCCUAAGUACCUGCAAGCCAUCAAGGAAGGAAAGAUCAAGCCAUCUUUCGCAGGUAUAUACACAAUUAAAUCUAACGAUUCAUCUCAUGAUAUUUCUUGGGUUCUUGAUACCGGUUAUGGUUACCACAUUUGUUCUAAUGUGCAGGGACUAAGAAGAAAUAGAAACGUGGAGCAUGGAAGAAUAAAUCUAAUCAUGGGGAACAAAAUAUCGUCGCUUGUGACCAAGAUUGGAGUGUAUUCUUUAGUGCUUAGGAAUGGUUUAUCUUUAGAUUUGAACAAUUAUUGCUAUUCGCCAGAAAUGGCUAGAAACAUCAUUUCCUUUCAUGGUUUGUUUAGACAAGGUUUUAGAUUUUCUUUUAAUAAUGAGAAUGGUUCUAUUUUAGCUUAUCUGAAUGGUGUUUUUUAUUUUGAAGCUAUACCAUGUAACGGAAUUUAUGAAACUGUUAUGAUUGUUGAUAACUUAGGAAAUGAUGUUUUAUGCAUGGAUUCUUCCAAUAGUAUGGAUAAGGUGUCCUUAUGGCAUUGUCGUCUUGGACAUGUCAACAAGAAACGCAUAGCCCAACUCCAAAAGGAUGGAGUGUUGGAGUCAUUCGACCUUAGGGAAGAUGACACAUAUGAGUCUUGUUACUUGGAAAGAUGACUAAGUCACAAUUCGCUGGUACGUACGAAAGGGGUGAGGGUCUAUUGGACCUCAUACAUACUGAUAUGUGUGGACCGCAUAUAAAGAAAAAAUAAUUAGGGUACAAACAUAAAAGAUUUGUAAAUUUUUAUUUUUAUUUUUUUAAAUUUUAGUUAUGGUGAAUUGGAAACCCAUUAUCAAAGACAACAAUCACAAAAAAUAAAAAUAAAUAAAUAAAUAAAAUACAAAUUUCGAAGACCAAGGAACAAAAGUCAUAAAAUGAGACAAAAACCUGCAAAAUUUUCCAAAUAUUAUCGUUGUUAAAGUCUUUGACGUUGACUUAUAUAAUUUCUUAGAAUUUUCCCCAAUUUACCAUUAAAUUUCUUGGAAUUCUCCAUAUCUCCAGAAAAUAAUAAAAAGAGAACACCAUCGAUUUUUAAGGCAAAGGAGAACCAUCCCCAUCUUAUCCUCUUUAGCUGUCUAUCUUCCUUCCUCGUUGGUUCGUCAUUUCCAUGCCGACAAACAAACCUCUGUAAUUUUCAGUCGUCAUCUUUCUCAGGCUCGAGACUCGUCACUGGUUGUUCGUUCUAUGUCAUCGCUGCUUCAAGUCUGCUUGUCUUCCUGUCGGUAGGUAACUAUGAAGUAUAAAGGGACAUUCUUAUAGUUUAGCUUCACAUGUUGUUAGAUAAUUUCAUAUCAUAAAUUACAUCAUAAUCCUUUUUUAUUUUGUUCACAAAUGAUUGAAUUUUUUUUCUAUUCAAUUGCUGUUGCUCAAUUAAUUCUAGAGAGUUUGAAAUUGAAACCAUAGAAAGGUCAUGGCUUGUUAGUUUCAAAAGCAUAUCAUUUGGAUCAAGCCCAUGAAUGAAAGUCGAAAUCCUUUAGAUGUAUGCUAAUACUAGAUCCAGUGAUAGUAGAUAUUAAUAGUUUCGAAUUUAUGUAGAGGCAUUAUGUACUAGAUCCCUACAUUGGAACACAAGGGAGGAAAGCCGGUGAAACCAACUUUCAUAACCGAUAAGGUGAGGAAGAGUUUCAGAACUUACUAAGAUACACCCUGUAUAUAAGGAGAAACUUUAAAUAAAUAAACAAAAUUGUGGGAAAGGUGAAGAGUCAUCAACUCAUUACUAAUAAUGGUUGUUCUAUCUGAACUUCCAGAAGGAUCUUCAUCUUCUUCAUUAACUCAUGGCCAUAGUUCACCAACUUGUGGUCGUAGUUCAUCAACUGAUGGCCAUAGAUACGAUGUAUUUUUAAGUUUUAGAGGUGUUGACACUCGUCAUAGUUUCACUGAUCACCUUCAUAAGGCCCUCAUUCAUGCCAAUAUCACUACCUUCUUGGACAAUGAAGAGAUUGAAACAGGAGAAGAUCUGAAACCAGAAUUGGAGAGUGCGAUUAAGGCAUCUCGGGCUUCUAUUAUAGUGUUGUCUAAGAAUUACGUGUCUUCAACAUGGUGCCUUGAUGAAUUGGUGUUGAUCCUUGAGCAGCGUAUGACAUCCAACCAUAUUGUCAUCCCAAUCUUCUAUCAUGUGGAGCCCACCCAUGUCAGGAAGCAGCAAAGUAGCUUUGGAGAUGCAAUGGCUAAGCAUAAACAAACAAUGGAGGCAGAGACAAAUGUAAAUAAAAGAAGUCAAUGGGCUCAAAAGAUGGACCGAUGGAAUAAAGCGCUUAUAGAAGCUGCUAAUUUAAAAGGAUAUGAUGUUCAUGGAAGGUAACAACUUUAAUUAUAUUUUCAUGCACUUUUGAUUUCUUUUUUAUUAAACGCAUGAAAUGUCAAUAGAAUCUUUUGCCUAUGCUUUUCAAUAUCAUCAAAUAGCUCGGUGAUCUCCUUAAUUAAUACAUAUACAUAGAUUAACAUCAUGAUAAAUUUGACAUGUUUCUGUGCAUUUAGUAUUUUAUUAUCAGGUAGUUCUUUAAGAUAACCUAUUUUAAGUUAUUUUAAUAUGUUUUGAACCAAAUUUUGAACAGUUUGAUAUGCAUCUACUAUCAAUUAUGUUAAUAUGUUCUUACCUGUGAGUAGUAGAGGAUAACCUAAAACUGGCAUAUAUUUUUCAGACACAUACAAAACCACAUUGAUAGUUAAGUUUGAUGGUCCUAUAGAAACAUGGUACAAGUUAGUUGGCCCAUUAGUGAAAUUGUAACAUGUUGGUGGAUUUGGCUUUAUCAUACAUAAAUAUUUACGACCUUAUACAUUAGGUGCUAAUCCUAUAUGGUGUUGAUGUGAAGAAUUUAAUUAAAAAUACAGCUAUGAUAUACUUCUGAUUUAGAUCUUUGGAUAAACUACAUCUCCAAAUCUAGUUUGUUAGUUUUGUGUAUUGUGUUUUGUAACUCUUAUUAAAUCAAGUUUCAGGCUAGAGACGGAAUUUAUUGAAGAGAUUGUGAAGGACAUCCACCGUAGGUUACAUGUACGCUCAAGGAGUGUUCGGCAACAACUUAUUGGGAUGGAAUAUCAUAUUAAGUUCAUCACUUCAUGGUUGAAAUAUGGAUCCUCACAUACGGCAGACAUACUCACUAUUACGGGAAUCGACUGGAUCGGGAAGACAUACUCACUAUUACGGGAAUCGGCUGGAUCGGGAAGACAUCGUUAGCCAAACAUAUCUAUGACCUAUAUUGGCAUGAAUUCAGCACAAGCAGUUGUAUUGAAGAUAUCAGUAGGAGAUGUGAUGGAAAGUUUAAUGGGCUGCUUGAUAUACAAAAGCAACUUUGGGAUGACAUUUCAAAAAAAAAAGUUCAAUUCAAAUUCAUAAUGUUUCAGCAUACACCUCAAAGAUAGAGAAUGCAUUAGCCCGCAAACGGGUCUUUAUAGUUCUUGAUGAUAUCAAUACUAUUGAUCAGUUGGAUGCAUUACUCGGAAACAAAGGUUUUCAUCCCGGAAGCAAAAUUAUAUUAACAACAAAGGAAAGAUGGAUAACACAGAGUUUUGCACUAUUCAAAACAAAUAUUAAACCUAAGCAUGUAGAACGCUUCCGUAAAGGCUUAUGUAGGACUGAAUCAUGCCAGCUUUUGUGUUCCCAUGCAUUCAUGUGCAACCAUCCCAAGGCAGGUUAUGAAGAGGUGUUAGAGAAGCUUGUGAAGUAUUGCCAAGGACAUCCAUUGGCUCUCAAAGUUUUGGGCAAGUCGUUACAUAAUCGAGAUGUAGCUUACUGGGAAGGGUGCAUACAUGGGCUAAAAAAAGAAACAAAUUCAUACAUAAAUAAUGUCUUGAGAAUGAGCUUUGAAUCUUUGCCAUCUAACAAUGAUAAGGAAUUGUUUAAGCAUAUUGCUUGUUUUUUUGUUGGAAUGGAUAGAGAUGUUACCGAAACAAUAUUAGAGGCAUGCAAUAUAAACACGAGAUACGGAAUCAUUAAUCUCAUUAACAGAUGCCUUCUUAGUAUAGGACGGAAAAUGAAUUUAAGAUGCAUCAGUUGGUUCAAGAGAUGGGAAGAUUCGAAGUACUUCAAGAAUCACUUGACAAGCCAUGGAAGCGCAGUCGAUUAUGGUGUCAUGAGGAGUCGUUCAAAGUAUCAAAGAAAGAAAAGGUAAGAGCCUUUGUAACCCUGUAUAGUUGUUAGUAAUGUGCAUAUUUAAAGUAUUUUGUAUUGUCUAAUUUUUGUUGGAUUUUGGUUCUUCUUAGGGUAAGGGAAAUAUUCUAGGCCUUGCCUUGGACAUGCGAAUGGUUGAGAAAGAGAAGUCAGGUGCAUCAUUUGAGUUAGAUACGUUGAGUAACAUGGAUAAUCUGAUGCUCCUACAACUCAAUUAUGUGCACAUGAAUGGUUCUUAUGAAAACUUUCCGGAAGAAUUAAGAUGCUUAUGUAUGCAUGGGUACCAUUUAAAUUCUAUACCUUUAAAUUUACCAAUGGAGAAUCUGGUUGCUCUUGACAUGUCAUAUAGUAAUAUUGAAUCCUUUGUCUUUUGUGAUAGUAAUCCACAACGACAUGAAAAGAGACAAAAGGUAACUUAUCUUCCAUUGUUAUUAUUCCAUGUUGAUUGGGUGAAAUUCACUAUUACUCUAACUUAUCCCUAUUUCAACAGUUAAGCGGAUCAUGCUUAAAACAAAAAAGGGUACUUGGAUCAUUGAAGAUUCUUAAUUUAAGUUUUUGUAAACAACUUCGUAGUCUUGGUGACUUUGACCAACUCCCUGCUCUUGAGAGGUUAAUAGUUAGGAAUUGCAUUGGUUUGAAUGAGGUUUGUGAAUCAAUUGGGCAAUGUGUUAAACUUGUCUUAAUCGAUCUGAGCUACUGCAACAAGCUUGAAAAAAUUCAAAAAAUCACAAGCAUGUUAGCGAAUGUUAAAAUAAUGUUCCUAGAGGGUUGUAAUCUUGGGGAAUCACGAAUCAAGAUUAGGGAUAUUGAUUUACAAGAAAGGCUCAAGGCUAACGACAUUGACGUAAAUACAAUAACCUCUUCCUCUGCCUUUGGGGGUGCUAUACCAAGUGAUUUGAAGUUCUCUGCAUUUUCUUUACCUAGGUCUUUAGUAAGUUCUCUGCACUUCAGUUGCCUAUCCAUGCUAAAGCAUUUAUAUUUAGACGGAAAUCUUAUCGAUUCCAUGCCCAUUUGUGUGAGAACCCUUCCUAGGCUUGAGAUACUUAGCAUGACAGUACAAAAAAAAUGUCAAUUAGUAACCAAAACGAUAUGGUCACUAACAAUAGAAUGCAUCGUCACUAAAUGAUUUAGUGACGAAAAUUCCGGUCGACACUUUUCGUCACUAUAGGUCCGUCACAAAACCGAUUUAGUGACCAAAUAUAAAUAUGGUCACUAAAUAGUGACUAAAAUAUACUCGUCACUAAAUCUGUGACAACCCACUUCGUCACUAAAUGUUGUCACUAUUUUAUCUACUUAGUGACCAAUAAAAGUCGUCACUGUUUAAUCCGAUUAGUGACCAGAGAAAAUGGUCACUAUUUAAUAUGAUUGGUGACCAUAGAAAGUGGUCACUGUUUAAUCCGAUUAGUGACCAUAGUAGGUGGUCACUGUUUAAUCCGAUUAGUGACCAUACCAAGUCAUCACUGAUUUAUCCUAUGAGACACAAAAAGGGGUCAAUAAUUAAGAAAUUAUUGAAAUAUUAAAUUUCAUUUUUAAUAUGAAAUAUAACAAUAUCCAAUUAGAUAAAAGAAAAAACAAUCCUAUAAAUUUUUACAAUACAACAAAAACCAAAUAAAUCUUCACAUUUAUAAUAUGAAAAUUAAAUGUCAAUUUUUAAAAAAAUCCAUACAUUUUAUCCAAUAUUUCAAACAACAAAAUAUAAAGAUCAACCGGGUGAAGUUCAUUUAAUAAGAAAAGUAAGUUCAAUUGAUCAAUGCAAUUGAGAUAAACGUGAAAGCUCACUCAUCAUAAAUUCCAUUUUCUUAUUUUGCUCCUCUCGAUAUUUGAUCUGCUCUUCUUGAAAUUGUAGUUGCUCUUCUUUAAUUACAGGAAUUUCCUCCUCCACGGCUUUUGAUUUUUCCUUUUCCAGUUCCAGAUCCAUUUGUAACUUUUCUGUGCCUAAAACUUGUUUUGUCGAAACAGAACGCCCUUUUAUAUAUCCCGGUAUACGAUGUAGUUUUUUCAUACAUAUUUCAGCCGGCGAACAAGAAGAAGAAGCUUCCUCAUUUAGUAAUUCAUUCUGCAUAACAAAACAAUUUAGAUUAAAAGUAAAACAAAUAUUAUUCAUAAAUACGUCAAGAUAUUAAAAAUACCCAAAUUUCUCCGGCCAUCUCAUUGACCAUUUGAUUUUUCUUUUUCGAAAAAUGCCCAAUCUUGUAACGUUCAAUGAAUGAUACUUCUUCUCCUUCUUUCUUUUUUAUGUUUUCAAAAGGAAGAAAACUUUGACAAUGCAAUGAAAGAUUUAAGUUAAAAAAGUAGCUUACCAUGUCAACAAUCCUUGCAAUUGAAAUUGUGUCAACCGCGGGUGGAACUUGAUUAAAUGAUUUGUUCUUCUUGUUUCUAAUGCUAACUUUCUACAACAAUUAAACAAGGGUUGUUUCUGUCAUAUUUGCAAACCAAAAAAAACAGGGACCGUUUAUGUCAUUUGUCCACACUAUUACAUAGGGACCAUUCCUGUAAUUCUACAAAGUAAAACAUAGGGACCAUUUCUGUAAAUUUUGAAAAAUAAAAAACACAAUGGUUGUUUCUAUCAUUUUCUCAAACCAAAAAACACAUGGACCAAUUUUAAAAUUCUGCAAAUUGAAUAGACAGGGACCAAUUAUGUAAUUAUGCAAAGUAAAAACUCAAUAACCAUUUAUGUCAUUUUACCAUUUCUUGAUAUAAUUUGGAAAAGAAGUAAAAACCUGAAAUUCUUCGCUUGCAAAUUUUUGAUAUAGUUUUACCCAAUCAACAUUGAUUACACCAUUUGGAGGAUGAUUGAUUGCUUCCUCUUUUGUAGAGAACUUUUUGAAAUGAAGGUGCAACCUAUAUUGCCUGUUUUUAUGUUGGUUCGCCAGUUGUGUAUCGAUAGCACGCACCAUCGAGCGACAACUUGGAUCGUAAGUUGAAUUUUCCUACAUAUAGGUAUAGCAAUGUAUUCUUAUUUAUAUGUUUAAGAAAUAGCAAUGUAUUCUCAUUUAUUGUUUCUAUAAAGAGAGUUGAUAACAUCAUACCGUGCAUUUAGUGAUAAUAUCAUACUUCAACAAAUCUGGUUGGUUUUUCCAAGUGGUUCCAUCAAAUUUUGCAUGAUCUCUAACUACACAUCCACCCUUAGUGAUGAAUUGUUGACUAUCUUCCCCAACUAUACGACCAACACAUUCAUCAACUUCAAAAACUAAAUUUGCCUUUAUUCGAGCGCCUCUUUUUAGUUUCAUUCAAAGCUCUAGAUUCUUUUUGAGUAUUAGACAUGCCUACAUAGAUUUAGUCAACAAGAAAAAUGACUGAUUAUAUAAUCAUAUACAUUAAUCACAUACUAUUUUACUUCUAAUCAACGUACCAUGAAAAGUUGAACCAAUGUUCUCAUCUCGAAAAGAAUCAACUUCGUGUUCCUCUUCUUCAAAAUCUUCCUCAUCGUGGUUCAAACUAGAAACUUUUCUCAUAUGACUUUGAUAGGGAGAAAGUGACUCCAUUGUUUCAUAAGUAGGCAACUCUUCAUCUUGCAACAUGAGAUUAGAUCUCUCCAAUACCCCUCUUCCAGGGCCAACUAUCUAAAUAACAAUAACACACAUUUUUAAUUUCAUGUAAAGUGGUGUUAUCAAAAGUCAAAGUUACAGAAAAUACCAUCUUUGAAAAAUUAGUAUUCUUCAACUUUUAUUGACUUGGCUUCUCUAUUCCCCGAUGUUUUUUCUGAUCCAUCAAAUGUCUAGUCAAACACUGCAUAGCAAACAAGACCAUAAAGAGUACAUAAAAGACAUUAUAUUCUUAAAUAGCAAUGUACUUUUCUGAAAUUAAUUUUUUUCAGAUUUAAAUGGUACUUUCUAGAAUUCAAAAUCACCGAUACCAUUAUACAUUGCUAUAAAAAAGUAAAAAUAAGAAAAUACAUUGAUAUAAUACAUGAAAUUAAUGUAAGUUGAUUGCUUACUUCAUCACGAAGGUUAGAUGCCUCCUUUUGGCCACCCAUAUCUUUAUUUACAUGUCCAAUAUCCUUUGUAAACCUAAAAAUGUAGACUUGUAAGGUUACAUACUAAUUUCACUAAAAACAACACUCGAGUCCUAAUAUAAACAUUAAUACAAUACAUAAAGUUAAUGUAACUUUUCUUUCUAUUACAACAUUGUACUUUCAAUUGUUUCUUAUUAACGCAUCAUAGUUUUAUUCUUUAAAAAUAUAUACUCAAUAAUACCAAUGUUAACCAAAUACAAAGCACACUUUUAUUAGAAGAAAUGAGAAUAUGAUGCUAUAAAAAACAAAGUAAAAAAAGUACAUUGUUAUGUCUUGCAUGUUAAAGAAACUAAACUUUAUCAAUGUUUUAAUAUUUUACUAGAACUAAAUUUAAUAGUAGUUUAAAACAUGGUUAAAUAAACAAGCUUCUCAUAACAUAAUGGUAAUUCAACAAGUGGGAGGUUCGCAUUGAUCCAUAACAACAUUUUACAUGGAAUGUAUGAAAAAAAUUACCAUUUUACCCUUAAGAGUUACAUUUAAUUUAAUUUUCCAUUUUAAAUGGAAAGUUAUACGAAAGAAGUUGGGUAAAUUUGUUACCUAUUUUGACUGAGUGUGUUGCCAGUAGGUGGCACAACUUGUCCUGUUCGCGUUCGAACAGAUACAAAUGGUCUUCCAGAUAAUCUUUUAGGAGUCAUUCCCGACAUAACUGCAUAGGAUUAAAAAUGAAAUAUUUUGUCUCAACAAAAAAAAAAUGAAAUCAAACUAAAUUUCAAAUAAAUACAUACUUAUUAUUAUCUUUUUAUCACACAAAUAAAAGGUUACCUUUUCACUAAAGGCAAUCUUCUUUCAACUGAUGCAACUCUGAAGAUGCUACAAGAACAAAUACUUAAAUAAAUUAGUAAAUAAAUGUGUUUAAUCAUACAUCAUCAAGGUAUGAAGAGAGAAGAUAAAGAAAUGAAAUCAAACUAAAGAUCAAAUAAAUACAUAGUUAUAUUGUAGAUAAAUUGCAUUUAUAAGAAAAGGGAAAUACAUUGUCGUUAUUCUAAUCUUGAAAAGAGCACAAAGGCUGAACUUUUAUUCUGAACUUGAAAAACAGCAAAAAGGCUGAACUUUUAUUCUGAACUUGAAAAACAACAUAAAUGUUGAACUUUUAUUUUGAACCUUUAUUCUUUUGCUACCAUUUUAUUUAUGCCUUCCAUUGCACUUGUUUAAGUAAUUGUAAAAUCUAUGAGUAAAAAUAUUUUUAUCGUAUUUCCUCAUUUUGUUGGACAAUUGAUUCAUUAUCCAUUUUAGCAUAAAAAUAUAAAUACCUUUUACUAAGAACGGGCUCUUGUCAUUGAUGUACUUGCCUUUGUACAUGUUUUUUGAGAUAUAUCAUGCAAUGCAAUGGUUAAGGCAUCCACCACUUCCAAUGGGACAUUAUCUCUUGUUAAGGAUAAUUGGUCCAUAUUCAAAUCAAUAUUUAGAUUUAGAUGUGGCUCAUGUUCUUGAUGUACUUCUUCCAUCAUUACAUGAACAUCAUACAAUGCACGAGGGGAACUACUUUGAACCACAUACCAAUUUUUGCCCAAUUUUAAAUCAGGAGCAUAAAAAACUUGUUUGGCUUGUGAUGCAAGUAUGUAUGGUUGAUCUAUGUACCAUUUUUUGGAUGUAUUCACACUUCUAACUUUGGAUUCUUUGUCAAUUCUUAGCCCUUUCUUAUCACCGACCAUAAACCAAUCACACUUGAAUACUAACACUCUUUUAUUUUCACCCAAGUAUUCAAUUUCUAACACUUCUUGUAAUAUCCCAUAAAAAUCAAUAAUGUUUUCCCCAUGAACACCUUGCACUACAACUCCGCUAUUUUGAGUUUUCCGAUUCUUCUCACGACUUUGUGUGUGGAACCUAUACCCAUUGACCAAACAUCCACUAUACUUGUUGACAUAACGUGAUGGCCCAUGCGACAAUAUAUGAGUUUCGUAUUCAAACAACUUUGGCCAAGAAUUAACCUAAAUAAAAAUGUAUACCAUAUUGGUUAACAAGAGUUUAAAACUCCCAUAUUAAAUUAAAAAAAAUAAACAUCAAAUGUAGUUCUCACACGUUGGCGAAGCCAUGAUGCAAAUUGUUUUUCAUGACGUUCAUUUACAUUGUCAGCAUUUUCUUCCUCUAGUUCAACUUUGUGUGAACUAAAAAGUUAAAAAUUAAGACUUGUUAUUAUAUGAAAAAAAAAGGAAGGUAUCAUUACAUAAAAAAAAUCACUUACGUUAUUAGUUCCUUUAUUUCAUCACAAUUGUUUAGAAUAUAUGUAUGAAUCUUCUCCAAUUCAUUUUCACUCAAAUCCUGUGAUUUUGGACUACCUAAUAGGCGCCCUUUGCAUGAAAAAAUGGAAAUUUCACCAUCACUAUCCAUCAUUUCAUUGUUGCGCUCAACCUUAUUGAAAAGCGUGUCAACAUCAUUCAAAUACAUAGAACAAAAAUUCAGGCAUUCCUUGUCUAUGUAUCUCUCAGCAAUACAUCCUUCUGGAUGAGCUUUAUUCUUGACAUAUCCUUUUAAAGUACCCAUUUUCCUCUCAAAAGGGAACAUCCAACAGUAUUGAGGUGGGCCUGCGAUCUUGGCUUCAUAUGGCAAAUGAAUCAAAAGAUGAACCAUGAUGUCAAAGAAUGAUGGAGGAAAUAUCCACUCCAACUUACAUAAUAUGAGAAUAAUUUUUUCCUCUUGUUCUUCUAAAACAUCUAGGUAUAUACUUCGUGUGCAUAAUUUUUGGAAAAACUCGCUGAGUUCGUACAACACAAGUCGAACUUCCUUUUUCAAACAACCCCUAAUUGAUAAAGGCAACAACCGUUGGAUGAAAACAUAAAAGUCAUGACUUUUCAUGCGUGACAACCGGAAGUCCCCCCCCUUUAAUGCAUCUAGAUAUAUUCGAGGCAAAUCCAUCCGGGAACUUAAGUGACUUCAAGAAAUCUAAUAUCUUUUGUUUCUCUUCCUUUGUCAAAUGGUAACAAGCCAUAGGCAUUAUAAAUGAAUUGCCAUCUGGUUGUAAAUGUAAGCUCUUUUUUAAUCCUUUAUCCAUUAAAUCCUUGCGAGAUUUCCAUGUGUCCUUUGUUUUAUUCUUAAUAUUGAACAAUGUGGCGGUCAAGCUUUCUGUCACAUUCUUAACAACAUGCAUGAUAUCAGUGUUGUGUCUCAAUUUUAGUUUAGCCCAAUAUGGAAGCUUAAAUCAUUUCCGCUAAAUCGAGGCUCCUUGCAGUCGUCAUUUGGACAGUGGGUAUGAGACGCAUAUUGUUUUCGAUAAAGAACACAGUCAUUAACACAUGCGUGAAUUUUUUCUCCUUGAAAACCCAAAUCACGUAUGUAUUUUUUUGCUUCAUAAAUUUUUUUGGGACUAAUGAUGGAGUUGGCAAGGCUUUUCUAAAUAUAUCAAGCAAAGCAUCAAAUGAUUUGAUGGACCAACCACUUGUUGUCUUUAUAUGUAAAAUUGUAACAAUAAACGAAAAUUGUGAGUAACUUUGACACCCUUCAUAAAGUUCCCGGUGCGCUUCAUCCAUCAAUCUUCAGAGGCCUUCUAAAUCCUUGUCUAUGGUACAUGAGGAAUCACCACUAGCUUGCCAAUUAUCACCCCAGUUACUUUGACCUAUGUUAUUUAACAUCUCAUCAAGGUCAUCAUCAUUUAAGUCAUCACAAGCCCCAUCAACUUCAUCCAUUGAUAUGUCAUCAUCCGAUGUAUCAUAUGACUCACCAUGAUAUAUCCACCUAACAUAACUAACAACAAUUCCUAUUUGCAUCAAAUGUGAGAAUAUAGCUGUUCGGUUAUGAUGUCGAAAAUUAUUGCAUUUUUUGCAAGGGCAUAGAACUUUUGACAACACUUCUCUAUCGCGGUAUGCAAAAUUAAGGAAUUCAUUUACACCCAACUCAUAUCUUGGGUCCUUCAUCCUUUGAACUAUAUUCAUCCAAGACUUAUCCAUAUGAUCUGGUAAAAGAAAAUUUCCUGAAAAUGGCAUAAAUGUAUAAUGACAGUGAAAUAGAAAACUCAGGUGGGGUUGUUAAAUUAAGCAAUAAGUUAAUCUAAACAUUGUAUAUGAGAUAGAAACUAAAAUGUAUUACUAACUUACAGAUCUAUUAAAGAUAACUAGCAUGCCAAUUAAUCUAAAGUAGAAUCUGAAAGUUUUCUUAAUCAUUUAGAAAGGUUUGUCACUACAAAAUAAUGCAAGAAAUAGCAACAUACUUUUUUCAUUUGUUUAUUUAUUUUACAACUUUACUUCAGUUUAUUUCUGUAAAAACUUUCAAAGUAGAAUGUUGUAAUUGUGUAAAAUUUUCAAAGCAUUAUGAGAAAAAAAUGAAAAUACAGUGUUGUAUUAGAAAGAAAGGAAAGCAAGAUGCUACUGUUAUAAUUUAUACACAAAAAUAAAUGAAAGAAAAUUGUAUUUGUAUUUUGAUGACAUUGCUCAAAUUGAUAAAUAAAUCAAUGGAAAUACGUUGCUAUUUUUAGCAUUUAACUUUUUCUUUAAAACUGUUAUAUUAUUGAUUAUAUUAUUAGUAACUUACUAGAGAUAUGAUUCUUAGGUUCAUAUGUAUGUGGAUGAUUGUGAGAAGGUUACUACUCAUUAUCAGGUAAAAAUUAUACAAAAAUUUAAUUGGAAUAAUAUGAACAUUUCAUGUAGAAUGGACCAUUUUGCCCCUAUCCUCUUCAAACCCAAGAUGCACAAACUCAGGUUUUGUUUGUAGGGAAAGAAAAGGAGAUGACAAAAAUGGAGAAGGGCAAAAUGGUCAUUUUCAUGAUAUGUGUGUCUAUAUAGUAUGCCCUACAACUAUGAAAACAUAAAUUUACCGUCACUAGGACCAUUUCUAUUACAAUUUACUGUCAAAAGGACCGUUCUAAUUGAUGUUACAAAACAAUAUCUUCAUCUCUUUAACAACAUUGUAUUAUCAUUAGUCAAAACAUAUGUUUUUCAAAACAGAGACAUAUCACAUAAUCAAAGGGUAUUAUAAUUAGAAUUGUGCAGCAACAUUGUUUUCAAAAUGACGACAUCAUUAAAACAUAUUUUUUUUCAAAACAAUGACAUAAUCAUGUACUUUGUAGAUAUGGUAUUAAUAAACCAAAAUAAUCAGUUCAUACCUGAUGCUUAUGGUUUGUAAGUGACUACAACUGAACUCAUAAGCAAUAUCACUUGAUAUUUUGUGACAGGUUCGUGGAAACCUUCUAAACAUAACCACAAGAAAAAAAACUGCACUAGAUAUAGCACAAUAUAGAUUUGGGCUUCCUUAACCAUUUCUGCAAUCUUGUUUUUGUGUUAUGAAAUGGAUGAAUUGAUUAGAUACAAAAGGGAAAGAGCUACUAGAGAAAAGACCGUUUUGCAGACACAAUUCUAAAAGCACUCCACCAGGACGAAAAAGCGGACCCCAUCAACUUGAAAACCAAAAAAGGAAAUGAAUCAAGAAAAUGAAACUUAAAGAAAACGAAGAGGAAGUGUUGUCAUUGUUAGACCCUUUUGUUGGAUUGUUAUGCAGUUGCUUAAGCUCAAAGUAUGAAGAUAAUAGAAAAACUACACUUUUUGUUAUGAUGUACGAAUGUUCAAGCAUAAUGUCUGGUGAAAUACGAAAAUUCCCUGAAGUUCUUCAUUUAUCUUCUAAUGGCAUCAUAUAUCUAUCAAAUGAAGUAAUGGCAAAAGAAAAAUCCUUACAUUCACUCAUUACAUUUGAAGGCUUUUCAAGAAUUCCUACCCCUGAUUACAUAUUCGAACAGAGGUAUCUCAGGGUUUUGCAUUUAGGAAUCAGGUAAAUGAGAAAUCUGUCUAAGUUACCUGAAGAAAUCAGGUACAUGAGAAAUCUUAGACAUUUGAAUAUCCAUGGGUGUUGCUCUUUUUAUCAUAUGCCACUUGGCAUGGGUCAGUUAUGCCACCUAAGAAGACUCAACACGUUUCUUGUGGGCCAGGGAGUCCAAGUAAGCGAGUUACAAGAGUUGAAUCUUUUAGGAGGAGAGUUUAGCAUAAAGGGUCUUACAAAUAUGAAAGAUUCAUUUCAAGCUCAGAGUGCAAACUUGAAAAAGAAACAUAAUAUAAACUGUUUAAAUCACUGAGUAAAGAGCUUAACAAGAGGGAAGCUCUAACAGAAAGGAAGAAACAAAAGCCAAAGCCUUCCGUGAUAUGGUCCAAAAGCAGAAAAUCUCAACUUAUCAAGAAAACUGAAUUGAUUCCAUAUUAUUAUAUUAUCCAAAAAAGUAACACAAGAACAAGAAAUAGUAGGAAAAAUAUGGCAUCACAUCAUAUUGUAGGGCUGGUGGAAAAUUCAUGGGAAAGGAAGGUUAGUAACUUUGUCAAAUAGAACAAAUCAUGGCAUACAAGUGUAUAUAUGAGAAGGUGAUUCAAUUUAAUUCAAUGUGAUUGUAAAACUCAGUUAAGCCUAGAAAAAGAAGUUGAUAGUCACUCAAUCGAUUGACUUAUCUAAUCAUGCGAGUUUGGAGUACCUGUUUGGCUUCAACUUUGACUCCGAGUAGAGAACAGAAGUGCGUCAAUAGGAGGGCGUGGAGGACGAUGGACCGCCGACCAAGAAAAAGAAGUUUUAGUCACUCAAUCGAUUGACUUAUCUGAUCAUGCGAGUAUGGAUUACCUGUUUGGCUUCGAGUUUGACUUCGAGUGGAGAACAGAGGUGCAUCAAUGGGACGGUGUGGAGCGACAAUGGAACGGAGGAGAUGGACCGGCGACGAUGGGUAGGCAGCGAUGGACUGGAGAUCUAACAAGGUCUGGUCGCGCAGGCGAUCGGAGAUCGGAGGUGGGAGAGAAAUUAACUGUGGAGUUAUCGUGAAAAAGUGUGGAGGAUGCUUUGAACGAGUGGGGAGCUGUGAACUGAGGUAUCGAUUCGGGGCAAAAAAAUGUGUUGAGUCGAUUUAGGGCACAGUACCCUUUAUCGGUAGUUAAAUUAGUUAGCUUGUUUAUCCUCUUUAUAUAUAUAAUUAAUUUGGUCAAAUUAGUGGUCAAAAUUAAUCAAGUCAAUUUGUAAACCUAUUUUUCCGACAAUAUUAGACAAUUUUUUCUAAAUCAGGUACAAUUUUAGUCGAUAUGGUAUUAUUUUUUCUUCAUUUUGAGGUAAGCUUCCAACAAUUUCCAGCAUACAAUUUUUUUAUUAUAUAUAUUUUGAGGAUUCAAUUUUGGACCUGAUUUUGAAGUUCCAUAUCAUGACUUUGAGAAGCCUUAGCAAUUUUAUCAUAAAUUUACGAUAGUGUUCUUUUGAUUCUCAUUUUAAUUGUAACUUCAUUUACCAAUUAAUCUAGAAUCCAUUUAUUGCAAGAAUACCAAUUUUGUUCUUUUUUUUUAGAUUGUGACAUACAAUAUAUGUUAUUGAUCUUUUGGUACUGCGGUGGUCUCCUUAUUUAGUCAAAAUAUAAAUACAACUAGUACUUUUUCUAAUGUGUUUUUUUUUUUUUCAAAUAUAUGUAGUCAGUGACCACUACUUAUUGGUUACUAAUUGUUUUUUUUCUUGUAAUUCAUCAGUGACCACUAUUGAGUGGUCAUUAAUUGUUUUUCCACAUUACAUUUACUUAGUGACUGCUAUUUUUGGUCACUAAACCUUCAAUACAGUGACCACUUUUUUGUCACUAAAUUUCUAACAUAUUGACCAUUGUUCUUAAUCACUAUAUAGUUAACAUAGUGAUCAUUAUUUUUAGUCACUAAAUAGUUGUUAUUAUAUGAAGCAAAAACAGUUAAAUUUUUUUGCAUUUUAGUGACUGAGUUAGUGACCACCACAUAUAAUUCGUCAUUAAAUUUGUAGGAUUACCAAAAUUUAAUGACCACUUAAUUUCUAGUGACUAAUAGAUGCUUUCGGUGACCAAAUUUUAGGUGGUCACUUAAAAAUAGUCACUAAUAAGGACUUUUCUUGUAGUGUGAAUAAUUGUAAAAAUUUGAAGUCAAUCGAGCAUCCUCCACAUACACUAAGAGUGUUGUUCGUCGUUUCUCAUAGGCCCUCUAUAGAAAAAUUGGUAUUAAAUCGAACAACAUCAUACACCAAUUAUCAUAUAACGAUAUAGAUUACGGACGUUGGUCAUAUGAAAUAGAAGGCAUGAUCAAAAUCCAAGCAAUGGUGGGUGUUGACGAAGAGGUAUUGCGUAGCUUGGGCUGGACUAAUCUAGACUUCCUUAAUGACACGCGUGUGGGAACUAAUUCUGUUUUGUCUAGUUAAAUGUUUGUCUUUAUGUAAAUACAUUUAAUAUAAUUAUUACGGUGAUUAAUUAAGGUGGUUUGUAUUUGGGAGACGAUGCAUUAUGAAUUUGGAAUACUUAGCACAAUGUAUGAGGCGGAGGAGAUGCCGAGUUGGUUUAGGCAUAGAAGCGUGGGGCCAUCAAUAUUAUUUACCAUCCCAUCGUCUCUAAACUGCCUUAGAGGGUUCAACUUCUGCUCUGUGCAGACAUUGCGAGUUCCAGAUGAGGAUUCAGGAAUCCAUCUUUCGCCAAAGAUCACAAUUAGUAAUAUAACAAAGAAUCGCACAUGGAUAUACCAACGUCGCUUGACCAGAUCUAGUGUAUGUCGAGAGUGUUGCGUGAUGUUAAGUCAUUGGAUGUUUGGAAUGAAUGACAUGGAAGGUGGUGACCAGGUUACUAUUACUGUUACAGGGCCAUAUAAUGAACUUAUAAAGGAGUGUGGGGUGAGAGUCAUGUAUGUUGAUGAUGAUGAUGGUGCGUUAGGUUAUUACAAGUCAUGGAAUCUCAUAAUUGGUGGAGAUCUCUCUCCUUUUCAAAUGACAACAGGAGAAUACAUCCUAAACAACUGGGAUUUUGGAAUCCACUUUAUGAAUUUUUUCAUGCAGUUAUUCUAAAUGCAUUAGAGAAGGCGCCAGCUAUCAAGGUUGAUGUCAUUCUUAUUAAAUAUUUUGUUAUCAUAGCCUAAUUCGUCUAAAUAAGUACAUCAUAUGACCCAAAUCCACCCAUUUAUUAUUGAUUUUGUUUGCCCUCUAAGCUAAAAGUUUAUUUUUAAUGUAUCGAUCCAGAUGCACGAUGGGUCGACCUAAGUAUUGAUCCGUCUAAAUGGGUUGAUCUGCUACAUCAAUUGAUUAAGUUUUUUGAUAUGUUGGGUCACAUAAUUAUAAUAUACCAGGACCAAUACAACUACUUUGUCCAAAUGGAUGUAUGUGAAUAGUGAUUGACACAAUGCUUUUUUUUCUCUGUAUUUUCAACACAAAAGGAAGUGUGGUUCAAAGAUUUUUCGCAAAGGAAGCCUGACAUAAUUGGUCAUGCACGUGAGGUAUAUUUUUAUACCUGAACAUUUCUCUCGUCACAUAAAUAAAGGGAAAAUGACUUAGGUUUUGUCCACAUUUGGUCACUUUCAUUUUUUUUGACAACAUUAACCAUUAAAUUCUCAUUUUCUGUUCAAGUUAUAGUAGGUUAAUGCCCAAUUGGCAUAUACUUGGCAUCUACAUGGUGGCAUUUGAGAUUAGCUGAUACGUGAUAUAAGGUAUUUCUUCACCCUCUUGCUCUUUUGUGCCCUAGAAUAACAAAAUCGACACGUCUUCUUCUUCUUCUUAAUCUGCCAGUAAAAAUCAAGAAUUCCAAGUUGAAAAUCCUUGAAAAUGUGGGUUACCUUCUCGAUUGAGGACAUCACUGAUGACAACCCUGAAGAAAGUUUAGAGUGUGCCCUAACUCGAUGGUAAAUCAAAUUAUGUUUUUUAUUUAACACUUCUUUUUUAUGUUCUUGUUUUAACAUUUCUAUUUAUUCAAGACUAAAAGGAAAAGUUGCAAUUUCUAGGAGUGGUCGAUGAAGAUUUUCAAUAUGAAGAUUUAAACAUCAAGUUGAAGUCGAAGAAUAUGGGUGUAAUGCAAGCUUAUGAACUAAUGCUGAAAAUUUGCUACAUCAGAGCAUGAGAUGAAGAUGGACCACGAAAUGGAGGCACUGAAAUGGAAGGUGUCCACUCACAAAAUAGUGCUCUUGUGUUGUUUGUUAUGCUUGUAGUUAAUCUACUUUAGGUUAGGGAUUAUAUUUGUUUAGGAUACAUUAUUUUUGUUGUAAGUUACAAUACAUUAUUUUUUGUUUAGGAUACUAUAUUUGUAGUUCUUCCCAUACUCUCCCUCUAUUUUCCUCUUUAUAGUGGGCCUCCCACGUAACCUUCUUUUUAAGGGGGGUUAAUGGAUUGUGAGCAUCAACAUGAGGCUACAUGACACAAUUAAAAGUCAUAAGUUCAAUCAUUAACUUUUUUACUUGAUUUUUGGAUGUUGCUUUUUCAAAUGAAGCAAUCAUUGAUGGGGAUUAUAUUAGAUGUCCUUGUUCUAAAUGCAAGAACAAGUCUUAUAAAACAAGAGGUGAUGUAGAGCUUCAAUUGUUACAAAACGGUUUCACUCCUAAUUUCAUAACUUGGCAGGCCAAUGGUGAAAGAAAUACGAUAUCUCAGCAUGAGGAAUAAUCUUCUAAUCUGAUGCAGGAUCCGAUGGAAGAUGAUGAUGAUGAUGAUGAUGAUGUUAAUGGGUGUACACAAAUGUUGAUGGAUGUAAUGGAAGGACUCCUGCAUCCAACCGCCAAGGGGUUCUAUGAUAUGUUAGAAGACGCUGAUGAACCUUUGUGGCAUGGAUGUGAAAAUUAUUCAAAAUUAGAAGUUGCAACAGAAAUGUUGCAUUGGAAGUCUGAAUACAAUAUAUCUAAGGCUACUUAUGAUCACAUACUUCCUAUAAUUAAGCGGAUGCUACCCAAAGGUAAGAAACUAGUUGAGAACUUCUACGAGACGAAGAAGCUUUUGCAAAGAAUUAGACUCCCAGAAAAAAAAAGAUUCAUGCUUGCAAAAACCAUUGCAUGAUAUUCUAUGGGGCUGAUUCUGAUUUGACUAAGUGUCGAGUGUGUGAUCAUGAUCGGUACAAGAGUGGCAGAUAUCUGGUUAUGAGGUACUUUCCGAUUGCUCCUAGACUCCAAAGGUUGUAUUUGACAAAAAGAUGGCAAAGCAAAUGACAUGGCACUAUGAACAUCAAACAUAAUCGGGUUUGAUGGUCCAUCCAAGUGAUGGUCAGGCUUGGAAGCAUUUCGACUCAAUGCAUCCAGAAUUUUCAAGUGAACCACAGAAUGUUCGCCUUGGGCUAUGCACUAUGGUUUCAGUCCAAAUAACUCAAAUAUAACCUCGUAUUCAUGUUGGCCUAUUUUCCUUUCAAUUUAUAACUUGCCUUCUUGGAUGUGCUUAAAAGAACCAUAUGUUCAAUUAAGCAUAGUUAUUCCUGGAAAAAAGAGCCCAGGUCAAAAUAUAGAUGUGUUUCUCAGGUCAUUAAUUGAUGAGUUAAAGAUGCUAUAUACAGAUGGCAUUGUCACUUAUGAUGCUUCGAGUAAAUGCAAUUUCACAAUGAAAGCUAUACUUCUUUGGACAGUUAGUGACUUUCCUACCUAUGCAAUGUUAUCGGGAUGGAUCACACAUGACAAGUUAGCAUGUCUGUAUUGUAUGGGUGAGUCGGGGUCGUUUUGUUUACACCAUGGUAGUAAACCAUGUUGGUUUGACUGCCAUCAAAAUUUUUUACCUGAACAACACACAUAUAGGGGUGACAAAAUAGGAUUUUUGGCUAAUAAGGUUGAUCGAUCUAGCUCCCCACCAAUAUUAACCGGUGAUCAGAUUUGGGAGCAAGUACGACACUUUCCAACGGUUUAUGAAGGCAAACCUUUUAAGAGAAGAAUGCAAAAUUGCCUGGUUUCGGGAUUACUCAUAAUUGGGUUAAGAGGAGCAUCUUUUGGGAGCUACCAUAUUGGCAGAAGUUGUUAAUACGACACAACCUUGAUCCCAUGCACUUUGAAACAAAUGUGUUUGAAAAUAUUUUCAACACCGUGAUGGACACUCCAAAAAACAAAGACAACAUGAAUGCAAGAAACGAUAUAUGUCACACCCCAAAACCGAUAACGGCGGAAUGUGUUUCAGGGUGGAUGACGUAGUGUACGGUAUCAUCAUAAUUGUAUAAUAGUAAAAGCAAGAAACAUACAACCAUUUCAUUUACAUAGUAAGUGUAAUUACAAGUGUGUUUUGUAAUGUUUGACAAACACCAAAAGUAAACAAAAAUAAGAUAUGGGUCUUGCAUGCUCCAUCUUCUCCGAAAAUGCUGCAGUUUUACCUGUCUAUCUUUGACCUAAAGAUACAAGUUAUUUUGAAAAGAAUAUCAGCAUAAAGCUGGUGAGUUCAUAAGAGUUUAGUGUGAGUUCUUAUAUAAAAAGCAUUAGAAUCAUUAGUAUGAAAGCUGAAUGUUUGUUGUCAUGAGUAGUAGUAAAACCUAGAAAAUCCUAUAUUUUCCAGAACUGAAUAGUAAGUGAAAACCAUUAUGAAAUAUGAUAUUUCCAUCUUUGAAAACCAUUUAUCGUAGAAGUAUAAUAGUGACUCACCAAUAAGUAAAGCAAUAUAGUGAGUUAUACUUGAAGUAAAUAAUAGUGGUGCAGCUUCCUUUAGUAUUAGAUACUUAUUUACUUCGGGAUAUUAACUUCAUCUUUCGUUUAGUGUUUUAGUGCGGUUAUAGUGUAUUUCUUGUAUGUUACCAAUGGUGUGAGUAAUAGCGGACCCCCAUGACCUUCCCAGUCAUGUAUAGUGUAGUGGAGUAAAGGCAUCCCUGGACCUGUGCGGCUCGGACUGAAAUUAUCAGUCGGGAUGUAAUAGCGUCUGCCCCGUAUAGAUCUAUACAUAUAGUGUCGUCUUCCUAUCAGAAAACUUCGGGCGUAGUGUGUAGUGAAUAGAGUAUCUCGUAGUGGGUAAAUGAGUUAUAUUAUGAUUUGUACUUUCUCUUGUGUUGUAGUGGGGUAGUCUUUUGUAUAACUUGUAUUGUACUCUCUUAAUAGUGUAUAGUUUUCAUAAUAGAGAGAAUUAUAGUAGUGUAGAGUAGUAGUUAAAACAAGAGAUAGAGACCUUAACUAUACCUAUUAUAGUUAACUUAGUGUAUAUGGUUCUAGUCAAGUUAGUGAUUUAGGCAUCUACUGAAAUAAGAAGUACUCGUAAUCCAUACUAAUAUACGAGAUAUAUAACUAAGAAAUCAACGACAGUCAGACGGAUAACCACUACCCUAAGUCCACAAUCAGACAAGAACAGGAAAUAAGGCGAGCUAUCGGUCCUAAGUCCUUCAAGUCUUACUUAUAUAAAUAUAUCAGUGUGAUUACAUUUUUAUGAAGAGAUUUAUUAAAUAAAAGUAUUGUACAAAAGAGACAUUUAAAACUUGUUUGUCCAUUCAAAAUAGUUUUGAAAAUAAAUGAUUGAUUUAUAAGGCAUAGUGAUAAAUCACAUGUGAUUUGAACUACAGGUAGUGAAUCACAUGUGAUUAAUUCUGUAAUAUGUAAAAUUUUCUUGUAUAACUUUCCAUAAACAUGUAUAUUGAACUUGUAUCUCCCCCCUAAAACAUAUAAAACAUUUGAAAGGUUCAUUAAAGGGGUAUGAACUCACCUGAAUUCGCGUAAAUCGGGUGAAUCGGGUAAAUCGGGUAAAAGUGUCGGUUGAGCGUUUUGUUCCAAACAAUGACUUGUACACCUUUUAGGACCCUAAUGUCAUAUGAAAAUAUGUAUUUUACAAGAAAUUAAUCAUUUUAUGCUUUCCGUUUAAGUAUUGAGGCAUUCUAGCAUCAAUUCGGGGUUUUAGGGCCUAGAAGGGGUUCCCGGGAGUGGUUUAAGGCUAAGAAGGAUUUACGGGAGGUUCCAUGAGCUCACUCCCUUGGAGUUUACGGCCCAAAGGCCACUCCUUGGGAGUUUACGGCCGUAAGCCCCCUAGGCUUGGCCGUAAACUCAUGUGGUCCUCCAAAUUGUAUGUUUAAGGCCUUAUUUCACUUCCUUACUUUAAUGGUAUGAGUCUUGGACCAAUAUGGAGGGAUUAAACUCUUAUUUUUGUGUCAUUUUGGGGAGUUUAUGGCCAAGGCUUGUUCUUGGGCCGUAAACUCCAUUUAAUCCAUCAAAAUGGGUGUUUAAAUGGUACAACAUGUUCUCAUUCACCUUAGGUAAAUCCUAGAAGGCCUUAAAAUGAGUUUUGGGACAAUUUGGCAUGAAAAUUGGGGAGUUUACGGCCCAAGAAUAUCCUUGGCCGUAAACUCUUCAUUUGGCCUCAAAAUGGGAAGUUUAAUGGUACAACACACAUCCAAGGGCCUUAGCUAAAUUCCUUACAUGCAUUAGAGAAGUUUUGGGACUUGUUUGACACAAAAACUUGGGUGUUUACGGACCAAGCUUAGCCUUGGCCGUAAACUCCUCUUUUUGUCCUCAAAUGAUGUUGUUUGAUGCAUUUAAACCUUCCUUAGUGUCAAGUAUAAAUUACCAAACACCUUAGAUGAGUUUUUGGGGUGUUUACGGCCUAAGCACAAGCUUGGGCCGUAAACUCCUUUUUAAGCUUCAAUUCCUUGUGUUUUAGUGUCCAAACUCUCCUAGGUAUAUGCCUUAAUUAGUCCAUAAGCUUAAAGGAAGGAAAAAUGAGGUUUUUGGCAAGUUUCUAGGGGUUUACGGCCUAAGGGGCUUCUUAGGCCGUAAACUCCUUUUUGGUCCUUGAUUUCUAUGAUUUUGGCCCCUAAAUACAGUGAAGUAUGUCUAGAUUAAGAUAGGGAAUGAGUCCUUACGUUUGGAAGCCGGAAAUUCGCGGAUUUAGGGUCGAUUUCGGGUCUAGAGAGAGAAAGUAGUGAGACAGAGGUGAGGGUGUGGUAAAAGAGUUCAAUUGUAGUGUCCCUUUGUUUAUAUAUGUCUCGGGUAUUGCACCCGAUACACGGCUACCCGAUGCUAACGUUUAACGGGGUUAAAACUUUUUACCCGGGUGAAGUGGUUGAAAAGUAAUAUAACUCUAUUUAGUUAAACGGGGUUAACAUUUACAAGUUAUAAUUACUUAUGAUAAUAUCGUGACAUAUGAAUAACUAGAUAUUUGUUUAUUGACGACUCCCAACCAUUACCGAAAAUAAUAUAUAGUGACGCAUUCCGUUAGUGAAAGUAGGGUUUGUAACGGCAAUAUAUUUGGGGUUGUCACAUUAUCCCCCCGUUAGGGGAAUUUCGUCCCGAAAUUUAGAAUUUAUACAGAUCAGAAUUACAGUACUACUACGCGAAGAGAUGGUGGUAUUUGAGUUUCAUUUGGUCUUCGCGCUCCCAAGUGAAUUCCGGUCCUCGUUUGGCGUUCCACCGAACUUUCACAAUUGGGAUACGGCUUUGUUUCGUUCGUUUUACUUCUCGAUCCAUGAUCUCCGCAGGCUCUUCCACGAAGUUGAGGCUCUCAUUGACCUCAAUCUCGUCAAGGGGAAUUACGAGUGUCUCGUCUGACAGGCAUUUCUUCAAGUUACAGACGUGAAAGGUAGGGUGUAUGUUGCUUAGUUCGUGAGGUAGGUUGAGUUUAUAAGCUACGGGGCCGACUCUAACGAGAAUCUCAAAAGGCCCUAUGUACCUUGGGUUCAGCUUUCCAUGCUUUCCAAAGCGUAUCGUGCCCUUCCAGGGUGAGACCUUCAACAGGACUCGAUCUCCCACCUGGAAUUCCAAGGGUUUUCUUCGUUUGUCGGCGUAACUUUUCUGUCGAUCCCUAGCGGCUUUUAGUCGUUCACGUAUCUGUACAAUCUUCUCGGUCGUCUCUCGAAUGAUCUCCGGACCAGUGAGAGAGCUGUCAGGAACUCUUCCUCUAGCUAGCUGAGUGUCACCCACCUCAGCCCAGCACAGAAGGGAUCUGCACUUACGCCCGUAGAGGGCUUCGAAUGGGGCUGUCUUGAUGCUCGUAUGAUAACUAUUAUUAUAUUACAAAACUCCACAAGAGGUAAGUGUGUGUCCCAUGAUUUGCCAAAGUCAAUCACACAAGCUCGCAACAUAUCUUCUAAGGUUUGAAUCGUCCUCUCACUUUGUCCGUCGGUCUACGGAUGGUAGGCUGUACUCAUGUCCAGUCUCGUUCCUAGUGCCUUUUGCAAUGAUUGCCAAAAUCUAGAGGUGAAUCUACUAUCUCUGUCUGAUAUAAUAGAUAUAGGGACGCCAUGCAGUCGCACUAUUUCUUUUAUAUAUGUUCUAGUGAGCUUCUCCAUCUUGUCCGUCUCCUUGAUGGGUAGAAAGUGUGCAGACUUGGUCAACCUGUCAACGAUGACCCAAAUGGUAUCUAAUCCACCUGCUGUCUUGGGCAGUUUGGUGAUAAAGUCCAUUGUGAUUCGCUCCCACUUCCAUUCUGGUACCUCCGGUUGUUGGAGGAGUCCUGAUGGCUUUUGAUAUUCGACUUUGACCUUCGCGCAAGUAAGGCACUUACUUACAAAUGUAGCGAUCUCCUCUUUCAUGUUCGGCCACCAGUAUCGGUUUUUGAGAUCCAGAUACAUCUUAUCUGAACCCGGGUAAACGGAGUAACGAGUGUUGUGUGCUUCCCUCAUAACCAAGUCUCUGAAACCUCCAUGGCGUGGAGUCCAGAUUCGGUCCAUGAAGUAGUAGGCUCCGACACCCUUAACCUCCAGAUUUUUAUCCAUUCCGCGCAGGGAUUCUCCUAUCACGUUCUCGGGCUUUAAGGCUUCUAGCUGAGCCUCUUUGAUCUGUGCGGAUAGAUGCGAAUGGAUAGUCAUUGUCAACGACUUGGUCCUUCGACCGGAAUAUUCCUUUCUACUCAGGGCGUCAGCUACUAUGUUGGCUUUCCCCGGAUGAUAUCUAAUUUCACAGUCGUAAUCGUUAAGUAGCUCGACCCAUCGACGCUGUCUCAUGUUGAGUUCUUUUUGGUUCAGUAUAUGUUGGAGGCUUUUAUGAUCAGUGUACACCACGCUCUUCGUCCCAUACAAGUAGUGUCUCCAGAUUUUUAGUGCGAAGACGACCGCUCCUAACUCGAGGUCGUGAGUAGUGUAGUUCACUUCAUGGUUCUUUAGCUGUCUCGAGGCAUAGGCGAUAACCUUGCCUCGUUGCAUCAAGACACAACCGAGCCCCUGAUUGGAUGCAUCACAGUAUACGACGAAAUCUUCUGUCCCUUCGGGAAGGGAUAAUACUGGUGCGGUGCAUAGGGCUCGCUUCAGGGUCUGAAAUGCCUUCUCCUGUUUCUCUUCCCAGUCGAAUGAUACACCCUUCUGAGUUAGCAUAGUGAGAGGCUUCGCAAUUCGAGAGAAAUUUUGGAUGAAUCUGCGGUAGUAGCCAGCGAGGCCUAGAAAUUGACGAAUUUCUGUAGGCGUCUUCGGUGCUGACCAGUUCUCAAUAGCUUUAAUUUUGGAGGGGUCCACGUGGAUUCCGUCUUCACUGACCACGUGCCCUAAGAAUUCAACUCUUCGGAUCCAAAACUCGCACUUAGAGAACUUCGCAUACAACUUCUCGGAUCGCAGGGUUUCCAGGACUAAUCGUAAAUGAUUUCUGUGCUCUUCCUCGCUCCGAGAGUAGACGAGUAUGUCAUCAAUAAAGACGAUGACGAACUGAUCUAGAUAUGGACGACAUACCCUAUUCAUCAAGUCCAUGAAUACUGCGGGGGCGUUAGUCAGUCCAAAGGGCAUCACUACGAACUCAAAAUGCCCGUAGCGGGUUCGGAAGGCUGUCUUUGGAACAUCUUCCUCAAGCACCCGUAACUGAUGAUACCCCGAUCUAAGAUCAAUCUUGGAGAAGUAACUUGCUCCUUGGAGUUGGUCGAAUAGAUCGUCGAUACGAGGGAGAGGAUAGCGAUUUUUGAUCGUGAGUUUAUUGAGUUCCCUAUAAUCGAUGCACAUCCGAAACGACCCAUCCUUUUUCUUCACGAACAAGACCGGAGCUCCCCAAGGUGAGAAGCUCGGUCUUAUAAAGCCCUUGCUGAGCAGUUCGUUGAGUUGACCGGAUAGUUCUUGCAUUUCGGCGGGCGCUAGACGGUAGGGCGACUUAGCUACGGGGGUAGCUCCUGGGAUUAGGUCGAUUCUGAAUUCAACCUGUCGUUUGGGAGGUAGGCCUGGAAGAUCCUCCGGGAAGACAUCAGGAAAAUCGCAUACUACAGGAAUGUCUUUUGGAUCUUUCGAUUUCUGGUUAGUGUCGACAACGUGAGCAAGAAAGGCGCGAUAUUCCUUGCGCAAGUAUUUCUGAGCCUGAAUACUAGAGAUGAUACGAAGGUUUGUACUUGGCUUAUCUCCGUAUAUCAAUAGGGUCUCUCGAUUCGGAAAGUUCAGGCGAAUGGCUUUCUCGGAGCAUAGGAUGUCGGCGUAGUGAAGGCUUAGCCAAUCCAUACCAACAAUGACAUCGAAAUUUUUGAUUGAGACUGGUAUAAGAUCGAUUAAAAAGGGGUGAUCAUCUAACGUGAGAGUACAACCUAUAUAGAUUUCAUUAGAGCUUUCUGUCUUCCCAUUAGCCAUUUCUACAACGAAUGUUUCUUUUAGUGGUUGAGGGGUUUGUUUGAGUAAGUGUUUAAAGUUUUGAUUUAUGAAGCUUCUUUCUGCACCACUAUCGAAUAAGACACAGGCAUAAGAGUUGUUGAGAAGAAACGUACCCGUGACCACCGUGGGAUCGGCUACCGCUUCAUUGUGACCGAUAGCAAGUAACCUUCCAGUUCCCCCAGCAUUUGCAGCCUUCGGACAGUUCUUCUUAAAAUGGCCCGCUUCACCGCAGCCAUAACAAGUUGGGGUCACUCCCGUACCAGGAACCUGUGUGAUAGGUUUGGGAGGGGCCUUGCAAAAUCGGACAGUAUGGCCCUUUCGUCCGCAGUUGGAACACUGCAAUUCACGGCAAGGACCGUUGUGGUGAAAAGGGCACUUGGGACACUUAGGCAAGUUUCCACUGUAAGCCUUCGGUGGGGCUGGAGCAGCUGGUGUGGCUGGGGUGGUGGCAGCAUGGACCGCCACAAUUUGCUGGUCCUUAGAGGCGGUUUGAGUCUUCUUGCCCUUCUUCUUAUCCCAUCGUUUCCUUUUUCUGUCAGAUGAUCCGGAUGGUGCAGUGGUUGUUGUGGUUGUUGUUGCUGGAGUGGAGGAGAUUUCGUGGUUGAUCAGACUCUGGGCCAAUUCCUUGGCGCUGUCGAAAGUGGUAGGGCGUGAAGCCAGAACAUUUCCUCGAUACGGGGGCACUAAACCCCAGAUGUAACGUUCAAUCUUCUUGCUUUCAGAGGGGAUCAUGUUGGGACACAUAGCCGCCAAGUCGCAAAACCUGGCCGUAUAAGCCGUUAUGUCGGUCCCCUUCAUCUUGAGGUUCCAGAGUUCUUCCUCAAGCUUCUGAACUUCGCCCCUAGGGCAGUACUCUCCUCUCAUAAGAUCUUUUAGAGUGUCCCAGCCCAUGGCAUUGGCUGUGACCAAGGAGAGUGCGUUGACAUGGCCGUUCCACCAUGACAAAGCCCUGUUAGUGAGGGUAGCAGUAGCGAACUUGAUUUUGCUCUCUUCGGGACAAGAGCACAUUUCGAAUACAGCUUCGGUUCUUUCGAACCAUUGGGACAAUGCCAGAAUUCCUCCGGUCCCAUCAAAGAAAGUAGGUUUACAAUUCAUGAAGUCUUUAUAAGUGCAUCCCUGCACUCGUUGGUGGACUUCACCAAAUCUAGAAUUUCCACCGCUCGCAUCACCCGAGUUCAUUUGGGCCAUGGCUGCUGUUACAGCCGCAGUCACAGCCGCUUGGAACAACACCGGAUCGAACUGCGGAGGAGGAGGUGGUGGAGGAGGGGUUUGAGUUUCAGGUCUUCCUCUGCUGGGACGCUUUCGUGGAGGCAUCCUUCACUGGAAGAUCAUAGAAAUGAUAGCAAUAGUAAGAGCCUAUUGCGAAUAUGAAUAGUGUGUUUCAUGGAUUAAAUCAACAUAAUCCAAGAUCAGGGUAAGAGUUAUAGCAAUAGAGAAAUCAUCUGCCAAUAUACUGGUAUUAAUGAUGCAACAGAAGUUCAUGAAAAUUGACCUAGCAGUAGGUCUUACAUCAUACCAUAGAGAAAUUGUUGGCAGUUUAGAGGUUCAACUAGAGUACUUUUAAACUAGGAAUGUUUACAGACAAGAGACCUACGGAACAUAGAGAUAAAAAGGCUAGUCCUUUAAACAAAAGAGUGAGGUAACUAGACGUCUUCUACUGGCGACGGUUGCUUGUUGGGCGAAUCCUCAGAUCCACUAGUUGACGCAUAACUUCUUGAAGGUGUCGAUCAUGAGUCCUUUGGCGUGCUCGGAGUUCCCUAACUUCAGCUCGGGAUGCAGCCAGCUGAUGCUGCAGAGCCUCAUUGGUCCUCCUUAUCCUGUCCACAGCUUCUUCGAGUUGACGAAUGCGAACAGUGUUGAGGUUUGAGUUGACAUCCACUUCUACAACUCGACCAAUAGCAGCCUGACUUUGCUCAACAUUCCUGGCAAUCCUUCGGAUCAUGAUGGGCAGAACCCGAUCCGCUGAUCCUCCUUCGCUUAUGUUGUAGAAGCUGCAGUCUCCAUUGUAAGGCAAGGGCUGACCCUGCUCCUCGCUCCGUCGAUACAAGGAUAUUGCCCACAUAGGAGNAGGAGUGGGGCCCUGAAAUGCCGGACGGGGGCUAGGGUUCGGGGCUUCAGGAGGUUGGUUGUUGACUUCUGGCUCGGAGCUCGAGCUAUCCGAGAAGCCUUCAGCAUGAUGAUCAUCCAAAGGAAUCGGGUGAUCGUCGUCUGACUCCUCUUCGAGCCAUCCUCCAUUGCCCUGGUUCGGAAAGUACGGAUCGCCGGGUAGGUGGAAGCCAGCCACUAUCUACGCGAGAAAGGGGGAAAAGAAGAUUAAUAAAUGUACUAUUCUAAGAUCCUUAUAGGAUAAAUCAUUAUUAGUCGACCAAAUACUUGCAUAGUGCAUACCGAUUACAUGUAACCAAAGCAAGAUAGUCCUUAGAAUAAACCACCCUAACUUCAGACCCCCAAUCAAACAAGAACAGUGAAUGAAGCAAAGGCUGCAGAUUCUGAGUCUAUAACGCCCUAAUCACAUGUAAUCGUGGUGUAUCAACUUAGCAACUAUUGUCCCACUAGUAACGACCCCUUUUUGUUAUCACAUACGUAUAAUCUAGAGAUACGGAAUACUCCUAUAGUAUUCUUAUGGCAGCGUUAUGAUGAUAUUUGUGGUAAGUUUUAGACUUGUUGCAACAUCACAACCAAACUUAGGCACAUGCUAGUCACUCUCAGGAAAGACGUAGUUGAUCAGGCUACAUCACCCUGAAUGUGACUAUAUGUCUCUAAACCCAAUUGUGCUAUCCAACAAUCUUAAUACUUUCAUUUUGUUCUAGGAUGAUACAGACUUCGGUGUUUUAUAGUGAUGUGUGUAUAUAUAUAUAUAUACUUAGUUAGAUCUUUUAGAUACUUAACAGUAUAUAUUCUUGUACAGAGUGUUUUAGUCCCGAAGUGUUUAUAGUUCGUAUAUCUCUUAUAGGUUGAUAUACUUGAUUCACUAUAAAGAAUGCUCUGAUACCAAUCUGUCACACCCCAAAACCGAUAACGGCGGAAUGUGUUUCAGGGUGGAUGACGUAGUGUAUGGUAUCAUCACAAUUGUAUAAUAGUAAAAGAAAGAAACAUACAACCAUUUCAUUUACAUAGUAAGUGUAAUUACAAGUGUGUUUUGUAACGUUUGACAAAAACCAAAAGUAAACAAAAAUAAGAGAUGGGUCUUGCAUGCUCCAUCUUCCCUAAAAAUGCUGCAGUUGUACCUGUCUAUCUUUGACCUGAAGAUACAAGUUAUUUUGAAAAGAAUAUCAGCAUAAAGCUGGUGAGUUCAUAAGAGUUUAGUGUGAGUUCUUAUAUAAAAAGCAUUAGAAUCAUUAGUAUGAAAGCUGAAUGUUUGUUGUCAUGAGUAGUAGUAAAACCUAGAAAAUCCUAUAUUUUCCAGAACUGAAUAGUAAGUGAAAGCCAUUAUGAAAUAUGAUAUUUCCAUCUUUGAAAACCAUUUAUCGUAGAAGUAUAAUAGUGACUCACCAAUAAGUAAAGCAAUAUAGGAAGUAAAUAAUAGUGGUGCAGCUUCCUUUAGUAUUAGAUACUUAUUUACUUCGGGAUAUUAACUUCAUCUUUCGUUUAGUGUUUUAGUGCGGUUAUAGUGUAUUUCUUGUAUGUUACCAAUGGUGUGAGUAAUAGCGGACCCCCAUGACCUUCCCAGUCAUGUAUAGUGUAGUGGAGUAAAGGCAUCCCUGGACCUGUGCGGCUCGGACUGAAAUUAUCAGUUGGGAUGUAAUAGCGUCUGCCCCGUAUAGAUCUAUACAUAUAGUGUCGUCUUCCUAUCAGAAAACUUCGGGCGUAGUGUGUAGCGAAUAGAGUAUCUCGUAGUGGGUAAAUGAGUUAUAUUAUGAUUUGUACUUUCUAUUGUGUUGUAGUGGGGUAGUAUUUUGUAUAACUUGUAUUGUAUUCUCUUAAUAGUGUAUAGUUUUCAUAAUAGAGAGAAUUAUAGUAGGGUAGAGUAGUAGUUAAAACAAGAGAUAGAGACCUUAACUAUACCUAUUAUAGUUAACUUAGUGUAUAUGGUUCUAGUCAAGUUAGUGAUUUAGGCAUCUACUGAAAUAAGAAGUACUCGUAAUCCAUACUAAUAUACGAGAUAUAUAACUAAGAAAUCAACGACAGUCGGACGGAUAACCACUACCCUAAGUCCACAAUCAGACAAGAACAGGAAAUAAGGCGAGCUAUCGGUCCUAAGUCCUUCAAGUCUUACUUAUAUAAAUAUAUCAGUGUGAUUACAUUUUUAUGAAGAGAUUUAUUAAAUAAAAGUAUUGUACAAAAGAGACAUUUAAAACUUGUUUGUCCAUUCAAAAUAGUUUUGAAAAUAAAUGAUUGAUUUAUAAGGCAUAGUGAUAAAUCACAUGUGAUUUGAACUACAGGUAGUGAAUCACAUGUGAUUAAUUCUGUAAUAUGUAAAAUUUUCCUGUAUAACUUUCCAUAAACAUGUAUAUUGAACUUGUAUCUCCCCCCUAAAACAUAUAAAACAUUUGAAAGGUUCAUUAAAGGGGUAUGAACUCACCUGAAUUCGCGUAAAUCGGGUGAAUCGGGUAAAUCAGGUAAAAGUGUCGGUUGAGCGUUUUGUUCCAAACAAUGACUUGUACACCUUUUAGGACCCUAAUGUCAUAUGAAAAUAUGUAUUUUACAAGAAAUUAGUCAUUUUAUGCUUUCCGUUUAAGUAUUGAGGCAUUCUAGCAUCAAUUCGGGGUUUUAGGGCCUAGAAGGGGUUCCCGGGAGUGGUUUACGGCUAAGAAGGAUUUAUGGGAGGUUCCAUGAGCUCACUCCCUCAGAGUUUACGGCAUAAAGUCCACUCCUUGGGAGUUUACGGCCGGAAGCUCCCUAGGCUUGGCCGUAAGCUCAUGUGGUCUUCCAAAUUGCAUGUUUAAGGCCUUAUUUCACUUCCUUACUUUAAUGGUAUGUGUCUUGGACCAAUAUGGAGGGAUUAAACUCUUAUUUUGUGACAUUUUGGGGAGUUUACGGCCAAGGCUUGUUCUUAGGCCGUAAACUCCAUUUAAUCCAUCAAAAUGGUUGUUUAAAUGGUACAACAUGUUCUCAUUCACCUUAGGUAAAUUCUAGAAGGCCUUAAAAUGAGUUUUGGGACAAUUUGGCAUGAAAAUUGGGGAGUUUACGGCCCAAGAAUAUCCUUGGCCGUAAACUCUUCAUUUGGCCUCAAAAUGGGAAGUUUAAUGGUACAACACACAUCCAAGGGCCUUAGCUAAAUUCCUUACAUGCAUUAGAGAAGUUUUGGCACUUGUUUGACACAAAAACUUGGGUGUUUACAGGCCAAGCUUAGCCUUGGCCGUAAACUCCUCUUUUUGUCCUCAAAUGAUGUUGUUUGAUGCAUUUAAACCUUCCUUAGUGUCAAGUCUAAAUUACCAAACACCUUAGAUGAGUUUUUGGGACUUUAAACAAGGGUUUUUAGGGUGUUUACGGCCUAAGCACAAGCUUGGGCCGUAAACUCCUUUUUAAGCUUCAAUUCCUUGUGUUUUAGUGUCCAAACUCUCCUAGGUAUAUGCCUUAAUUAGUCCAUAAGCUUAAAGGAAGGAAAAAUGAGGUUUUUGGCAAGUUUCUAGGGGUUUACGGCCUAAGGGGCUUCUUAGGCCGUAAACUCCUUUUUGGUCCUUGAUUUCUAUGAUUUUGGCCUCUAAAUACAGUGAAGUAUGUCUAGAUUAAGAUAGGGAAUGAGUCCUUACGUUUGGAAGCCGGAAAUUCACGGAUUUGGGGUCGAUUUCGGGUCUAGAGAGAGAAAGUAGUGAGAGAGAGGUGAGGGUGUGGUAAAAGNCUAGAGAGAGAAAGUAGUGAGAGAGAGUGAAUGAGUGGUAAAAGAGUGUUCAAAUGGUGUUCACUCUCAUUUCAUAUGCCUCGGGUGUUGCACCCGAUACACGGCUACCCGAUGCUAAAGUUUAACGGGGUUAAAACUUUUUACCCGGGUGAAGUGUUUGAAAAGUAAUAUAACUCUAUUUAGUUAAACGGGGUUAAUAUUUACAAGUUAUAAUUACUUAUGAUAAUAUCGUGACAUAUGAAUAACUAGAUAUUUGUUUAUUGACGACACACAACCAUUACCGAAAAUAAUAUAUAGUGACGCAUUCCGUUAGUGAAAGUAGGGUUUGUAACGACAAUAUAUUUGUGGUUGUCACAAUAUAGAAAUGUAUUGCAAUCGAGUGCAAUGGCAUACAUGGAAGAAGCGAAAUAAGGAUAUGAAAAAGAGAGCAUCGUUUUCUUUGAGCAAAGAACAAUUAAGUAACUAAAAUAUGCCAAUGGUUGAUUAAACUUAAAUUCCCGGACGGAUACGCCUCAAACUUGGGGGGUGCGUUAAUGUAGAUGAUAAUAGCUUUUACAAAUUCAAGAGUCACGAGUUCCAUGUAUUUCUUCAAAAAUUGUUGCCUAUUUCUCUAAGAGGUAUGGUGCCAAAUUCAAGAUGGGAUGCAAAAUAUGUUCAAAGGUGUUACGUGCGCGUAGAUGGCUUACAGCGCUUGCAAACUACUAUUGUUGAAACCAUUUGCAUGUUGGAAAAAAUAUUUCCACCUGGAUUCUUUGACUCAAUGGAGCAUCUUGUUAUCCACUUAGCUCGUGAAGCUAAGCUUGGUGGUCCGGUUCAAUAUAGGUGGAUGUAUCUUUAUGAAAGGUAUAUUUUUUACCAUACAAAAGAUUUUACCAUAAAACCUAUGGAAUUUCUAAUAAGCCUUUUCCAACAUCUUUUUAGGAAGUUGGGAUCAAUGAAAAGAAAGAUAAAAAACCAUGUGAAGGUUGAGAGGUCCAUUGUUGAGGUUUGCAUGAUUGGAGAAAUAUCGACUUUUUGCUCACAAUACUUUUUGCCUACAAUCGAAGCCCAGUUGAAUCGUGAGUCGUGUAAUUUUGCACCAAACAUUCCUAAUUAUACCAUGGUUGACUCUCGAUUAAGCAUUUUCAAAGUUCCAUCUCGAAGAUUAUUCGAAAAAAGUGGUCAACGGAGGCCUUUAACAGAUGAUGAGAUGCGUAUUGCUCAUAAUUACAUAUUGAUCAAUUGUGUUGAGGUUCUACCUUUUUUAAGGUAUGUUAAGUUAUCUACUUUUACUUGAUGUCAUGAAUCUCUAAAAUGUUUUUUAUUUUUUAAGGUUGUUUGAUAAUUAUGUGAUCCAAAGAAAACCUAAUAUCGAUGAUGGAGCAUUUGAAAGGUUUAGGGAUCAACAUUUUGCUAAGUGGUUUUAAAGAUCAUGUAAGUAUGAUACAAGCAAAAUUUGUAUUCUCAAAAAGUCUUGCCCCAUGAAUUAAUUAACAAAUGACUUUAUCAAUGUAGGUUUCACAACAAUCAAAUGAUAUUAGUUAACAUCGUAAAUGCCUUGCACGAGGACCAUUGCAAAAUGUUAGGUCCAAUAAAUGAUACUUUGUCAAUGAUUACAAGUUUCAUACUAAAAAAUAUGGUGAUGGACGGGUCACACACAAUAGUGGUGUAUUCGUAAGAGGAACUUGUUACAAUGAGACUGAGUGUGACUAUUAUGGGUUGUUGGAUGAGGUCUUGGAAGUAGAAUAUCAAGGCAUAUGGCGUUGCGUUGUAGUAUUGUUCAGGAGUACAUGGUUUCACCCUACUGAAGGGGUACGUGUGGAUCGAAAGAAUAAUUUGGUUGAUAUUAAAUACAAAUCAAGGCUAAGAAAUGAAGAUCGGUUUAUCCUAACGUCACAAGCAGAACAAGUGUAUUACUCACCAUAUCCUGCAAUCAAGGAUUUGAAAGAUUGGUGGGCUGUCGCCAAGACGAAGCCAAGGGGUGUAUAUGAUCUACGACAAUGUAUUACCAAAGAAGAUGAUGAUGAGGAUGAAGAGGAUCAAUUCAUUCAAGAAAGUGAAGCGACUUUACCUUCUACAAGUAGCGGUAAAAAUGAGGUGGCAGAACCCCUUUCUCAUGUAAUUGAAGGAGAAAUAGAAGAAGUUAAUGACAAUGACGUUGAGAGAGAAGAGGAUGAAGAAGUUGAUGAUAACUCGGAUGAUUCAUCCAAAGAUGAUAUUGAAGACGAAGACAACAUAUGUGAUGAUAAUUUUGAUGAUGAGUAAUUACUAAAAAUGUAGAAUGAAACAAUGUAUUUGGAACAAUAUAUUGCCUAAUGGACCUUAUUAAUAACUUUUUAGCUAAAAUGAUUGUUUUCUUUUUCUAUAUACAUUGUACUUCCAUUUAUUCGUGUAUUAUAUAGCAUGUUACCUUCUUUUACUUCAAGAAUUUUCUAUUAUAAUACAUACUUGUUCUAACCAAUCGUUUAUUAAUUCUUGAUUUUAAGGGUUUUUUUUAUUUACUAAUGGCGCUACGAGGAGCCCAUGGUGGUGAUCGCAGUGGUAGUCAUAUUGGUGGUCAUGAUGUUGGAGAUAGAAAUGCAUCUCAAUCAUACAAUAAUGCAGAAAGUUAACCUUCUUCAGUUAGAGGAUCAAACAUCUUGGAACAAGUUCCAACUAACCCAUCAAAAAGGAAGUUCAUUGAAGUCGAUUCUGAAAACGAGUACUAAUGUUAAUUUUAUAAUUAUUUAUGAAAAUGAAUUUACUUGUUAAUAAUAAUACUAAUGCUAAUUUUUUUAAUUAUUUAUUUUUUCAAGAGGGGUAAUUUAGGCAUUUUACUUGUUUAACUUGUUAAGAGGAGAGUGAAGGUAACUUUUUAUUUUUUGUGUUGUUUCUAGUGUUUUAAUUCAAACAAAACAAAACAUUUGUCUUUGGUUCUUUUUUAGAAACUAUACAAUAUUCUUUGAUGGAGAUGCAACUAUCUUGGGGCAAGCAACCCCAAUCUCUGGAUACGAAGGAGGAACCAACCGGAGAAUCAAGAAGCUAGAGAUACCGCUAUUUAAUGGAAAUAAUCCGAAUGACUAGGUUCUUGAGGCAGAGAGCCGGUUUCUAGAUUAUCGAUUAUCAUCGGCCAAUUAGCGAUUAACUAGAAGGCGACGACGCUCACUGGUAUAACGAGGAACACUAUCACCGGCCAAUUAGCGAUUGGGAAGAGAUAAAAUUCCUAAUCAGCCGGUGAUUCGGACCUUCCAUGGUGGGGGGUUUCAGUCGGAGCGAGAACGUAGUCUUAUGCAGAUAACGGCUCCGUUAAAUGACGGACGGCAAAAAGAAGACCAAGGUCAUCACAAAGUUGGGCUUAAAAACAACAUGUGGGCCAAAAUUGGAUUAUUGGACCCCGAGAAGUUGGAUCAGACAAUGGACUCGGAAAUUAAAGUGGAAGAUAAAUUAAGCCCAGUGUAAAUAAACCUAAUAGCCCUAAAACGAUGGAAACGUCAGUAAGGAGAUCAUAAACAAUCUUUGUGUAAGGUGGGUGGUGUUAACCCAGCUCAGAAUAUGCAGGAGUUUAAUUCUUCGGUGCAUUAUGAUCAUCAGGUAGGUUGGUUUUAUAUGAGUCGUCAAUCUCAGCUUCCCUUAUCCUCAAUCGGUUUCAUCCCUGGCAUGUGGUUGGUGUGGAGGGGCCUGGUUUGAACUAAGCUGUGUUUUGGACAAACACAUUAUUGGUCAAAGGUAUCAUAUCAAGAGAUGAAUUGCCCCAAAAAUAUAGAGAAUUCGGGAUGCAUUUUGAGAUCCCAAAUUCUCUAUAUUUUAGGUAAUACUUGUUUAUUUUGCUAGUGUGAAAAAAAGCCUAACUUUUGAGAGGAGUGAGCAAGUAGGAGAAGACGCCAAACUUUUGUUAUUUGUGGUGUCGACUUUCAGUGAAGGAGGGGCAGGAGAACCCAUUUUUUCCCUUUUGCUAUUGAAGUAUGUCGUAUGCGUUUUGAGUAGCUGAUUUACGCAAUGGUCUAAUUGGCUAAUUGAUUCACAUAAUGGGCUGUUUAUUUGUAUUUUUUUAUUUAGCCAAUAGUGGACGUUUACUUGGAGUUACACCCGGUGCACAUUAGAUCAAAGAUAUAAAAUCCAAUUUUUUUUUUUGAAACUUCUAAGUGCUAUCCCUACCAACUAACUAUAUCCGCCACAAGAAGUAUGUGGUGGUGGAUUGUAGGUGGGAUGGGGUUGCGGGUUCAUAGAGAAAAAAAGGAGACAUGACAAAAGAAUGUUAAAAAAGUCUUUUUAGAAUUGAACUUAAAUGAAAAGGUUAAGAGUUUUGGUAAAAAGGACUACCGAUGCAAGAAAUGAGACCAUAAGGAUUUGUGAUGUAUUGUUUUUUAAAUUUGUUCUCAAAGUGAAAAUUUCACUAAACUGCAAGGAUCAUAUUUGUAAUUUAGUCUUCAAUUCUAGAAAAAGAAUAAAAAAAGAAAUUCAAAAGUAGCAAAACCGUAUUCCUUUUGGGAAAGAACCCUGAAAACCUCGGAUACCAAAAAAUAAAAAGAAAGAAAAAAAAAAGAAAAACCCGAACAUUUUCAUUGUUUGUUUAUACUCUCUCACCGUCUCUGUUCGUUCAUCGUCGACUCACCGUUUGCCUGCUUGCUCAUCUUUCUUGGCCUUUGUCUCUGUUCAUUUUUCAUCUGUUAUCACCGCUUCAGGUUUAUAUAAAAUCUGCUCAUUCUUACAAGUUACUUUUGCUUGUCUAAAAAUUCCACAUAGCAAUCGCAGAUCACAUCAUAAUCAUUUGAAAUUUCAUAAACAGGUGAUUAAAACUUUGUUUAUUUCAGCUACUUUUGUUUAGUUUACAUAUCAGUUAUAAUCCAACACGUUCUUGCUUGAAGUCCAGAAUGAUGAACAAAACUUUGCGCAGACGGGAAGAUUCUCCAAUUCUCAAAUUUUUUUUUCCCUUAAUCACUUUAUAUUUUGAGUUCAUAACCACCAUUUUUUACAUUUGAUUCUUUAUUGAAUGAUUUUAUCUGCUCCAUAAUUGUAAGCUAAACACUCAAAAUCAACAAGCUUCAAUAUUCGAUUGUCAUAAUUCUAGAUUGCCUGUUGAUGUUCCCCUUGUUCAAAACUUGUAGAUCUGUCAAAGCCAGAUUGUAAGACAACCGGGUGUUAUUCUGCUUGAAUCAAAAUUAGGAUUUUGCUAGUGCAUAAUCUAGGUCUUGAACCAAAUAAGUAAUGCCCUUAAUUUCUGUUUGAAAAUAAGCUGGAUUUGGUUUAUGUUUCGAGGCACAAAACUGAUAAGAGAUUUCUUGCAUAAUGAACGGGGCCUUAAAGCAUUAGUAGACAAAAAGAUUCAAAGCACUAGAAUCCCCACUCAAUAGUUUUGUUAGGGAGUUCAUAAUCUUCAUUUAAAGUUACUUCUUAAUAAGUAAUAACUCCCCUGCACUACUAGAAAAACACCCUUUUACGACGCUCAUUGCGCGUCGUAAAAUGCUCAGACGACGCGCAAAUGCACGUCAAGAAAGGCCCUGUCAUAAAGAGAGACGACGCGCUUUUGUGCGUCAUCUAUAGACGACGCGCAUUUAUGACGCGCGGUUAUGACACGCAAUGCGUAUCAAGGAAGGCCCUGUCAUAAAGGAAGACGACAUGCAUUUGUGUGUCGUAAUCUUAUGACGCGCGCGUUCAUGACACGCAAUGCGUAUCAAGGAAGCCCCUGUCAAGAAAGGUCAUGUCAUAAAUGAAGAUGACGCACAUUUUUGCGUAUCAUAAUUUUGAUAUGCUCUAAAAAAAUAUAUUUAUAUAUUUAUUAAUUUUUAAAUUAAAUUUGCAUUUAAUAUCUUAUAAUACAAAUAAAAUAUCAUAUACAAAAAAUACAACCCAUUGCAUAAAAUUUAAUGUCAUACAAUUCAAUUUCUUACAAUAUCUAAAUUUGCAUCUAAUCUACUCUGUACAUCAAAUUCCAACUAAGUAAAGUUGCAUUUUGUCUUUCAUAAUUCUCUAAGACUAAUGCUCCAAGCAGCUGAUUAUAUGGAUAAGCAGUUGUACAUUGGCCCAAAUCAUCAAUUGCAGUGAUACGAGCUUGGUUUAGGAUAUGAAUAUCUAAAAAACAAUUAGACAAAAAAAAAAGAAUUACAGGAAAAUACCAUCUAUUUUUUAAUACUAAAUAGAAUUUAUACCCAGAGAGGAAAAAGGUUGUACUUUUAUCUACAUUACAUGUCAUUCCUAUUACGUCCUGAAGACUUACAGUUGUAAGCUCACCCAAUUUAUCUGCACCAAUAGACUGUUAAGAUGAAAAAUCAGAUUAUUAAUAAUAGAAACACAUGCAAUUAAGUUCGUUUCUAGUUCUUUAUCACAUCAGGUUUCUGGCCUAUAUACUCUGUUUAAACCCUUUAUUCAGAUCAAUAAAGCAAGUAUUCAGCUUCACCAAAACUACAACAUUCAACUUUGAAAAGCUCAAAAUAGUUGGAGACAGAUGUAACAACAAUACCUAGGAUAAAACUGUCAUAUAUGAAUAUUAUUGAGGUUGUGGUUAAAUAUCUACCUUUCCCCAUGUUUGUUUCUACUAAUUCCAACAUAUAGCUAUCCUACCCAAAAUAAGUAGAUAAUGAUUUAAAAGAUUGAUUUCAUAAAUAAUAUCUUGGCUGGUUGUCCAAGUUUCAGGUUUUCCAAGUUUCAUUCACAAGUUUUCGAAGUUUCAGGUUGGGAAGAAACACAAACAACAACACAUAGUAUGUAUCAAAAGUUGGAUCAUAGUUGUAAUUUUCCAGCAGAAAAGUAGUAGCAAUAGAAAAAAAUACACUCACACACAUGAAAUGAAAGGGUUGGUUGGGUCUAACCACAGUAACAUUUGGCCCUAGCACAUGGUGCUCCUUGUCCCACCACCAGCACCAGCAACAACAACAACAUGUAGACCCGUACAUGAAAGGUAGCCAAAUGAGCACCUUGCAUACCUGUCUAAACAUAAUUCAAAUAAUUAAAACAAAUCUUACUUAAUUCAAGGGAAAAUUAUGUUUAUAACCUUAUAAAGUUUAAAUAUUACUUAUAUAUACUUAUAAAUUUUAUACUUACAUAUAUGUAUAUAUAUAUAUAUAUAUAUAUAUACAUAUAUAUAUAUAUAUAUCCUUCUCAAAUUAUAAAACUCACAUCUAUAUCCAAAGUGAUAAUUUAAAUAGGCUUAAUUAAUCAAAUAUUAAAAAACUUAUCCAAAAAUUAAAAUCCUUUAUGUUUGUACUAAAAUAUCCUUCCAAAAUAAAUGUAGGAAGUUACCAUUUUACCCUUAUACUUUAAUAAAUCAUUUUUACCAUAUACAUAUUAGAGUAGAAUUUAAUAACUUGAAUCAUUGAUAACAUAUACCGUAAAACAUAGUGUUGACAUGUGAAGCCUUUUGUUAGGGUCCCACUUCCCUCAGGUUUGGAGGCAAGAUUAACCAUUUCAAGAGCAUAAAACAGUUCUUCCUUGCUGUAAAUGGAUUAAACCAAGAGCAUAAAGUGCAACUCCUUCUGAAUAGGGACUACCACCUCCACUACCACCAGCCGUUGCACUGAACUUAACCCAAUUUCUCGCCCUGAUUAGCCAAUGCUAAAAUCGUAUCCAAACAUAAUCCAAAAUGCUAAGGGGAGGAAUUUGUGUCAAAGUAAUUUGUUCUUAUGUGUUUUGCAAGAGUUCGAACACACUCCAAUUCCAACUUACAUUUACUUGAUUCUAAAGAUGAUGAAGACUUGUUGACAUCAAAAGAAAAGCAUAAGCAGCGAAUCACAUCUUUUCCAGCAUAUUUUGCUUGAAGUAUUCAAUAAUUGGAGGUCGUUGAACAUUGAAAACAUAAACUGUGAACACUCUUCAGGGUCUAUAAGUGCAUCAAUGGCAAAAAGAACACCUUCUUUAACAAAAGGCCCCAUGAAAACAUCGGUAUUCUUUUGUAGGAUAGUGUCAGAAAUAUUAAGAGCUAGCAUUAGUACACGUAUAUCCUUCCUAGUGAACACUCCAGCCAAAAACCUGAGAAAUUACCAACAUGAAACAAUUAAAAUUUAAGAGAAAUUUGAUAGAAUAAAGUAUAGUUGAGUAUCAAGAAUUCAACAUUAUGUCCCCUUGAAAUGUUGGUGCUUUUAAGCAAAUCAAGAAGCAUAUCAGAGUUGAUGUAAUAAAGUAACUUGUCAACAACAGAUAGACACCCAUAACAGAUAUAUAAAUCCACCCUAGAAUCAACAACCUGUUCAGAAAUAAGAAGAAAAGAAAGGGUAUAUCAGGGAAAUUGUAAAAGUUAGCAAGAAAUCAGUACAACAUGAUUGACAAAUGAUAACCAACCUGGAUCAAGACAGGUAAUAAAUCAUUCCCAAAUUUCUCUACAAGAUUAGGAUGAGUCACCAAGAAAGCUUCUUUUUCUGCAGCUAAUGGAACUUCUUGAUUUCUGGAUACAACGGGUAGAAGCUGAAUCAACAACUUCAAAACUUCAUGCAUUUGAUUAUAAUGUCCAUCAAUUGUUCGAGGGGAAGGGACUCCAUGUGAAAGGUCAUAUAUUGACAAGAUCUCUUUCAAAAUGCUACUUAUAUUAAGAUCAAAAAGUGUCUUCACAGCCACCAUAGAACCAGAAGCAAGUUUAACAAGUAGUCCAAUUAAACCCUACAUAAAAAUACACAAGAGUUCUUCAAAAAAGAUUGAAAAAAAAAACAAAAAUUGCUAAAAAUAGAAGAAGAUGGACAUACAGUAUGAACAUAAUAAGAUAGAGUGGUAUGGUUGAUCAGGUCUAUAAUAUGUGCCACUUGAUGAAUCAAUCCAUGUUUAGAAAGUUCAUCAAGCAUUUCACUGGAUUCUUGUACUCUUUCUGCUAUUUUAAUUAAGCAUGUAGCAACAUGUUCAACAAGCUGCAAUCGCAAGAAUAUGUCAGUAAAGUACAAAAGAUUAUAAGAAAGACCAUAAUUAUAUUUAUACCUGAUUGUCUUAGCUACAAUCACAAGAAUCAGAAGAUGUUGAAAUCAAUGAGGUUUUUGAAGUUUCUAGAGCGAUCUGUCUUAGCUGGUGUAAAGCCGGUCACAUAUUCAAUUUUUUAUUAAUUAAGUAAAAUGACAUAAGGGUAUAUUUGGAAACAUUAUGGAUUUAAAAUGUCGUAUUACCAUCAUUGUUGUUUUUUUGAGCGAGAACAGUUGGAGAUCAUAUAAAGGAUGCAAGACUUUAGGUACCCUCCAUGCCUAAUGAAUGAUAUAAUAGAGUAAUUUAGAAUAUAAAUGGAGUUUAAAUAUGAAUAUAUUUGAAUCUAGAUAUAGUAUAUAGUAAAAUGACAUAAUGAUAUAAUAAAGUAAUUUAGAAUAUAAAUGGCUGCUUACCUCUACAUUAACUUUGUCAAAAAGCUCAAGCUUAAGAUCAUACUCAUGCUGACCAGCUGAAGCAGAUAAUGUAAAAACACCUUCUGGAGCAAGAUUCACUUUUGCAUCUUUUGUAUCCGCCAAUAAAAUUGUGAUAUAAACUUUAUCCUCUCUCUGAGCCCACUUAAUUUCUUGAUGACGACUACAAAGCUCAAUAUUUUUUUGAAUUUAUUAGGAUACACCAAUCAUUGAACCAAGCACAAGCAAGCAUAAAUAUGUAAAACUAAUAAAUCAACUGUUUUCUAAUUCUCACCAUUGCAACACAAAGAACCCAAUUCUUGUGCCCUGAAUAGAUAUGUAAAAAUAUAACAAUUUGUUUGGCUUUUGUGAUUAUGAAGUUAUGAUAACAACCAUUAUAUUCACUACAUGGAACUUGGCUUCAGUGAAACUGUAUACCACUUACGAUUGUUAGCUGAAAGAGCAGAAUUUGUAACUGCAAAUUGAGUAGAAAGAAUAAUAGAUAUUUUAUGAAUCAAAAUUGUGUUUACAAAAUACAGAGCAGUAUAAGAAGAUGAAAUCAGAAUAAAAUUGUACCUAAGUGUUAAGGAGUGAGCCACUGACCGGAGAAACCGCCUGAAGGGGCUACCAACGCUGUGAGAUGAUAGAAUCGACAGAUGACAUGAUUCUCUCAUCUGUAUGAACUCAAAAAAGAAAAAAAUAUUACCUCUGUUUUACAUUUUCCAAACCAAACAUUGUGGAUUCGUCAUUGGAGCAGUCGAAGUGCACAUACACAACUUUUAUGAAAAAACCCUAAGUCGUCGGUGUCUUAGUCGAUAACUUGUACCAAAAAACCCUAAAUCGCUAUGAGAGAGGAGUGAGGCCUGAAUCACUUUCAUUAAGAUGUGAUAUCUUGAAGCAGAGAUGUAUAGCGGUCCGAUAGGGUGGGGAUACUUUACUCAUGCGGCACAACCGAACGAAUCAAGGGUAUCGAGCUAAUCCACAGGAAAUCGAUUGAAGCAAUUGCUUUCGAAUUUCGAUAUGGUUGAAAUUGAAAUUUUGGAAAUUGGAAGAACUUUGAAAGAAAUUGAGAAAUUAGCAUUGGAUUCCGGUUUAUUUGGGAUUUUUACAAGCAAAUCAAAGGCUUAUUUGGGCUAGAGGAUCGACGGGAGGGAACAGAGGAAGGAAAAGGGGAAAUACAACAAUUAGGGGUUUUAUAGGGUUACUGCAUCAUUCUUUGCUCUCCGCAUUUUUCAUAUUUAGAAGAAUGCUUUGGAGUAGAAUCCUUGGAGUUCAUUUUUUGAGUGUUAGGGUUUACUGCAUCGUUCAUUUUUUUAGUGUUAGGGUAUCUAGAGGUUGGUCGAGAGGGCCUGAACAUCAUCGUCGUGUGAGGCCUGAAGAGUCGGUGUGGGUUGGAGGUAGUGGAGGUGGGUGAGGGGUGGAGACGAAGGAGAGGAGAUGUUAGAGAACAGAUUGAUACGAAUGUAGGAGAAGAAAGAGGUUUAAAAUUUUUGGGGAUUUCAUUUCCCUCUAAGAAGAGAGAUGCGCGUUUCAUAACAAAAAUAUAAAACGACAUUCACAAAGAACGCACAUUUUAGAUAAAGUGCCCUCCGUGUUUUUAAUUUUUUUUACAUGAGACACUAAUUUAAGGGCACGCAAUAAUGCGUGUCCACUAUCCUUAAAUUUUUUGAAGAUAUGACACUUUUUUAAUGUCACUCUCUUUUACGUAACAUAAAUCAACGAGUGUCGUGGUUUGCGCAUCGUAAAAGGGUCUUUUUCUUGUAGUGAUGGCAAUAUAAUUUUAUUUUACAUCAAUACUUUGCUAUUAGCAGAUGAGAUUUAAGUUGCAUACUGUAAUCAAUAAUUUGCUAUUAUGUAGAGGCAUUUGUACAGGGUCCUAAAAUUAAAGAACAAGUGAAGAAAGCCAGUGAAAAAAACUUUCAUAACUAAUAACAUAAUUUAUUAUGGUGGUUCUAUCUAAACUUCCAGAAGGAUCUUCAUCUUCUUCAUCACUUCAUGGUUAUAGUUCAUCAGCUCGUGUUCAUACUCCAUCCACUCAUGGUCAUAAUUCAUCAACUCAUAAUCAUAGAUAUGAUGUAUUUUUAAGUUUUAGAGGUGUUGACACUCGUCAUAGUUUCACUGAUCACCUUCAUAAGGCCCUCAUUGAUGCCAAUAUCAAUACCUUCUUGGAUGAUGAAGAGAUUGAAACAGGGGAAGAUCUGAAACCGGAACUAGAGAGUGCGCUUAAGGCAUCUCAGGCUUCUAUUAUUGUGUUGUCUAAGAAUUAUGCUUCUUCAACAUGGUGCCUGGAUGAAUUGGUGCUGAUCCUUGAGCAACGGAUGACAUCCAACCAUAUCGUCAUCCCAAUCUUUUAUCAUGUGGAGCCCACACAUGUCAGGAAGCAACAAAGUAGCUUUGGAGAUGCAAUGGAUAAGUAUAAACAGACAAUGGAGGCAGAGACAAAUGCAAAUAAAAGAAGUCAAUGGGCUCAAAAGAUGGACCGAUGGAAUAAAGCGCUUACACAAGUUGCUGAUUUAAAAGGGAAUGACAUAAAUGGCAGGUCACCACUUUCUUACCCUUAUUCAUAUCCCUAUGCAUUUCAAUAAGUUUUUCUAAAUCAUUAAAUAUACAUAUAUCUGAUGUUUUAGGAUAUAUAGAAAAUGAACAUAAUUGAAAAUAAGUUCUCAAGUAUGUGUUCUCAUAAACCAGUUCGUAUAGAUGGAUUAGCCAUUCUGAUAAUUUUUACAUGUUUGUUAUGUAUUUUGUAUUUUAUCAUAAGUUAGUACAUUUAGAUAAACCUUCUCCACGAUUUUUACAUGCUUUUUAUUUAAAACCAAAGUUUGAUGGGUUUGCUAUGCUUUUACUAUUAUUUAUAUCAUACUGCCUUCAAAUCAUAGCGGUUUUAAUGAUAAAUAACUACUUUUAGUUGUAUUUAUUAAAAGAUAACCCAUAACUAUUUCAUGGCAUUUUGUUCAAAUCCAUGUAAAGCCACAUCGAUGGUUAAGUUUGAUGGUCUUGUAGAAACAUAGUGAAAUCUUGUAUUUCGUUGGUUGCUUUGGUCUUAUCAUAAACUAAUAUUUAUGACCUUCUCCAUUAGCAAAAUCUUGUAUUUCAUGGUAUUUUGUUCAAAUUGAUGUGAGAACUCAAUUAAUAAUAACAGAAGUGAUAUAAUCUUAGUUAGGAUCUUUGAAUAAAUUAAAUCUCCCAAUCUGGUUCAUUAGUUUUGUAGAUUUGUUCUGAAAUUCUUAUAUAAUCAAGUUUCAGGUUGGAGACAGUGUUUAUUGAAGAAAUUGUGAAGGACAUCCACCGUAGAUUACAUUUACACUUAAGGAGCAUUCGACCACAACUUAUUGGGAUGAAUUAUCAUAUUAACUUUGUAACUUCAUGGUUGAAAGAUGGAUCAUCGCAUACAGCAUACAUACUUACUAUUUAUGGUAUAGGUGGGAUCGGGAAGACAUCUUUAGCCAAACAUGUCUAUGGGCUAUAUUCUCAUGAAUUCCACACAAGCAGCUAUAUUGAAGAUAUCACUAGGAAAUGCGAUGGGAAGUUUAAUGGGUUGCUUGAUUUACAAGAACAACUCUGCUAUGACAUUUCAAAAACAAGUUCAAUUAAAGAUCAUGAUGUUUCAGUAUACACCACAAAGAUAGAGAAUGCACUAGCACGUAAAAGGGUGUUUCUAGUUCUUGAUGAUAUUAGUACUCAUGUUAUAAACAAUUAUUUAUGACCAUCCAUUAGCGAAAUCUUGUAUUUCAUAGCAUUUUGUUGAGAUUGAUGCAAACUACAAUAUGGUUUUGAUGUGAGAACUAAAUUAGUAAUUUAAAGCUAUGAUAUAAUCUUAGUUUGCAUCUUUAAAUAAAUUAAGUCUUCCAGUCUGGUUCAUUAGUUUUGUAGAUUGUGUUUUGAAGUUCUUAUAUAAUCAAGUUUUAGGUCCGAGACACAGUUUAUUGAAGAAAUUGUGAAGGAUAUCCACCGUAGAUUACAUCUACACUUAUGGAGCGUUCGGCCAUAACUUAUUGGGAUGGAAAAUCAUAUUAACUUUGUAACUUCAUGGUUGAAAGAUGGAUCCUCACAUACGGUAGACGUACUUACUAUUUAUGGUAUAGGUGGGAUCGGGAAGACAUCUUUAGCAAAAUAUGUCAAUGGGCUAUAUUCUCAUGAAUUCAACACAAGCAACUAUAUUGAAAAUAUCACUACGAAAUGUGAUGGAAAGUUUAAUGGGUUGCUUGUUUUACAAGAACAACUCUGUAAGGACAUUUCAAAAACAAGUUCAAUUAAAGUUCAUGAUGUUUUAGUAUACACCGCAAAGAUAGAUAAUGCAUUAGCACGUAAAAGGGUGUUUCUAGUUCUUGAUGAUAUCAGUACCCUUGUUCAGUUGGAUGCACUACUUGGAAGCAAAGGCUUUCAUCCUGGAAGCAAAGUUAUAAUUACAACAAAGGACAAUUGGUUGAGUGAGAGUUGUUCUUUAUUUAAAACAAACAUUAAACCCAAGCAUGAAAGGCAUUUGCUUCGAGGCUUAGAUUAUUUUCCAUCGCAACGACUUUUGUGCUCCCAUGUAUUCAUGUGCAACCAACCCAAGGCGGGAUAUGAAGAGAUGUUUGAUAAGCUUGUGUAGUAUUGUGAAGGACAUCCAUUGGCUCUUGAAAUUUUGGGAAAGUAUCUACAUAAUCGAGAUGUAGCUUAUUGGGAAGGGUGCAUCAAAGGGCUAAGGAAUGAAAUUAGUUCCCCUAUCAAUAAUGCCUUGAAAAUGAGCUUCGGUUCCUUGCCAUCAAAAAACGAUAAGGAGUUGUUUAAGCAUAUUGCUUGUUUUUUUUGUUGGACUAGACAAAGAUGUUACCGAAACAAUAUUAGAGGCAUGUGAUAUAAACACAAGAUCUGGGAUCACGAAUCUCAUUGACAGAUGCCUUCUUAGUAUAGGACGGAAUAAUGAAUUGAAGAUGCAUCAGUUGGUUCAAGAGAUGGGAAGAUUCGAAGUACGCCAAGAAUCACUUGACAAGCCAUAGAAGCGAAUUUGAUUAUGGUGUCAUAAGGAGUCAUUCAAAGUGUUGAAACAAAAGAAAGUAAGAGGUCAUGCAUGCUUUUAGUAGUGUGUGUGUGUGUGUAUGUCUGAUAUUUUGUAUUGCCUAAUUUAUUUAUUUGCAUUAUGCUUCUUAUUAGGGUAAGGGAAAUCUUCUAGGCCUCACCAUUGACAUGUGCAUGCUUGAGAAAGAGAAGUUAGGUGUAUCAUAUGAGCUGUAAACAGAUGCAUUAAGUAACAUGGAUAAUUUGAUGCUACUACAACUCAAUUAUGUGCGAAUGGAUGGGUCUUAAAAGAAUUUUCCAGAAGAAAUAAGAUGGUUGUGUAUGCAUGGGUUUCGUUUAAAGUCUAUACCUUUAGACUCACCAAUGAUGAAUUUGGUUGCUCUUGGCAUGUCAUAUAGCAAUAUUGAAUCAUUUGUCGGUUGUUAUAAUAAUCCACAACGGUUUGAGAAGAGGCAAAAUGUAAGCUAUCUUCAUUUAUUAUUCAUCCAUAUUGAGUUAAAGUAGUUCUCUACUGUUCUAACUUAUUUCCAUUUUUUUAGUUUGAUGGAUCGUUCUUAAAAGAGAAAAGGUUGCUUGGAUCAUUGAAGAUUCUUAAUUUAAGUUUUUGUAAACAACUCCAUAGUCUUGAUGAUUUUGACCAACUUCUUGCACUUGAGAGGUUAACAGUUAGAAAUUGCAUUGGUUUGCUCGAGAUAUGUGAAUCAAUCGAGCAAUGUGUUGAACUUGUCUUCAUCAAUUUGAGCUAUUGCAACAAGCUUGAAAAACUUCCAAGAAACAUAGGCAUGUUGAAGAAUGUUAAAACAAUGUUGCUAGAUCAUUGCAGUCCUAGUGGAUCUCCAAUCCAGAAUUGGGAUAUGGAAUUGCGCAAGGCUAACAAAAUUGACAUAAAUACAAAAACCUCUUCCCCUGCCUUUUUGGGUGUCAUACCAAGUGAUUUGAUGUUGUAUGCAAGUUCUUUACCGAGUUCUCUAGUAAGUUUGUCAAUUGCAAAUAGUAAUUUGUCCACUAAAUCCUUUCCCAUGGACUGGAUGUAACACCUAAAGUCAGGAAGGCCAAGAAAGGAAAGAAAACCCUAAUUUUAAAGGGCGACUCGACGCGUCCAAGGAUGAACUCGGCGAGUCCGAGCGGGAUCCGGGUCGAGGAGUAAGUGACCGACUCGGCGAGUCGGCCAAAGGGACUCGGCGAGUCUGGUCUGUGCGGAGAAAACCCUAAAAUCGGGACUUGGAGCCUAUUUAAGCGCCUCAUUCUCCUCCCUAGGGUUCCUUUACUGCCUCUUUUACCCAGAACAUCAAACCCUAGCCGCCAUAUCAAUUGAUUGAGCCAUUUGUUGCCUUGGAAGGUGCAUAAAAGUGUGGAGAAGGAAGAAGGAACUUGGAGGAGCAAGAAAGGACUAUAGAUCUGGGAUUGUGAGUUCAUUUCUGAGCAUUUGGAGGUAAUAAACUAGUUCUUGGACCCAUUUUGCACCUAUAUCUAUGUGUGGUUGUUGGGACUUUUUAGCUCAUUUGAGUUAGAAGCCAGAUCUGAAGUUGCUACUUCAGAUCUAAGCAUUUUAUGGUCUUGGGAAGCAUAAAGUAUCAGCCCUUGAGUUGUUUAUGGAGCCUCUUUGCCUUAAACCCUAGUUUAAGGUGUAUUUUGCCUAGAUCUCCUUCUCUACACUUAAAGUUUACAAAUUUACGUGAGGAAUAGGCUUGGGAAGGAUAGAUCUACAGUUUGGAGUCCAUGCAUGACUCAAAAGUUCUCUACAUGUAAGGAGAUCUGAAUGGACUCGGCGAGUCCUUUGAGUGGACUCGGUGAGUAGCAUGAAGAGGAGGAGCAACUCGACGAGUGGGAUGAACAGCUCGUCGAGUCAGAUGAAGAUUGCCUUGUACUCGGUGAGUCUGUUGUUGGACUCGGCGAGUCAGGUUGCGAUACCCCAAACCCUUCGAGUUGAGACUCGAAUUAGUGAGUCAGGUGGAGACUCGAUGAGUUGGACAGAUCAGGACUCAGAAAUCGGUAGACUCGGCGGGUCAUGGACUGACUCGGCGAGUCGAAAAGCAAAAGGAAGGAUUCUGAAUAUAUGAACUUGGCGAGUCAGUAGGGUGACUCGGCGAGUAGGGUUGACCUGGAAGGUUGACCUUGACCAAGACUUUGACUUGGACUAGGGUUGACUCGGUUGUCUUUCAGGGGUCAGUUAGACUCAGUGUUGCAUUGAUAUUGGGAGUUCGAGGAGCAAGGGAAGCAGGAGCUCGGUGAGUUGCCGGGUAGCAGCUAGUGAGUUCAUCAACAAGUUCAGCCAGUGCAGGUGAGUUUCCCUUUGUGUGAAUGGGUCUAAGGCCACAAUGUCAACCCAUGUAGUUAUGAGAAGAAAGCCUGGGGGUUAGCCCUAGGCACAGUAUGCUAGCAUGCUAUUCAGGACGAGGUCCAUUAUUAGCGGGCGGGUGCCCAAGGAUUUGUUUAUAUGAUAGUUUAUACUUUUUGUCUGUGUGAUACAUGAAUGUGCCUGGUAGGGAGGUGAGUGUGGGCGAGGUCUCGUAUCUCACCAAUAGCAGAGUGUGGAUGGGGUUCCAUGUCUCAUUAGUAGCAUAACAGGAGCGAGGCCCAAGUUAGGGAAGGAGUGAGGGUGGGCUGGGCCCGUAUCUCACUACCAGUAGGAGCGUGGACGGGGUUCCAUGACUCAUCAGUAGCAGGACCUGAGUGAGGCCCAGGACCGGUGAGGCCUUAGGACAGGAUCAGUCGUAUGAGUUUAGCUUAUGUGUUGUGAUAUGUUUAUGUCUUAUUAUUUGUUGGCGGGCGAGGCCUUGUGACAGGCGAGGCCUAAGUGAAACAUAUUUGUAACCGAGCGCGGCUCGAAGCCAGGCGGGGCCUGGAGCGGCGGAGCCAUUGUAGCGGGCGAGGCCCGAGGCAGGGGGUGAGGCCCAAGAUAGCGGGCGUGGCCCAGUAUGUAUAGUAUGUGAUUAUGCAUGGUAUGUGGUAGGGUGGGGAACUCACUAAGCUUCGUGCUUACGGUUUUCAGUUUUGGUUUCAGGUACUUCCGGUAGCGGAGGGACGAGCUCGGGGUGAUCGCAUGGCACACACCAUAGAAUAGACAGCCUGGGAAUGUUUACUCUGAUAAUGAACAUGUGUUUUGAAAAUUAAUUCUCUGAUUAUGUUUUGGAAUGAUGACUUUGCUUAAAGUAAUGUUUUAUUAAAAGAAAUUUUUGGUCUUUAAUUUUGGGUCGUUACAAGUUGGUAUCAGAGCCUUGGUUUGAGGGAUUCGGACAUGCUCACGGGUGUCUUUGAACUCAAACUGAGGAAUUGGUAUUGAAGUUUUCAAAAUGAAAAGACAGUUUUGUAAAAAGAGAGUUUUGAGAAAGAAAACAGUAAAGAAUUCAGAAAGAAAAGAACUUUGAAAAGAGAAAAGAGGUGUGGUGCAUGCAAUCAACUGAGCUCAAGUAAGUACCCCAAAAUACCCAUACAAGUCUAUGUUUUGAUUAUCAGUUAAUAGAACAGCAUGCUAGAUUAGGACUAAGGAUCUAGGGAUGAUGCCUUAUGUGCCUAUUAUAUGUGCUUUUGAUCUGCAUGAUAGUGCUGAAUAGAUAGUAGUAGGAUAGCUUGUUUAGGUUAUGCCUAAGUUUAUGAAUUUGUGUUGCAUGCUAGUUCAAAUUCUUGCUAUGUGGAUAUGAUUGCUUGAGUAUGUUAUGGUUAGAUUUUCCCUUUUGCAUGAAUGCUGCUUGCUUUGUGCAUUGUGGGAUUCUGAGUGAUGGGAGUUAGCCAUUAGGUGGAUACGCCACGUCACAUGUGAUCAGGGUUGAAUAAUCUCAGAGUGUUGGAUUUGGUCCUAUUGCGCAACUCUUGUUUGAGUCCAACCGUUGUAGGAACGAGUCUUUUACUUGAAGGAUUAUCUAAGACUCGUCACAUGUGAUGGUAUCCAGGUGAUGGCUAGUUGGCAUCACAAGGAAACCUUCAGUAACUGAGGGCUAGUUUGAGUUGAGUCAUAGGUUUCCCUAGUGUAAGCCUAGGAUGAGGAGUAGUAGUAGAAAAGGGACCUGGUGGAGUCGAAGCAGUUCUUGAGGAAAGUAAGGAUAGAUGUGGAAGGUAGUAUGGGCCCGUACUACUGAAAGCAAAGAAUCCGUACUCGAUUCGGGAAAGGUCGAGACAAGACCAGGAACCUGGUAGUGAGUAUGUUUGGUCUCGUAGUAGUGAGGAGUAUUCUGAUAGUGGUUAUGUUAUAUGUUUCAGUAUGGUGACGUUGCGAGAGAGACCAGCGGGCGAAUCAGGCGCCGGAGAGGAAUCAAGCUCGGGUUCAGGGGCCGAGCAGCUCGAGGAGCGGAUGAGAGAGUUGAUAUCAGCUGAGGUUACGCACAAUAUUCUAGCUCAGACUCCUGUGAUCUUUGGCACGGUCAAGGAGGGUAUAUUGGAGAUUUUGGAUGAGAGGCUGGGAGCCUUCCGUACUGAGAUGAUGGCUUUGAUGGGAGCGCGUACCUUGACAUUCGGGAGUUUAGGGCUUGCGGGGCACCAGAUUAUCAUGGGGCUAGGGACCCCAUCGCUAGCAGCAGAUAGUUGGCUGAUGUUGUCAACGCGUUCCGUACGAGCCGGUGUCCUGAGGAGGACAAGGUCAGACUCGCUUCCUGUCUUUUGAAGGACAGAGCGAGGGAUUGGUGGGAAGAGAUUGGUCAUGCUUUGGGUGAUGAUGUCGCGUUGAACGCGAUGACUUGGAGCGAUUUCUCAGCUAGGUUCAGGGUGGAGUUUUCGCCAAUUAUUGAGGUGUAGUAGUUGGCCCGGGAGUUUCAGGAUUUGACGCAGAACACUGAGACUGUGGCGGAGAUCACAACCAAGUUCAGGGAGAGGGCUCUUCUUGUUCCGCAGUAUGUCGCGGAUGAGGAGAUGAAGAAGGCCCGAUAUCACGAGAUGCUGAGGGCUGAUAUCAGGGAGUUCGUGAGCAGGUCUGGCUGUAAGACGCUGGAAGAUAUGAUUUCUCGGGCCAGGGAAAGGGAAAUUGAUUUGGAGCAGAUCCGGAAGAAGAAGUCGGAUGAGGUUCAGGUAGCCGCGAGUUCGGGCAAAAGGCUCAAGGGAUCGGAUUCGAGAUCGAGGGAUUAUCAGGACCGCAGUCGAUGCGGGAAGUGUGGCAGGGCGCACGGGGGCGCGUGCAGGAGUGGUAGUGGUGGUGAGUCUGGCUGCUUCAAGUGCGGUCGGACUGGUCAUUUUAGCGGGGACUGUACUGUUACCACCACUCAGGGAUCAUACUUGAUAUGUUUUCAUUGCAAUCAGUGGGGCCACAAGAAGGCCCAGUGCCCCAGUUUGUUUUCAGUAGGACGGGUGAUGGCACCUGCCCCUGCAACCUUGAGGAUCACAGACGGCCGUUAGGGCCGUGAAGAGGCGCCUGCGAUAGGAGGCAGGGCUUUUCAGAUGGCUACCUUGGAGACGCGAGCAGCACCGGACGUUGCAGGUAUGUGACUUUUGUUUUCAGUUCUUUUAUUUAUGGAUGAUUAUAUUGUUAUGGUUUUGCAUCAUUAUCAGUAGGAGUAUUUUAUUUUUGAGCGGUUUGAUUGUGAUCGAGUUAUAUGUCAUCUGCAUACCUUGGAUAUUUAGAUAGUAGUUAAGGAUUGGGUUCUGUUGGAAAAGAUUACUUAGGGUGCAGUAAUUGUAGUAUGCCUUGGAGGGACUUGGUAUGUCUCGCUAGUUCAGAGCAGUAUAAGUUUUAGAAUCGACAGGUUAGAUCCCUAGCUAUGGUAAGCUUGGGAUUCCUCAGCAGAUUGAUUAUGGAAUGGUAGCAAGGAUUGGGAUUUCUAAUCAUUGAGCUGUGAGGUGUAAGCAGGAUCGAAGUGGGGGAGAAUCCUCCGAGUGUACAAGGGUGAGAGCACACAAAUCCAGAACGAGUACGCGACUUCUGAGAAGGAAAAGAGGUAGUUCAGCGUCUGAUGAUUGAGGAGUUCAGGGAUAGGAGUUUGAGAAACUCCCCCUCAGCCAGUGCGUGUACUGGUGAUGGUUAGUAUGUGGUUGAGAAUUCAGGUUGAAGGAUCGUCUGUAGGACUCGUGUGAGUCGGAACGAAGAUCUUGAGGUCAGAUAGCAUGAGAUGCUUUCGUGCUAGUAGAUCGUGGCAGAGACGGCAGGUAGAGCAUGGAAGAGCGGCGGGAGAGCCUCAGCCUUCUUCAGCAGCAGUCAGUGGUGGAAAGUAUUGUAAGACUACGGGGCAGCAGUAGCAUUCACUAACCGUUAGUGGUGGAAAGUGUUGUAAGACUACGGGGCAGCAGUAGCAUUCACUAACAGUCAGUGGUGGAAAGUGUUGUCAGACUACGGGGCAGCCGUAGCAUUCACUAGUAGAUGGCGAUAGAAGGUGAUGGAAGACUGUGGGGCAGUCGUAGCAUUCCGUAGUAGUUUCGUUGGCGGAGUCCGGGCGAGGCCCUUAUCUCCUAGCAUUCAGAUAGGGGUCAGGAAUGGGUAAUGAAUGAGAAUGGUAAGGAGUUUGACUGUACAGCCCUGGACAGGUAAGGCCUUGGAAGAGGCCGUUCUAGGAUAUAAUUGGGUGAGACCCGUGGGCGAGGCCCAUAUGAGAAUAGCAGUGUAGGUGAGACUUGAGAGUAGGGUGCUUAGUAUUAUGGUUGGGUGAGACCCGUGGGCGAGGCCCGUGAGUUUUAGCAGCACAGGUGGGACCUGGUAGGGAUCUUUGUGUCUAGAUAGGGGAUCGGGGAUCCCAGGAAGUUGAAGUGCCAGCAUGGUGGAAUAGAUUGAGCAGUAUAGGUGGUUGAAGUUUCUUCGUAUGUCGCUGGGAGCGACUAGUGGUUGUGUUGGGUCAGCGAUCGGUGGGACCCGGUAAUCCAGAUAUUGAUAGGUUGGUAGGGACCAGGGUGGUCUCAGUUCAUUUGGAAGCCAGAUGAGGAAUAGCAAAAUUUCCAGUCAGUAACAGUGCGAGUAUGCAGCGUAUGGUAGAAUUCAGUUAGUUGAUCGUGGGGUGCUCGACACCAAAUGAUAGUAGAAAGAAUGCCAAGUGGAUACUGGCGAUGAGGACACGUACUGGGAGUAGCGGGAGUAAUAGAUUUGGUGAAGACAGGAUGUUCAUAGUGGCAGAGGAGAUAGAUGGUUAUAGAACAUUGCCUUAGGAGGUCAAGGAAAUCGUGCAAGGAAAGAAGGGGUGAACCCUAUGAGUUCAGUUGCAGUACUCGGAGAGUACCAGAAGGACUGUCGGGUGAGUAAGUUGUGUUUCCAGAAUGUUCAGGGUCAGGAUGGACCUGAGAUUAUUAUUCACAAGGAUUGGUGUCAGUCUGAAUGACUGAGCGGAAGGCCAGCGAAGUUAGGAAGCUGGUGUUAGACUAAUUCGUGGGGAUUUGGAGGCAGAUCGCAGGCGGUGUAUCAUAGCAAACUUCGAGGACGAAGUUUAGUUUAAGUGGGGGAGAGUUGUAACACCCAAAGUCUGGAAGGACAAGAAAGGAAAGAAAACCCUAAUUUUAAAGGGCGACUCGACGCGUCCAAGGAUGAACUCGGCGAGUCCGAGCGGGAUCCGGGUCGAGGAGUAAGUGACCGACUCGGCGAGUCGGCCAAAGGGACUCGGCGAGUCUGGUCUGUGCGGAGAAAACCCUAAAAUCGGGACUUGGAGCCUAUUUAAGUGCCUGAUUCUCCUCCCUAGGGUUCCUUUACUGCCCCUUUCACCCAGAACAUCAAACCCUAGCCGCCAUAUCAAUUGAUUGAGCCAUUUGUUGCCUUGGAAGGUGCAUAAAAGUUUGGAGAAGGAAGAAGGAACUUGGAGGAGCAAGAAAGGACUAUAGAUCUGGGAUUGUGAGUUCAUUUCUGAGCAUUUGGAGGUAAUAAACUAGUUCUUGGACCCUUUUUGCACCUAGAUCUAUGUGUGGUUGUUGGGACUUUUUAGCCAUAAUGUUAUUCAUUUGAGUUAGAAGCCAGAUCUGAAGUUGCUACUUCAGAUCUAAGCAUUUUAUGGUCUUGGGAAGCAUAAAGUAUCAGCCCUUGAGUUGUUUAUGGAGCCUCUUUUCCUUAAACCCUAGUUUAUGGUGUAUUUUGCCUAGAUCUCCUUCUCUACACUUAAAGUUUGCAAAUUUACGUGAGGAAUAGGCUUGGGAAGGGUAGAUCUACAGUUUGGAGUCCAUGCAUGACUCAAAAGUCCUCUGCAUGUAAGGAGAUCUAAAUGGACUCGGCGAGUCCUUUGAGUGGACUCGGCGAGUAGCAUGAAAAUGAGGAGCAACUCGACGAGUGGGAUGAACAGCUCGUUGAGUCAGAUGAAGAUUGCCUUGUACUCGGUGAGUCUGUUCUUGGACUCGGCGAGUCAGGUUGCGAAACCCCAAACCCUUCGAGUUGAGACUCGAAUCAGUGAGUCGGGUGGAGACUCGGUGUGUUGGACAGGUCAGGACUCAGAAAUCGGUACACUCGGCGAGUCAUGGACUGACUCGGCGAGUCGAAACGCGAAAGGAAGGAUUCUAAAUAUAUGAACUCGGCGAGUCAGUAGGGUAACUCGGCGAGUAGGGUUGACCUGGAAGGUUGACCUUGACUAGGACUUUGACUUAGACCAUGGUUGAGUUGGUUGUCUUUCGGGGGUCAGUUAGACUCAGUGUUGCAUUGAUAUUGGUAGUUCGAGGAGCAAGGGAAGCAGGAGUUCAGUGAGUUGCCGGGCAGCAGCUAGUGAGUUCAUCAACAAGUUCAGCCAGUGCAGGUGAGUUUCCCUUUGUGUGAAUGGGUCUAAGGCCACAAUGUCAACCCAUGUAGUUAUGAGAAGAAAGCCCGGGGGUUAGCCCUAGGCACAGUAUGCUAGCAUGCUAUUCAGGACGAGGUCCAUUAUUAGCGGGCGGGUGCCCAAGGAUUUGUUUAUAUGAUAGUUUAUACUUGUUGUCUGUGUGAUACAUGAAUGUGCCUGGUAGGGAGGUGAGUGUGGGCGAGGUCUCGUAUCUCACCAAUAGCAGAGUGUGGAUGGGGUUCCAUGUCUCAUUAGUAGCAAAACAGGGGCAAGGACCAAGUUAGGGAAGGAGUGAGGGUGGGUUGGGCCCAUAUCUCACUACCAGUAGGUGCGUGGACGGGGUUCCAUAACUCAUCAGUAGCAGGACAGGGGCGAGGCCCAGGACAGGCGAGGCCUUAAGACAGGAUCAGUCGUAUGAGUUUAGCUUAUGUGUUGUGAUAUGUUUAUGUGUUAUUAUUUGUUGGCGGGUGAGGCCCUAUGACAGGCGAGGCCCGAGGCAGGGGCAAGGCCCAAGAUAGCGGGCGUGGCCCAGUAUGUGUAGUAUGUGAUUAUGCAUGGUAUGUGGUAGGGUGGGGAACUCACUAAGCUUUGUGCUUAUGGUUUUUCAGUUUUCGUUUCAGGUACUUCCGGUAGCGGAAGGACGAGCUCGGGGUGAUCGCAUGGCACACACCAUAGAAUAGACAGCCUGGCAAUGUUUACUCUGAUAAUGAACAUGUGUUUUGAAAAUUAAUACUCUGAUUAUGUUUUGGAAUGAUGACUUUGCUUAAAGUAAUGUUUUAUUAAAAGAAAUUUUUGGUCUUGAAUUUUGGGUCGUUACACUAGAGUUGCCUAUCCAUGUUAAUGGAAUUAUAUUUAUAUGGCAAUCCUAUAAAUUCCAUGCCUAGUUGUGUGAGAACCCUUCCUAGGCUUGAGAUACUUGCUAUGAGGGACUGCAAUAAAUUGAAGUUAAUUGAGCAUCCUCCACGUACACUAAGCAGGUUACUCUUUCCUGUUAAUGGGCAUCUUCUAGGAAAAGUCGUAUUUGAUCCAGAGAUGUCCCCACUAGAGUUAUCAAUACCCCUGAUGCUUCCUACAUUUUUGUCAUGUGAAAUUGAAGGCAUUGUGAAAAUCCAACCAAUGGUAUGUGUUGAGGAAAAGGUAUUAUGUAGCUUGGGCUGGAGUUAUUUAGACUUCCUUAACCAAAGGCACUUGGGAACUAAUUAUCGGGAAUCUGAAACCCAGGUUUUUUUAGUUUAUUUUUUUGUCUGUAUGUGAAUAUGUAUAAUAUGCUUCUUAUGUUGAUUAAUUAAGGUGGUUGUAUUUGGCAGAUGACGAUUUAUGAAUUUGGAAUAUUCAGCACAAUGUAUGAGGCGGAGGAGAUGCCGAGUUGGUUUAGGGAUAGAAGCGUGGGGCCAUCAAUAUCAUUUACCAUUCCAUCAUCAUUGUCUCCAAACAAGCUCCUUACAGGACUCAACUUCUGCUUCUCUGCUGACACAUCAAUAUAUCCUGGUGAGCGUUUUCCAGUUUCAUUUGGUCAGUUUUCUUUGUCACCAAUGAUGACAAUUAUUAAUAUAACAAAGAACCGUACGUGGAUAUAUAAACGUUACUUCGACAGAUUUAAUGUAUGUGGAAAGUGUUGGGUGUUGUUAAGUCAUUGGAUGUUUGGGAUGAAUGAGAUGGAGGCUGGUGACCAUGUUACUGGUACUAUUACAUAGCCAGAUGAUGAACUUGUAAAGGAGUGUGGGGUGAUUCUUAUGUACGAUGAUGGAGAGAAGAAGGAUGAAGAAGAAGAUGUGUUGGGAUAUUACAAGUCAUGGAAUCACAUAAUUGGUGGAGACCUCUCUCCUUUUGAAACAACAACCACCGGAGAAUACAUCCUACACAACGAACAAUUUUUUUAUGUAUGGCAUUAGAUUGUUUCCCUAUCAUGGUAAAUUCGUUCCAGACAACCCCGACUUUCAUGGUAGAUGUCAUUUUUAUUAUUGUCAUGUAUAUAUUACAUGAACCAUCACCCAACUUCUUUAAAUAGAUGGAUAAUAACUCCAUUAAAUUUUAAUACAUGGAUCAUAACCUAAUUCUUUUAAACAAAUGGAUCAUAUGACCUAAAUCCACCCAUUUAUUAUUGAUUUUAUUAACCUCUAAAAUAAGAGUUUCUUUUUAUAAAAUAUAGAAAAUAAAACCACUACUUUUAUUUUUGAUGAAUUAACCCAAACAUUGGUCAAUCUAAAUGGAUCAAUGUGUUAUAUCAAUUGAUAAGUCUUUCGAGAUGUUGGAAUUUGGAUCACAUAAAUAUAUCGAGACCAAAUACAGCUACUAUUUUCAAGUGGAUGUGUGUUAAUAAUGAUUAACACGUUACUUUUUUUAUAUGUUUUCAGAAAAAAAGCAACCAUGGUUUAGAGCUUUAUCCCGAAGGAGACCUUAAAUUAUUGGUCACACACAUGAGGUAUACUUUUUGAAACCGAAACCUUACUCUAGUCACAUGUAUAAAAUGCAUAUACAACCAAACAUGUAAUCAUGAAAGUUCUUGAUUGGUCUAUGAUGUAAUAAAAUAAAGGGUGUUAUGACCUUGCAAUGGAUGCUUGAAAAUGGCAACAUCAGAAUGUAGUUGGAGCAUGAAAUUUGUCUAAUGUUCUUUUAAAUAUUUACAUGCACAACUCUAAUCUUUAAUCAUGUGGACCUAUGGAGCCCUAAUGUCUUCAUUUAGGGCUUCAAAUUCAGUGUUUUUUGGUUGUUAUUACUUUUGUUUAUUUUUAUGUCAAAUACAUGAUAUUUAUUAGGCAAUUAUUAUCAAUUAUUUUUAGUUGAUUUCAAAUUUCAAAUUAUUGGCCAUACCUGCGUUAAUAGAACCCUUCUUAUAAGACAUUAGGGUGCCUGUGUGUUUUGACUUAAUGCCCUUAAUAUGGACAACGUUUAACCCUUCCAGAUAUAUAGGUUUUUCUCUUUCUAACUUGAUGCAUAACGGAUAGCUUAAUGGGCAAAGUGUGGGAAGGGAUGAUUUAUGUAUUGAGAUUUGAGUUUUUAUCCCCAGUAUCCUUUACCCAAAAUUUUAACAUAAAAUAAAUAUACCAGCUGAAUUUCCCUCACCUUUUUGUUUUGUACAUUUCUAGAUAUUUUUUAUGGUAUCAAAAUCUAUAUAUUUUUUUAGAACUUUUUCAUAACAUUAAAAUCUAUUUUUUUUUCUUGUAUUAUACGAUAGUUAUAUUUGGUGUGUUAUUAAAUAUUAUGUUUACUUUAAGUUAUUAAUCAUGUUAGUAAUAUUUUUAUUUUAAUUCUUUUAAUAUGAUUAUUUGUGAUUUCUGUUUUAAAUGAAUACUUAUUUGUUAUUUGAGCUUAUUUAUAGGGUUUUAUGCAAAAAAAAGUCCCCAUUAUUUUGAAUUUUUUUUUGAUAAAGUCAUAAUUUUUUUUGAACAGACGAGUCCCGAUUAUUUAACAUUUUACCCAAAUUAACGAAAAAUUCCUUUUUUAUUUUAAAAGGAAAUGACAUAUUAUGUGAUUUCCCAAAAUCAUGAAACUUUUCUGUUAAAAAAAACAUUUAGGAAUUUAUUGAUAAAUUUUCUCAAAAUAAUGGGAUUUUUGUGCGUAAAACCCUUAUUUAUAUACAAAAGGGUAAAUAUAGUCAUUUAUUCAUAUUCAAGAUAGUUUAUUUAGUUCAAAAAAGGAACAGUCUUUAUGUGUAUACAAAUGCUUUAUUAUCCAGACAAACACUAAUACCUAUUCAUCCGCUUUAUCAAUAGAGGACUUGUUGAGGAAAAAAGAAAAUCUCUAAGCGUGUAGAUUCAAGAAAAUGUAUCCUAACAUGUAUAUACUUCCAAGUGAUUAUCUAUUUUCAUAGUAUUUUGUAUUUUGUCUCUGUAUAUUUAUGUUAUGUUUAAAAUGUUCUUACUUUUCUUUUAUUCGUUGGGCAAGGAGGAAUUUUCCAGAAGAAUUUAAUUAGAAGGUUUGGUCAUUGCCAUCUCUAGUAUUGAUUCAUCUUUUCAGUUUUUGUUUAAUAGUUGUAUCUUUAUUUUCAAAAACAGGGGGAAAUCCUUAUGAAUGGUUUUUGAGUUGGUUAAUAUAAGCAUGUAAGGAGUAUUAUAGAAAUGGUCAUGUUGUCUUGAUUACUUAAUAUAUUUGUUAUUUUGGUGAGUUUACAUGAAUUAAUCUCACAGUUGUUGCAAUAUCUCCAAGAAUCCCUAUCUUGAACAACCACCCAACCUCACUGUUUGUUGAGUUGCAUUGAAUUUAUGUUUGAGAGUAUAUAUUUGUGUUUAUGUUUUAUCAUUGGUUCAACUUCCAAGUGUAUAUUUCAUCUGGUAUAUGUUUGAUUGCACAUGAAGGUGCUAAUAUGUACUUGUGUUAAAUCGUGGUAUGGAUAUUAAAUGGUUUCUCAUAUUGAGGACUUUAAUUAGCUUGCUCUUCUGUAGCUAUAAAUUGCAAUGAUUUGACUAUACUCGUUAAACAUUUGAGAAGUUAUAUAUUCACUUGGUGACAUGUUUUGCUACGAUUAGAACUUGGUUAAAAAAGAUAACCGCAACUUGCAUGAAUUUUCUAGAUUAGCUACUAGCUUCCGUUGCAAAAUGAAACACUUCUUGAAUUAUAUGUUAUUUCCCCAAUGAUUCNNNNNNNNNNNNNNNNNNNNNNNNNNNNNUAUAUAUAUAUAUAUAUAUAUAACCCGCGUUAAACGCGGGGAACAUAUAAAAAACAUACAUAUAUCUACAGAUAUUGCAUAAUAAUUAUUAAAAAAAAAUUAUGGUUAUUGGUAUUAUUGAAAUAUGUAGAAGAUACAUUGAAAUCGAUAAAUAUUUAUAAUCGUUGAAAUACCUCUUUGUAUACAACAUUUUUUGUUUUAUUAGUUGAAUGACCUUCUUCAUCACAUAUGGUUAUAAUAUUGUUAUAUAAGCAUAAGUAUUCUAAUUAGACGUUCAUUCCAUAAUAAGAUUACUUAAUUUGAGCUUAUAUUGACAACCAAUAUACCCUUUUUUUCACUGCAUUAAAUAUUGACAACUAUUUCAUUUAUUCAAAUAAAGUCAUAAAGUAUAAUUUAUGGAAUGUUAAAUGUUAUAUGGAUUUAAUUUUAGUAUAUUAUCAAUGGAAAUUCUUUUCUAAAUCAUGAUUGGUUUAUUUUAUAUUGAUUAUGAAUAUAAGUGCUAGCUUUUAUAUUUGUUCUUAUUUAUUUGGUGUUCACAAGAACUAUGCAUUAGUCUUGGCGCAACUUUGAAUAAUUUUAGUAUAUCAUCAAUGUAAUUUAGUAUAUCUUUUAAUUAUAUGAAAUAUCAAAUAUUGACAUUUCAUUACUAUUGUGAUAAUUUAGUUUAUAUAUUGCAUUUUUACUAAUCUUAACGAUCUUAUUUUUUUUCUAAUAACCGUAGAGUUUUUACUAAUUGUACUUACAAAUCUCCUAAUAUAUUAUAAUUUUUAUCUUACUUUAUAAUUUUUCAUAUCUUUAUUAUUUUCAAGAUUUGUUGUCUUAAUAGUUUCUUUUUAGUCUAUUCAAUUUUAUAUUGCAUUGUACAACAUUAUCGUUUCUAUGUAUUCUGAAAUUUUAUUUUAAAAAUGUUUAAUGUAUACAUCUUGAUAUUUUUUAAUAAACUCGUGUAAUAAUUAUGGAAUAUAUAUCUAGUUUGAAUUAGCAUUUACUUCAUUCACUAAAUUAAAUUCCUCAUUAAUCGGAUAUAUUUUGAAAAAUAAUAAUUAUAAUGUGGCAACAUUAUCUAAGACAUAAAUGCUUGGUAUACUUUUAGAGGGAAAAAUCGGGAUCAUUAAAAAGAUUUAUAUAAAGAAAAAGACAAAUUUAAAUUGGAUGAAAUUACUGGCGAAAAUUAUUUUGGAGGGAAUUGUAUUUUGUAAAGUAUAAUACUAUGACAAAAUUCGAAAUAUGUGUAUUGUUCUGUAAUUUUAUAAAUUUUAUUGUUAUUAUAUAAAGAUAAAACAAAAUAGGUUGAUAUGUUAAACAAAAAAAUAAUAAUAAUUUCAAUGUAUGUAACUAAAAAAUAGAAUUUGAAGAUGAAAAUUUAAAAAUUAGAAGUAUGAAGACACGUGAUAAAAAAUAUAUUUGAAAGAGCUCUAACCACAUUUGACCAAUUUGUUAGUGAGAAGUGAUGGGUUUUGGUCAUAAGACAUCCUAUGUGCUCAUACAAACCCUAAUGCUUGGAUCUAGGUUUCUCUAUUGUACAUGCAAGUUAUCUAAGACUACAAACCCUAAUUCUAGUAUACAAGUAAUCAUAUUAACAUAAAAAUAGGUUUAUAAUGUUACCUUGAUUGUUAUGUAGCAAUAACAAUCCCAAAUCUCCUUGAAUUGACUUUGGAAGGCUUAGAGUCACAAGUGUCACUCCUCUAAUGGUUCACAAACACCAUAAGCAAGAGGAUGAAGUGGAGAGAGGUUGGAGGCUGCCCAAAAACGUGUGAAACCCUAGAAAGAUCAUUUGCCACGUUUUUUUAGCCUUAAGGGGUCUUUAUAUAGUUGGGCUAUUAGGGUUAUCUAACAAGGAAACCCUAAAUUGGAUGCUUAAGCCCUAAGCAACCCAUGGAGCCCUUUACUCAAGGCCUUGGACGAUUUCAUAUGGGCUUCACCCAUAGAAUUCGUCCACCUUAUAAUAUAAGGCAAUCCAUGGCCCAAAUUGCAAUUAUCUUAUAAUUACAAUUCCAGUCCCUUAAGUUUAAUUAAUCUCUUUUAGUCACAAAACUAAUUACCAAUUAAUUAUUGACUAAUAUUAAUUAAACAAUAUGAUUUCUCCUUUAAUAUAUUAUUCCCAUAAUAUAUUAAUAAAUCAUAUUUAAUCCUUUCUCUCCAUAAUUCAUCCUAUCAAGUUGCUUUGGUGAAGGCAACCCAAAAGGACCAUGCACCAUCGGGUCAAGUACAUACCAAAAUAGUUAUGGACUUAGACACUAAUCCAACAGUCUCCCACUUGGAUAAGUCUAAUAACUAUUCUGCGUAUGACUUCAGAUCCUGAUCUGCAAUCGUAGCUUUCCAAAGCCGCUGUCAACUCUGAUCCUAUCAGAUACGCGUGUCCUUNNNNNNNNNNNNNNNNNNNNNNNNNNNNNNNNNNNNNNNNNNNNNNNNNNNNNNNNNNNNNNNNNNNNNNNNNNNNNNNNNNNNNNNNNNNNNNNNNNNNNNNNNNNNNNNNNNNNNNNNNNNNNNNNNNNNNNNNNNNNNNNNNNNNNNNNNNNNNNNNNNNNNNNNNNNNNNNNNNNNNNNNNNNNNNNNNNNNNNNNNNNNNNNNNNNNNNNNNNNNNNNNNNNNNNNNNNNNNNNNNNNNNNNNNNNNNNNNNNNNNNNNNNNNNNNNNNNNNNNNNNNNNNNNNNNNNNNNNNNNNNNNNNNNNNNNNNNNNNNNNNNNNNNNNNNNNNNNNNNNNNNNNNNNNNNNNNNNNNNNNNNNNNNNNNNNNNNNNNNNNNNNNNNNNNNNNNNNNNNNNNNNNNNNNNNNNNNNNNNNNNNNNNNNNNNNNNNNNNNNNNNNNNNNNNNNNNNNNNNNNNNNNNNNNNNNNNNNNNNNNNNNNNNNNNNNNNNNNNNNNNNNNNNNNNNNNNNNNNNNNNNNNNNNNNNNNNNNNNNNNNNNNNNNNNNNNNNNNNNNNNNNNNNNNNNNNNNNNNNNNNNNNNNNNNNNNNNNNNNNNNNNNNNNNNNNNNNNNNNNNNNNNNNNNNNNNNNNNNNNNNNNNNNNNNNNNNNNNNNNNNNNNNNNNNNNNNNNNNNNNNNNNNNNNNNNNNNNNNNNNNNNNNNNNNNNNNNNNNNNNNNNNNNNNNNNNNNNNNNNNNNNNNNNNNNNNNNNNNNNNNNNNNNNNNNNNNNNNNNNNNNNNNNNNNNNNNNNNNNNNNNNNNNNNNNNNNNNNNNNNNNNNNNNNNNNNNNNNNNGCUAGAUUCUAACAUUCUAUGCAAUGAUUCUUUCGUAAUGUCACUCACCAAAAUCACAAAGACUAUUGCCAAUGAUAUUACAAAAUCUUCUAUCGGAGAUUGUUACAAGACAAUUCCAUAGACGUGAUGUCUCUCACUCAAAGUACAUUCUUUGAACAUCCUUUUGCAUAGAAGUUUCUAAUCUAGUCAUAGAUUUCUCAAUAUUCAAUUCCCAAUAUGGACACACUUCCAUAUGUUCCAUAUGACAACUCAUUCUUAAUAGAAUCUUAUCUAUUCGUAAUGAUGUCGAUAUGGUCCAUCCAAUAUGGAAACAUUUCCAUAUUUUCCAAUACUAUACUUCCAACUACUCACAAGCGACCAAUCCUCGUCGAACUUUGGAUUGUCCUUUGAUAGUUGUUUAAUUAUUUUAGUCAAAACCAAUUCUAGUCCCUUUUCCCUCUAAAUGCGCUCGACAUUUGGAAAAUUUUAGAAUGGUCAAACAUUAAAGCAUUUGCAAUCGAUCCUAUACCCGAAGCGUAUGGGACACGACGCAUAAUGUUUUAUUUGCUAUGUUCUCAAAAUUCGAAUUGUGAAGAGGGAUGCCGUAAUCAUAAUCGAAAUUUUAAGAACACACUAUGUACCUUUGACUAAAUUUAUUAACAUUUCUCAACCUAAUCCUUUAGAUUUGAAAUGAAGCAUAAUAUUCUCUCCCUUAAUUAUAGCAAAACAACUUUACAACCCUUACGACUUUGCAAGGUAUAACUCUUGUUUUCUAUAAUUAAUAUUGCCAACUUGCAAUACGUGCCUUAAUAAUCAUACAAUCAUAACAUUUAUGCUCCCACUAUCAUGAUGAUUAUUAUAAAACAUAACACUUAUGCUCCCACUAGCUUCGACAUGUAUUCAUAAACAUCUUAACUUUCAGAAAAACAAUACUUAUUGAAUUUCUUAAGUUCAUGUUUCUAAUACUUAGUGCUUUGAUAAUCUUUUAUCAAGGCUUCUUGAACUUAUACACCUUUGCCUUCGAUAGUUCAUAUGUGUGUCUAAACAAUUAAGACUAAUUGCCAAACCUCACAAUUCAAAUUAUGGAAAGGGAUACCGUAACCAUAAUCGAAUUCGAGAAUGCAAUUUUACAAUCACUAUCUUCUUAAAAUCUUUCUUAGUGAAAGCAUUUCCUCACAAUCAUUUUCAUGAAGGAGGAAAUCUUAUGACACUUAGAUUUAAACGGUGUAUGUGUUCCUAUCCAUGUGAAUUUGUUAAAACCAAAGUUUACGACAAAUUCAAACUCAUAUGGACCGAACUUUCUUAAUCUUGAUUUCUUGCCUUAUGGUAGCACAGCUGCCCACCAUGUCUUCCAAGUAGUUAAGCAGCUCACCCUUUCCUAUCAAUGUACCUUUCAUUGAUUAAGGUGCUUUGCCUUUUAUGCGUUCAAAAUGAGAACUCAUAGAACUCACAUGCAUAAUUAACUCGAUUGGAUUGGCACAGAAACAAAAUAAUGUCAACACGAUAGGUUGUAAACCUCAACUCGUGUGCUAGUGAUGAUCGAUAAGGUUUAUUUGAUUUGUUCUUGAAACCUUUCAAGACCAUUAAGACUCCCACUGACUCCUUGACAUAUAAGAUUCUCUUGUCAAUAAACAUUUCUUGACAAACAAAUAUUCAAGAGUUAGUGUAGCUUUUAUCAAAACACUUCAUAAAUUGGUCCUAGUUGGUCUUUGUCUUAUCCAAGACAUCACAACUUUCCACAUUUGAUGAAUGUUAUAAACCUUCUUAAUACUUAUCACUCAAUGUCACAAUCUUAACUCUAAGACUUGUUUUGGAACGAAGUAUGAUUGACUUCUUGAUUUAACCAUUUCUUCAAUUCUUGAUUCCUCUUCUUAGACAUACAAUUGUACUAAGACUCACUUAGAGGAUCAAUUGAGAUAUGGUUCUUAAUCAUUAAGACCUAUCAUAAAGCAUAAAAGGUACUCUCCCUUCUUCUUAGAAUGGAGAAACUUUUAUCUUUCUGCCUACUUGAUUCUUCUUAUUCGUUCUGCUAUUGAUUUAAACUUUUUCAAUCAAUUCAGAAUUACACUUAAUCUUGUAAGUAUAAUCAUAUUUACUAAACCUUUAGUAAAUCAUGACGAAUAUCUUUGUUACUCUUAUGGUGGACUUGAUCAACACGCAACUUUGUGUACUCGAUCUCCUAGUCCUUCACUUGACACUUUGUCAAUGAAUUAGUCUAAUUUCCAAAUAUGAAAUUUCUCAUUCAUCGUGCAACCAAGUUGCAUGAUUCCAAGUUUCUGUCCAAUUGAAACUUGGGCGAUGAGAAACUCUCCCUAUUUGGUAAAUUCUCGACUUUCCAUAAAUAACAUAAUAAGAACCAAAUCCAUUAUUGCUAAUAAUAGAAACAUUCAAACAUCAAUUUUUCAUAUACGCCAUUGCAAGGAUAAAUAAAUAAUAUAAAAUCAAAAUUUAUUUUAUUGCGGAAAAAAUUUGUCCUUACAAUGCAAUUCAUUGAAAAACUAUGCUAAUACAUCUUUCUUAGCAAUCUAAUUCUAACUCUAAGUAGUAGCUCAAGAAUCUAAUCUUCGAGAAAUGCGAUCGAAAUCCAUUCCUUCACGGUUAGAUUCUGCUCACUUCUUCCCUUAAGCUUCCUUUCUUUUCUUCGAUCCUACAAAACAUCAAUUGUAAUCUUAUCACAUUAUGUAUUAAGAAUCUAGAAUAGAAGCUUAAAAGAGUUAGUUAAUGGAUUUUACCUAUAUUAGAGCCAUACGUUUCGACUCUCCCAUCUCUUAGAUCUCUUAGGUAAAUGGGGCAGCUUCGUCUCCAAUGCCCUUUCUCUUGGCAAUAAAAGCAAAUUGACUCUUUUGGAACAUGACAUGGAACUACUUCAGACAUUGCCUUUCUCUUAUGAUCAAACUUUUCGAUCAUAGCAUGUCUUUCGUUGCCAUUGUCUAUAUCCAUAGAGGUCUUGAAGGCAGAUUCACCAAUCAACUUUGCUUUUCUAUUGCGCCAAACCAUUGCUGAUUCAGCAGCAAUAAGCAUAUAGGUGAGAUCUAUAAGGGUCACGUCGCGGUUCAUCAUAUAGUACUCUCUUACGAACUCACUAUAUGAGUUAGGAAGUGACUGAAGAACCCAAUCAACAGCCAUUUCCUCACAGACAACGGAUCCCAACAUUCUUAACCUAUCAAUGUGUGACUUCAUCCCUAGGACGUGUGCACACACCGACUUUCCUUCUUUAUGUUUACUUGCCAAAAGGGCUUGAGUGAUCUUGAACUUUUCAAGCCUUUGAACUUGUGGGUUAGGGAGAAUAAUUGGAGGAGGAGGAGGAAGUGAAGCAUGAUUUCUUGUUCCUCGAUCGAAUCGUGGAAUAUCAUCUUCAUGUGGAAUGCUUGUUCCACGGGAUUUGGGAAGACCAUAGUUGUCGAACUUUGACAUCUACAAAACGGGAGAAAACGAAUUCAAGUUAGUUGAUUGAUUGAGUCCUUAGUAAAUCACCCAAAUGAGAUACUAAGGCUAGGACCCAACACAAUAUUCUACAACUCGGGAGAGGGAUGCCGUAACCCUAAUUGCAGAAUAUUUGAAGGUAAGUGAAUGACGAUUCACUAAUUUCCACCAUGAAAAACGAAAAAGAAAUUUAAGUUUUAAAUCUAUGAAAACUCCUAGAUCCUUUGAGAUUCAUUGAACUUUCAAUGGCAUGUUUAAAUCUCGAUAUGCCCCUCUUGUUUGUGACUGGGAUGCCGAGGAUCACAAAGCGGGUGUGAAUAACCAUGCAAACUUACAUGGUGCCCUCACAUGUUACAGUCACCUAUUCGAUGUGCCGGUAAACCACACACGCUCCACCGAACUAUGACAAACAUUGAGUCACCCUUUGCUACCUUUGCUUAGAACCAUUUAGUGUGCCGGUAAACCACACACGCUCCACUAACGUCUUCGCAAGGGCACAAAGUGUAAUUUCAUGGAAUUGCAUCAAUUCACUUUUGCCUAAGUAACUAAGAUUGGGAAUUUUAUGAAAACAUUUAGUUACUUUAAUAAUUCAUUAUACUUAUAAUGGAAGGUUUCGUCCUAUCCUACCCGUUCGGCUAACGACCCUCCACUAGUCAAGAGUGCGGUGGGUAAGAGUGGAUACCCAUUCAAUCGCCAUUUUAUAGGCAAUUUCCUUAAACACCCCUUAUAGACCAGCUUCGUGAAUGAGGCCUACUAACGGUAAGACUGACUUUUACUCAUACAUAUAUAUAAUGUUAGACUUUUAAUGUUAUAUAUAGUAUAGGGUGUAUUUUACACUUUUAAAAUACUAGGUGGUCAAAUUUAACAAUUAUACUUUUAAUUCAAUUAAAUUGUAAACCAAAACUUUUAUGGAUUUAUUAAACCUCUUUUAAUUAUACACCUUAAUUAAUUAAUAAAACCAUAAGGGUGUGAUUUGAACUUUUUCAAAACUAUACUAGAGUUUUAGAAUUUAACAUUCCUAAUUAAACUUUUAAUCAACUUUUAAAUUCCAAAACUUGAGGGCAAGUUUUGAAACAUUUCAACACAUUAGGGUUUAGAAUUUAAAUAUACAUCAAAAUUAAACCAUUUAAUCAAAAUUUAAAUUCCAAAACUUGAGGGCAAGUUUUGAAACCUUUUUCAAAACAUUAGGGUUUCAACUAUUUAAAUUUCAAAACAACAAAACUUUUGGGUUCAAAUUUAAACUAUAAAACCUAAAGGGCAAAACAUGAAACUUUUCAUAACAACAAGGAUCAAAUAACAAAUAAUCUAAAUUAACAUUUAAUCACAUAAUUAUCCAUAUUUGAUUUAUUUAAUGAUUUCUUGCAAAACAAUUUAUCAAUUUACUCAAAAUAAUUAAUCAAUUAUCACAUAAGGAAACAAUUAUCUUUUUAAUUGAUAAAUAUCUUCAAUUAGAUCAAAAUUAUAGUCAAAUAUAUCAUAUAAUCGGAUUAAUAUUGAUCUAACAUGAUAAGGUAACUAUCUAUAAGCAAAAACAGCAAGAAAACCCGAGAUACCCUCCAUCUGACGAGUUGACUCGUCGAGUCAGCAUGGACUCAGCGAGUUUAGCUAUGGACUCGGCGAGUCCAGCCACCAAAAACCCAAAAAACAAUUUUUUCUAGUUAUACAAUGCAUCAUUACAAUUGAAACCAAGCUAGUCUUAUACCACUGAUGGGUUUUGGUCAUAAGACAUCCUAUGUGCUCAUACAAACCCUAAUGCUUGGAUCUAGGUUUCUCUAUUGUACAUGCUUUGAAUCCAAGACUAUAAACCCUAAUUCUAGCAUAUAAAAAUCAAUAUUAACAUAUNAGAAUAGGUUUAUAAUGUUACCUUGAUUGUUAUGUAGCAAUAACAAUCCCAAAUCUCCUUGAAUUGACUUUGGAAGGCUUAGAGUCACAAGUGUCACUCCUCUAAUGGUUCACAAACACCAUAAGCAAGAGGAUGAAGAGGAGAGAGGUUGGAGGCUGCCCAAAAACGUGUGAAACCCUAGAAAGAUCAUUAGCCACGUUUUUUAGCCUUAAGGGGUCNCCUUAUAAUAUAAGGCAAUCCAUGGCCCAAAUUGCAAUUAUCUUAUAAUUACAAUUCCAGUCCCUUAAGUUUAAUUAAUCUCUUUUAGUCACAAAACUAAUUACCAAUUAAUUAUUGACUAAUAUUAAUUAAACAAUAUGAUUUCUCCUUUAAUAUAUUAUUCCCAUAAUAUAUUAAUAAAUCAUAUUUAAUCCUUUCUCUCCAUAAUUCAUCCUAUCAAGUUGCUUUGGUGAAGGAAACCCAAAAGGACCAUGCACCAUCGGGUCAAGUACAUACCAAAAUAGUUAUGGACUUAGACACUAAUCCAACAAGAAGAUCAUAAAUGGAUCCUUUGAUAAUGAUCAACGAAUUAUUUCUUGUAUGAAUAAAAGUGGAUUCUAUAAUUAGUGGAUUCAUAAUGUUUUAAGUAAUGCUAAAAUAAACAUGUAUAUUGAAGUGUAGAUGAACAUGUCAUUUUCAUGCAAACGACAUGUUUUAUGGUAUCAUGUAGAAAAAUACUUUAGAAAAUAUUUUUUUUUAAACACAUAUACUUAACUUAUAUCCUGAUCAACCAGGUUCAUCAAUCGUUUCUCCCUUGAACUUUCAAUAAUCACUUUCAUGAGAUUAGUCGACACAACUCGACUAAGAAAAUUUGGAACAAAAAAAUAAAUAGUUGUUGUAUUAUAAAUGUGUAAUACAAUAAAUAUUUACGUAUAGAUAAGGUAGAAUGUUAAAAUAAAAUCUUACCAAAUGCAACACAAGUGUCGAUUCCUAGCUGUCAAAUCCUGGAAAGUCAAAAAAUUACAAGGAUCAACCAUAGUUGUCAACAAAAUUAUUUCCAUACUUAAUUUCAAAUGAUGCAUAAAUAGAUUAUAUAUUAUUUCCUAUUAAAUCAACUUAAAAGUGUAAUAUGAUCAUACUAAAAUAUUUUAAAAUCAUACCAAAGUUAACCGGAUUCUUAUUAUAUAAUAAUAAUAAAAAUCAUUAUCACCUCUAAUAUAUAAAAAUAACAUUUUCCUAAUUAGUGUCAAUUUCAAAGAUAGUGAAUUUCUAUUUUGUUAAAGGUGUGUAAUAUCUUUUCCUGUUUAUAUGAAAAGUUUCAGAAAAGUAGUUAACCGAUUUCAUGUAAUUUGUGAUAAAGAAAAUCGAAAUAUAUGAAUACAUAUAUAUAUUUGAUAUAGGAACAAAAAAAUAAUCGAAAAAAAUAUAGAAAGCAAAAGAAGGUACUAACCUUCUACUGCACAACAACGAAACUUUGAAGCAAAAAAUGAUGACGGAAGUUAUAAACAAUAAGAAUGAUGUUGUAGGAGAAGGUUUGAAGAAAAGAAACGAUUGAAAAUAAGUGUGAGUCGCGGAUUCAAUGAUGAAUCGUAUAUGUAUGUGCUAAUUUGAAUCUGAUUUUUUGGUAAUAAUGGUUUCCUAAUAAAAAUGGAUUUUUUAUAUUAAUGGGUUACUAAUAUAAACAUAUUUAUAUUAAUGGUUGAUAUUAAUGUCUUAAUUGAAAUGGUUUGUUACUAAUAUGUUUUUAAAGCUGUCCAUAUUAAAACCUUUAUAAUCAGAAAUUCAGGAUUUAAAAUAUGGAAAGAUUUUAUUGGAAUUAUAUACAUUCCAUUUCAACGGAUGUAAAUUAAUUUUGUUUGACAAUUGAAAAGUUUUAAUUGGAAUUAAAUACAUUCCAUUUGGGAAGAUGAUGUCAGCAAUUUGAUCUAAUGGUAGAAAACAUAGAAUUAAAAUACAAUCAAUGGCCCAGAUUGUUUAAGAUGAUGUCAUAAGGUUUCUCUUUUAAUAAUAUUUAGAGAUUAAAGUUACGAAGAAAAUGAAUAGUAAACUUGCAAUUUUUUUGGCAGAAUUGGUCCUUGUACUAUUUUACUUAUUUUGACACUUUUGGUCCUUGCAAUCAAUAUUUUUACACUUUUUAGGAACCUUUUAAUAUUUAAAGUUUGGCCACAAAACUUUAACGGUUUGACAACUUUGAUCCUUUUUCUAAAAAGUUGCUAAUUCCUACCUCUUUAAUUCUUUAGCCAUUUUGACACUUCUGGUUCUUGCAAUCCAAACUUUUACAUUUUUCACUUUUGUUCCUUGUAAUCAAUAUUUUUACACUUUUUAGGAAUCUUUUAAUAUUUAAAGUUUGGCCACAAAACUUUUACGGUUUGACAACUUUGAUCCUUUUUCUAAAAAGUUGCUAUUUCCUACCCCUUUAAUUCUUUAGCCAUUUUGACACUUCUGGUCCUUACAGUCAAAACUUUUACAUUUUUUCAUGAAAAUGAAAAAAAAAACGGUCUGGAGCAAAGCCCAGGCUUUUCAUUCUUGCACUUUCUACGUUUGUCAUUUUAUCGAUUUGGAAACAAUAUUGAAAUCUUCUGGCCCCCGCGUAGCGGGGGUAACCUUUCUAGUUGUCAUAAAGACCCAAAAAGGUUUUGUGAUUGGUUUUAAAUGGUCCUCAAACUAAUUUUUGUUCCUUCUAUAGGUAUAAACUCAAAAAUGACAUGUUAAUAAACGGAAGGUAACCUCUUGUUCCCUGUUAACAUAUAAAUUCAACCAAACCUUAAAUGACAUGGCAUAUUUUAUGCCACAUCGAUCCCACGUGUGAUGUGUACACCCAUCCUCCAAAACCUCACCUGAAACUAAUAAAACUCUCUUUAGAUUAGCACAACCUUUUUUCAUCUUCUUUAUAGGUGAUUCGGUUCUAACAUAGAUAAUAUAUAUUUUUCUCUCUCACAAAAUCAAAACAAAACUAAUAAAACUCUCUUUAGAUUAGCACAACCUUUUUUCAUCUUCUUUAUAGGUGAUUUGGUUCUAACAUAGAUAAUAUAUAUUUUUCUCUCUCACAAAAUCAAAACAAAAUCCUCCUAAAGAAAUCCAGUUACCGCCAUUUAUGUCUCUGUCCUAGAAACUACAGUGCACCAUCAACCUUUUUGGCGACCAUCUACGGGAAAAGGAAUCGAAGCUUCAUCUUGUUCAUUCACCUUUAAACAUAUCAAUGUUUGUGUGUUUGUUUUAGUUGCAGGUAAGUGUGUGUGUGUGUGUGUGUGUGUUUGUUUUAGUUGUAAAUAUGUGUGUAUUUUAGUUGCAAGUAGAUGAAUAGAUCUUAUUCUAGUGAUCAAUCAGGGAUUAUAAUGGUAAACUUAUUCUGGAAGUUUGAUACAGAAGAGUUCUUUUUUCCACCGUUAUUUCAUAUACAGAGAGGGGGGGUAAAGAGGUGUGUAGUUUGCCAACACCGACCGAUGAUGGGAAAAAGAUUACAGAUGAGUCGUUCUACAAGUGCGUUUCGUUUCAUUUUGGCUAAAUCAUUGUUUUCCAUCUUCAUUCCAGGUUUGAUUUAUAUCAAAAUCUGUUCUCCAGGUUUAAGUUUGUUGAAUCACCAUCGGUCAGUGCCGAUUUCUGCAGCUGCCAAUCCGUAGGUUACGAGCUUCAGCCUCCAAUUUUUUUUGCAACUAACGAUAUACGCCGAUUAGAAUUGUGAGGUGGUUAAGAAAAGUGAGGUUGAAGUCGUCGGGAAUAGAGAAGACAUCAUAGACACGAAUCUAAACUAGUCGACGAGUUGGGUGUCGGCCGAGAGUGGCCUCGGAGAAGCUGAUUGGAACGGUGGAUGUCUGGAUGGAAGAAACGCCACCGCCUGUCCGCUACUAGUGUUAUCGAUCUUCGGUUUGAAGAUGGAGAUGUGUUUUUAGUCGGCGGGGAUGAUGAAAUUUGCAGACCUAAAUGCCAACAUGGAUUAUCUUUUAAUUUUUUAUUUUUAUAAAAUAAAAAUAAAUCCACAUGGACUGUAGGUAACCUGUGAAACCGGAACUAAAUGAAAUAAGUAUAGUUUCUUAUCCAUAUUUAUUUUAAUGGCAUAAAAGACAUAAAAAAGUUUAAUGAUUUUUUAAAACUAAACGAAAACUUCAUUAGUUUUUAUGUCAAUAAUCCUUCUUUUGAACACAAUUAUCAAUGUUGAACACUUUUAGAAAUGUGUGCUAUAUAAUUUCUACCUAUUUCCCCAUGAUUAAAUUGGAAUCUUGGUCUCUACCAUUACGCAUCAUUCAUCAACAAUCUCCAUCUUAUAUGAUUGGGCUCAAAAUCUCAAAACUUUUAUAGGAUAUUUAACUAAGUAAAAUUCGCAUACUUCACCUUAGUAUUGAAGGCUCUGAUUCCAAAUAUGAGAAUUCUCUAACAAUUGUUUUUUGAAUUUUAAACGCACCAUGUUUAGGCCUUCCUUUUUUUCUUCACAUCACGAGACAAAAUAACAGGACAUUAAUCGAUAUUUUUUCUAUCCACCACCUCUAUAUCUAUAUUUUAUUAUUGUUGUUAACAAAAGGAUACCAUUUUCAUUUUCCCAUGCUAUUUUUGCACCAAUAAUAGACUCCCAAAAUUGGUCCAUUUAGGCUGAAAAUAAAUUAGGUACAUCAGGACCUUGAUGAGACCCACACAAUUCUUCACAACUUACCAUGCAUUAGGCAUAAGCUCAUGCACAAGCCCAUCUUGACUUACUCCUCCAAAGGCCCAUAUCUUGAUUACCUUUAAGGCUAUAACCUAUAGCCUUUUUCCAUGUAUUUCCAACACUUAAACAACCUUUUUAGUCAAAUAAUUAUGUAAAUCAUAUAUAGUAUACCCAUAUGAUGGGUUUUGGUCAUAAGACAUCCUAUGUGCUCAUACAAACCCUAAAGCUCGGAUCUAGGUUUCUCUAUUGUACAUACUUUGAAUCCAACACUAUAAACCCUAAUUCUAGCAUAUGGAAAUCAGAAUUCACAUGUAAAUAGGUUUAAGAACAUACCUUGAUUGUUAUGUAGCAAUAACAAUCCAAUUCCUCCUUGAAUUGACCUUGGAAAGCAGAGAGUCACAAGUUUCACUCCUCUAAUGGCUUAUAAACACCAUAAGCAAGUGGAGAAGGUAUAAAGAGAGAGGAGGGAGGUUAGAAUUCGUCUCUAAGACUUCUUGGGAAGGGAUACACGAAUUCAUGACCUUGGGGUUGUUUAUAUAGGUGUAGAGAUAGGGUUUCAGUCAUUAUCCUUAUCUAGUUGAUUAUCCAUUAAGCAACCAAUAAGAUAAUCCUUGAAUCCUUAUCAUACUCGAAUUCUAAGACUUUCCAACCUUAAAUUCGUCCACCAUAUUUAUAAGAUAAUCCUUACCUUAUUUUGUAACUAUCACAUAAUCACAAAUCAGCCCCUCUAGUUUAAUUAAUUACACUUGAUCACAAAAUUAAUUAUUAAUUAAUUAUUGACCAAUAUUAAUUAAACAAAUAUGAUUUCUCCUUUAAUAUAUUAUUCUUAUAACAUAUUAAUAAAUCAUAAUAACCUCUCUCUCUAUUUAUUUCUCCAAUCAAGUUGCUUUGGUGAAGGCAACCCAAAAGGACCAUGCACCAUCGGGUCAAGUACAUACCAAAAUAGUUAUGGACUUAGACACUAAUCCAACAGUCUCCCACUUGGAUAAGUCUAACAACUAUUCUGCGUAUGACUUCGGAUCCCGAUCUGCAAUCGUAGCUUUCCAAAGCCGCUGUCAACUCUGAUCAUAUCAGAUACGCGUGUCCUUAGAUAAGGGAUCAUAUAUUCCUCCAUUCUAGAUAUCAUAUGAGAUAUGAUUUCAAAUCAUUCUCUUUGUACUAUAUCUCGAUUUCCGAUUUAUGACGACUGACUAAUUGAACAAAUCAAAUUAGCCCUAGCCCGGCCGAGCAUUUACGUUUGUCAUCACUAAACCAUCGAGGGGCCCAAAGAUAUCGCUUUUAUCCUACUUUGGAUAAAAGGAACGGAUAAACUUUGAUACAAUGCUUGCUUGCACUCACUCACCGAAUCACACACAACAAUAUGUUUUAUAACACCAAGUUACUAGUGCGUUUACAUAUUAUCAAUGUGCAACCGAUUUGCAAGAUACAACUCACACAUCUCGGUUUCAAGAAUAUAAGAUGUUAUCGUCUCACCAAUCACUCGUGAUACAAUUCAUGGAGUGAUCCAAGUGAGCGUGGGUUUAAUCCAAUGCUCAAAUCACAUUCAUAAGCACUCAUGAACGUUGCAGCAAACAUUUGCUUAUGUCUAAUACUCUUUUAGACAAUCCACACACCAAUUCACGACAGUCUUCAUUCAUAUCUACUUCCAACAUAUGAACGACUGUGGCCCGUUUGAAUAAUUCGAUUAUUCUUAAUAAACUCAAUUAUUCUGGAAGUCAAAACAUGCAAAUGUGAAACACAAGAAUAAUACUAAUCCCAUAUGGCCUCAAACCUUUGAGUAUAAAUAAAACACCUUUUAUUUAUCACCAUAUUGAUUACUCAUUAUUUGUCGUUUCGGGUAAUCAACUUCUUACUUGAAUUCCAACACUUGUCCCAUGCUCCUAGCAUGCACACAAUGUUUACCUAUGGUUCUUACUUUGUGAAAUAGAUCACAUUGAACACAUUUCCAAUCCUUCUCAUUUCACAACUCCAAAUCCGUUUUUCAUAAGUCAAAGAAUAUCAAAUUCUUGCUACUUAUAGAAUAUGCUAGAUUCUAACAUUCUAUGCAACUAUCCUUUCGUAAUGUCACUGCACCAAAGUCACAAAGACUAUUGCCAAUGAUAUUACAAAGUCCUCUAUCGGAGAUUGUUACAAGACAAUUCCAUAGACGUGAUGUCUCUCACUCAAAGUACAUUCUUUGAACAUCCUUUUGCAUAGAAGUUUCUAAUCUAGUCAUAGAUUUCUCAAUAUUCAAUUCCCAAUAUGGACACACUUCCAUAUGUUCCAUAUGACAACUCAUUCUUAAUAGAAUCUUAUCUAUUCGUAAUGAUGUCGAUAUGGUCCAUCCAAUAUGGAAACAUUUCCAUAUUUUCCAAUACUAUACUUCCAACUACUCACAAGCGACCAAUCCUCGUCGAACUUUGGAUUGUCCUUUGAUAGUUGUUUAAUUAUUUUAGUCAAAACCAAUUCUAGUCCCUUUUCCCUCUAAAUGCGCUCGACAUUUGGAAAAUUUUAGAAUGGUCAAACAUUAAAGCAUUUGCAAUCGAUCCUAUACCCGAAGCGUAUGGGACACGACGCAUAAUGUUUUAUUUGCUAUGUUCUCAAAAUUCGAAUUGUGAAGAGGGAUGCCGUAAUCAUAAUCGAAAUUUUAAGAACACACUAUGUACCUUUGACUAAAUUUAUUAACAUUUCUCAACCUAAUCCUUUAGAUUUGAAAUGAAGCAUAAUAUUCUCUCCCUUAAUUAUAGCAAAACAACCUUUCAACUCUUACAACUUUGCAAAGUAUGACUCUUGUUUUCUAUAAUUAAUAUUGCUAACCUUGCAAUACUUUCCUUAAUAAUCAUACAAUCAUAACAUUUAUGCUCCCACUAUCAUGAUGAUUAUUAUAAAACAUAACACUUAUGCUCCCACUAGCUUCGACAUGUAUUCAUAAACAUCUUAACUUUCAGAAAACAAUACUUAUUGAAUUUCUUAAGUUCAUGUUUCUAAUACUUAGUGCUUUGAUAAUCCUUUAUCAAUGCUUCUUGAACUUAUACACCUUUGCCUUCGAUAGUUCAUAUGUGUGUCUAAACAAUUAAGACUAAUUGCCAAACCUCACAAUUCAAAUUAUGGAAAGGGAUGCCGUAACCAUAAUUGAAUUCGAGAAUGCAAUUUUACAAUCACUAUCUUCUUAAAAUCUUUCUUAGUGAAAGCAUUUCCUCACAAUCAUUUUCAUGAAGGAGGAAAUCUUAUGACACUUAGAUUUAAACGGUGUAUUUGUUCCUAUCCAUGUGAAUUUGUCAAAACCAAAGUUUACGACAAAUUCAAACUCAUAUGGACCGAACUUUCUUAAUCUUGAUUUCUUGCCUUAUGGUAGCACAGCUGCCCACCAUGUCUUCCAAGUAGUUAAGCAGCUCACCCUUUCCUAUCAAUGUACCUUUCAUUGAUUAAGGUGCUUUGCCUUUUAUGCGUUCAAAAUGAGAACUCAUAGAACUCACAUGCAUAAUUAACUCGAUUGGAUUGGCACAGAAACAAAAUAAUGUCAACACGAUAGGUUGUAAACCUCAACUCGUGUGCUAGUGAUGAUCGAUAAGGUUUAUUUGAUUUGUUCUUGAAACCUUUCAAGACCAUUAAGACUCCCACUGACUCCUUGACAUAUAAGAUUCUCUUGUCAAAAACCAUUUCUUGACAAACAAAUAUUCAAGAGUUAGUGUAGCUUUUAUCAAAACACUUCAUAAAUUGGUCCUAGUUGGUCUUUGUCUUAUCCAAGACAUCACAACUUUCCACAUUUAAUGAAAGUUACAAACCUUCUUAAUACUUUUCACUCAAUGUCACAAUCUUAACUUUAAGACUUGUUAUUGGAACGAAGUAUGAUUGACUUCUUGAUUUAACCAUUUCUUCAAUUCUUGAUUCCUCUUCUUAGACAUACAAUUGUACUAAGACUCACUUAGAGGAUCAAUUGAGAUAUGGUUCUUAAUCACUAAGACAUAUCAUAAAGCAUAAAAGCUACUCUCCCUUCUUCUUAGAAUGGAGAAACUUUUAUCUUUCUGCCUACUUGAUUCUUCUUAUUCGUUCUGCUAUUGAUCUAAACCCUUUAAUCAAUUCAGAAUUACACUUAAUCUUGUAAGUAUAAUCAUAUUUACUAAACCUUUAGUAAAUCAUGACGAAUAUCUUUGUUACUCUUAUGGUGGACUUGAUCAACACGCAACUUUGUGUAUUCGAUCUCCAAGUCCUUCACUUGACACUUUGUCAAUGAAUUAGUCUAAUUUCCAAAUAUGAAAUUUCUCAUUCAUCAUGCAACCAAGUUGCAUGAUUCCAAAUUUCUGUCCAAUUGAAACUUGGGCGAUGAGAAACUCUCCCUAUUUGGUAAAUUCUCGACUUUUCCAUAAACACCAUAAAUAAGAAUCAUAUCCAUUUGUUGUAGAAAUAUGCAAACACCAAUUUUCAUAACGAUUUCAUUGCAAGGAAAUAAAUAAAUAAAUAAGUCAAAUGAAAAUUUAUUUUAUUUAUAAAAGCAGCGGAAAAAUUUGUCCUUACAAUGCAAAAUCCAUUGAAAACUAUGUACAAAAGAAAAUUUCUAACAACUCUAUCAUAACUUUUUAAGUUCAAAAUCUAAUCUUCAAGUCCAUGCGACCGAGAUCCAUCUCUUGUGAUUAGAUUCAUCAUGCUCUCCUAUCAAGCUUCCUUUCUUUUCACCGACUCUACAAAACACUCAAAUGUAAUCUUAUUACAUCAUGUAUUAAGAAUCAAUGAAUAGGAACUUAAUGGAGUUAGAUAGUGGAUUUUUACCUAAAGCGCAGUCAUACCUUUGACUCUCCCAUCUCUUAGAUCUCUUAGGUAAUUAGGGCAACUUCGUCUCCAAUGCCCCUUCUCUUGGCAAUAAAAGCAAAUUGACUCUUUUGGAACAACACAUGGAACUACUUCAGACAUCGCCUUUCUCUUAUGAUCAAACUUUUCGAUCAUUGCAUGUCUUUCAUUGCCAUUGUCUAUAUCCAUAGAGGUCUUGAAGGCAGAUUCACCAAUCAACUUUGCUUUUCUAUUGCGCCAAACCAUUGCUGAUUCGGCAGCAAUAAGCAUAUAGGUGAGAUCUAUAAGGGUCACGUUGUGGUUCGUCAUAUAGUACUCUCUUACGAACUCACUAUAUGAGUUGGGAAGUGACUGAAGAACCCAAUCAACAGCCAUCUCUUCACUAACAACGGAUCCCAUCAUUCUUAGUCUAUCAAUGCGCGACUUCAUCCCUAGGACGUGUGCACACACCGACUUUCCUUCUUUAUGUUUACUUGCCAAAAGGGCUUGAGUGAUAUUGAACCUUUCAAUUUUACAAUCUUGUGGGUUAGGGAGAAUAAUUGGAGGAGGAGGAGGAAGUGAAGCAUGAUUUCUUGAUCCUCGAUCGAAUCGUGGAAUAUCAUCUUCAUGUGGAAUGCUUGUUCCACGGGAUUUGGGAAGACCAUAGUUGUCGAACUUUGACAUCUACAAAACGGGAGAAAACGAAUUCAAGUUAGUUGAUUGAUUGAGUCCUUAGUAAAUCACCCAAAUGAAAUACUAAGGCUAGGACCCAACACAAUAUUCUACAACUCGGGAGAGGGAUGCCGUAACCCUAAUUGCAGAAUAUUUGAAGGUAAGUGAAUGACGAUUCACUAAUUUCCACCAUGAAAAACGAAAAAGAAAUUUAAGUUUUAAAUCUAUGAAAACUCCUAGAUCCUUUGAGAUUCAUUGAACUUUCAAUGGCAUGUUUAAAUCUCGAUAUGCCCCUCUUGUUUGUGACUGGGAUGCCGAGGAUCACAAAGCGGGUGUGAAUAACCAUGCAAACUUACAUGGUGCCCUCACAUGUUACAGUCACCUAUUCGAUGUGCCGGUAAACCACACACGCUCCACCGAACUAUGACAAACAUUGAGUCACCCUUUGCUACCUUUGCUUAGAACCAUUUAGUGUGCCGGUUAACCACACACGCUCCACUAACGUCUUCGCAAGGGCACAAAGUGUAAUUUCAUGGAAUUGCAUCAAUUCACUUUUGCCUAAGUAACUAAGAUUGGGAAUUUUAUGAAAACAUUUAGUUACUUUUAUACUUCAUUAUACUUAUAAUGGAAGGUUUCGUCCUAUCCUACCCGUUCGGCUAACGACCCUCCACUAGUCAAGAGUGCGGUGGGUAAGAGUGGAUACCCAUUCAAUCGCCAUUUUAUAGGCAAUUUCCUUAAACACCCCUUAUAGACCAGCUUCGUGAAUGAGGCCUACUAACGGUAAGACUGACUUUUACUCAUACAUAUAUAUAAUGUUAGACUUUUAAUGUUAUAUAUAGUAUAGGGUGUAUUUUACACUUUUAAAAUACUAGGUGGUCAAAUUUAACAAUUAUACUUUUAAUUCAAUUAAAUUGUAAACCUAAACUUUUAUGGAUUUAUUAAACCUCUUUUAAUUAUACACCUUAAUUAAUUAAUAAAACCAUAAGGGUGUGAUUUGAACUUUUUCAAAACUAUACUAGAGUUUUAGAAUUUAACAUUCCUAAUUAAACUUUUAAUCAACUUUUAAAUUCCAAAACUUGAGGGCAAGUUUUGAAACAUUUCAACACAUUAGGGUUUAGAAUUUAAAUAUACAUCAAAAUUAAACCAUUUAAUCAAAAUUUAAAUUCCAAAACUUGAGGGCAAGUUUUGAAACCUUUUUCAAAACAUUAGGGUUUCAACUAUUUAAAUUUCAAAACAACAAAACUUUUGGGUUCAAAUUUAAACUAUAAAACCUAAAGGGGAAAAUAUGAAACUUUUCAUAACAACAAGGAUCAAAUAACAAAUAAUCUAAAUUAACAUUUAAUCACAUAAUUAUCCAUAUUUGAUUUAUUUAAUGAUUUCUUGCAAAACAAUUUAUCAAUUUAGUCAAAAUAAUUAAUCAAUUAUCACAUAAGGAAACAAUUAUCUUAUUAAUUGAUAAAUAUCUUCAAUUAGAUCAAAAAUAUAGUCAAAUAUAUCAUAAAAUCGGAUUUAUAUUGAUCUAAUAUGAUAAGGUAACUAUCCCAAAGCAAAAACAGCAAGAAAUCCCGAGAUAUACUCCAUCUGACGAGUUGACUCGUCGAGUCAAGCUUGGACUCGUCGAGUCUGCAUGGACUCGGCGAGUUCAGCUAUGGACUCGGCGAGUCCAGCCUCCAGAAACCAAAAAAUCGAAUUUUUCAAACAUAUCAAGCAUCAAUACAAUAGAAACCAGUCUAGGCUCUGAUACCACUGAUGGGUUUUGGUCAUAAGACAUCCUAUGUGCUCAUACAAACCCUAAAGCUCGGAUCUAGGUUUCUCUAUUGUACAUACUUUGAAUCCAAGACUUUGAACCCUAAUUCUAGCAUAUGGAAAUCAGAAUUCACAUGUAAAUAGGUUUAAGAACAUACCUUGAUUGUUAUGUAGCAAUAACAAUCCAAUUCCUCCUUGAAUUGACCUUGGAAAGCAGAGAGUCACAAGUGUCACUCCUCUAAUGGCUUACAAACACCAUAAGCAAGUGGAGAAGGUAUAAAGAGAGAGGAGGGAGGUUAGAAUUCGUCUCUAAGACUUCUUGGGAAGGGAUACACGAAUUCAUGACCUUGGGGUUGUUUAUAUAGGUGUAGAGAUAGGGUUUCAGUCAUUAUCCUUAUCUAGUUGAUUAUCCAUUAAGCAACCAAUAAGAUAAUCCUUGAAUCCUUAUCAUACUCGAAUUCUAAGGCUUUCCAACCUUAAAUUCGUCCACCAUAUUUAUAAGAUAAUCCUUACCUUAUUUUGUAACUAUCACAUAAUUACAAAUCAGCCUCUCUAGUUUAAUUAAUUACACUUGAUCACAAAAUUAAUUAUUAAUUAAUUAUUUACCAAUAUUUAUUAAGCAAAUAUGAUUUCUCCUUUAAUAUAUUAUUCUUAUAACAUAUUAAUAAAUCAUAUUAUCCUCUCUCUCUUUAUUUAUUUCUCCAAUCAAGUUGCUUUGGUGAAGGCAACCCAAAAGGACCAUGCACCAUCGGGUCAAGUACAUACCAAAAUAGUUAUGGACUUAGACACUAAUCCAACACCAUACGCACACACUCUUUCUUCCAUCAGGUCCAUCUCAUUACCAACAUCUUGGUCACCACCAAAAUUAUCCGAUUGGCUCUAACUAUCGUUGGCAGUAGUAAUCUUGUUUCCAAUAAUUCCAUUGCGAGAUAGAAUGAGCAGAGACUUUAAUUUCCUAUCAUUUGAUACAUGCCACUUUAUAUAAUAGGAGAAAAAACAACAUUCCUUUACCUAAAUUUUCAAAACAAUCUCAUUCACUUCUAUCUCUUUAUGUUACUGAUUAUUUUUCCAUGAAACGUAACUUGCAUNAUAUAUAUAUAAAAUAUAAAGGUAAAAAGGGUAUACAUAAGUGGGCUAGGAUACAAAAAACAAAGGUAAAAGGGCUAUACAUGUGUGGGCUAGGAUACAAUAGGCCACACAUAUUAAAAUGAAACUAAACUAAAUAUAAUAUAUAAUACAACAUAAAUAUACAUCUAACAUCCUCCCGCAGUCGGAAUAGGAGAUCUGGAACAGAUGCUCAGUCUAGAUUUGAAAUCAAGAAAUAAAGAAUAUGGAAGCCGUUUAGUGAAGAUAUCAACAUACUGGGACGAAGGUGGAAUGUGAAGAACACGAAUCUUACCCAUGGCCACCUUGUCACGCACAAAACGAAUAUCAAUCUCUAUAUGUUUGGUGCGUUGAUGCUGAACAGGAUUGGUGGACAUAUAGAUUGCACUUACGUUAAUACAAUAUACAAGAGUAGCGGAACGUGGUGGGUAAAGCAGUUCACGAAGUAUGUUGCAAAGCCAACAUGUCUCAAUAACAACAUUGGCAACUCCCAUGUACUAAAGCUUUAGAACUGGAUCGUGAUAUUGUACCUUGUCUUUUGGAAGACUAAGAGAGAAGGUUGUUGCCAAGGAAGACACAAUAACCAGAAGUGGAUCGUCACAAAAAGGGGGCAGUCUACCCAAUCGGUGUCAAAGUAAGCUAUGGUCAACAGUAAGAUAGCAGUCCCUAUGAGGGGGAGACAUAACGGUAAACAAGAAUAGAUUGAGGGUGAAAAUACUUUGUUGAUUGUCUACUUUACGAGGAAGCGGUACAAGACUAUAAAUAGAGGUAGGAUCCCUAGACAAAGGAAAACCUACGGCCCAUAGGCUAACUAGGCCAAAACCAAUAUAUGUAAUAUUUACAUUCUAAAAUUUACAUUCUAAUAAUAACAAUGUAAGCAAUGAUCAAGAGUGUCAUAAAUGUAUCUGAGAAUGUGCUUGAGAGCUAUAAAGUGGGGCUCUGGUGGAUCGUUCAUGUAUAGGCAAACCUGUUAGACGUUGUAAGUAAUGUCACGUCUAGUAAUGUUGGACGUCGUAAGUAAUGUCAUGUCUAGUAAAAUCAGAUACUAUAAUGAUCCAGUAAGACUCCUAUAGAGAGUAGGAUCAGUAACGGGUGGACCGGAACCAUCAAACUUAGCAGACGUGUCUGCUAGUGUGUGAGCUAGUUUGCAACUAAGCAUAUGUGAUCUCUCAAGUAUCUCACAACAUACUUUGGUUGUGAAAGGAACAUGGCAUGUCUAUCUCUAGUAACAGAGAUGCCAAGGAAAUAUUGAAAGGGCCUAGAUCGAUCAUAGCAAAUUCUGAACAUAACAAGUUAAUAACAUGCUAAAGAAGAAUUGUAUAUGAGGCAGUCAAUACAAUGUCAUCAACACAAAUCAUCGACUCGCACCCGAGUCAAAUAACACUAAGGCAGGUAUAGAAUUCACAAGAAAAGUACCUACGCAUAUCAUCAUAUAAGCACAAUAUCUCAACUCAGCAUGACAUAAAUAUGAAUACAUACCAGCCACUACAUCAGGCGCUGCGCGGACCUCCUCCGAUGUCAAUUGGAAAUCUCUCUCGCGAGCCUUAGUGCCUCGUCCUUCACUGGCCGAACCUCAGUAACCUUAGCAGCAGGUGCAAACCCCUGUGUUGAUCCCUGAUGUAACUGCGGGCACUCGACCUUCCGAUGGCCAGUCUGGUUGCAAUGAAAGCAAACCAUAAAUCCCUGGGGGCAAUCCUUGACGAUAUGCCCCUCCUUGACACAUUUGUAGCAAGCACUUGAUCGACAGACCCCAUCAUGUCCCUUGCCACACUUUCUGCGAGUGCGGCCCUUCUGGCCUCCAGAUCUCGUAUCAGCGGACUUAGCCCGCUUGGCUGUCGGCUGAUACUAUGCCGGCCGCCGAUCCAUCCUCUGAGACUCGGCCUCCUCCCUGGCCUAAGUCUCCAACUCAAUCUCCCUCUUCUAGUCAUUUGACUGGAGCUCAGCAAAUUUCCGGUAAGUCAAGUUCGACACGAACUCCCGAAUGUUUCUCCUCAAAACGCCCAAAUACCGGCUCAUCCAUGCCUUUUCAGAAGACACCUGCUCAGGGCAGAACAUCGCCCUCUCAUGGAACUUCCUGGUAACCACAGUAACAGAAUCAGUACCCUUCUUAAGGGUCAAAAACUCCUAAACCAACCAUUCCCUCUCCACCGGUUGAACAUACUCAUCUCUGAACAUCAUGGUGAACCUCUCCCAUGUCACCUCUGAAAUCUCUACAACAGUGAAGCUCGCCGUCACGAACUUCCACCAGUCCUUCGCUCCCAAGCGAAGCUGGUUCAGCACGAACCGAACCCUCAGAUGCUCCAGACAUGAACACGUGUAGAAGCAUCCCUCAAUAUUAGCAAUGCAUCUCAUCACAGCGAUCGGGUCCUGCGUCCCAUCAAACUCGGGUGGCUUCGUGUUGCUGAACUCCCGAAACAACAACGAGUCACCUCCCUGNNNNNNNNNNNNNNNNNNNNNNNNNNNNNNNNNCAGCGACAGCUGCGGUGGUUAUAGCAGCAGCAGCUUCAGUCACCGCGGUGUACCGCUCAUCGAAAGUCUCAAUCAGUGUGGUCUUGAUAGACCCAAACAUCUCCGAAAUCUCAACUCGGAUCGCUGCUGCCACCACAUCGUGGAUCAGCUGAUGAAGCUCCUCGUCACUCACACCGUUCGCCCCAGGUCUGUGGUGUGUUCCAACCAUGAUGUCUCUAAAAUACAACAUAAUAAUAUCAGAGACUCGCUCGAGCAUACUUGCACUCGAUAACUCGACCCUACGUGUUCCUUAGUACCCAAAGGAUUCUUACUUAGAGUGCGCACUGCUCCGAUGUCUUCAGUAGUAUGGGCCCUUAUACUACCAUCUACACCGCAUCAUUAUUCACCCUAAGUCCUCCUCCUUGGAUCCCAGAUCACAAGUACUCUAUAUCUCACUGGCAUAGGCUACCCUUCGGUAAACCUCUUAUCAACUCCUCACUAUUACCUACUCGCUCUCAAGCAUCACACAGCAGCAAAAUCCUUCCUAGGCUAAGGCAUCACAAAAUCAGGGCACUCUAGUCCUAAUAUAAAUACCUAGCCAAUUCUAGCAUGCAUAUCAUAUCAUAACAUUUCUCAUAACACAUAAUGUAAGGGUAUUUUGGGAAAUCACCGUUCAGGCGCUGGCUGAUCGUACACACUGCUUCCUUCUGCUUUUCUCAAAAUCUUUUACUCCCUUAGAAAAAUUGUUUAUUUUGUGAAAAACUUUCUCAAUUCCUCAUUUUGAGUUCAUAUUCAUCCGAAGAUGCACCCGAAUCCCUCAAACCAAGGCUCUGAUACCAACUUGUAACGUCGUAAAUUCUCAAAACAAUUUUUUCAUUAUUAAAACAUACUUUCAAUCAUCAAAAACAAUAUCAAAACAUAAUGUAUCCAAUGUUAUCAUAACAAAACAAUUCCCAGAAUCUCAAAAAUAAUCUCUAUGAGUGUGUACGGAUCAUGCCGACGCCUUCCCGCAUUCCUCGCUAGUACCUGAAACACAUACCAUAACAACUGUAAGCAUAAAUACCUAGUGAGUUCCCCAAAAUACCACAUACCAUACAUACGCCUGUCCAGGCCAUAACUCUAUAGGAUCUUCUGAUCCAUGUGUCUUAGGGGACUUCCAUCCCAAAUCCCGGUAGACCUUCCAGUCCGUACACUCUUGACCUUCCGGUCCGUAUCAUCUUGACCUUCCGUUCCUUACCAUAUGUAACAUACAUAGCACAUACAUAAAUAUCAUCUUGACCUUCCGGUCCUUAUCAUACAUAACAUAUAUAGCACAUACAUAUCACAUAACCGCAUAUAUCACAUACAUCAUAGCAUUCAAGACCUUCCGGUCACACAUAGGUACCCUUCUAGGUACAGUAUAGUGAGAAGACUCACCUCAAUGAAGUCGGAUAAACUCUCGUGCUCAACGUCCCGACUUAGCCUCCUCCUAUUUUUCAAAUAACAUUCCCGAUCAAUACACUCUCAUGAUCUCUUCUCUACAGACUGGGUAGAAGGCCAUUCUACCCUUCCUUGAACUCUCCUGAAUUAGUCUUGACCAGAAUCCUAAAGUCAACGAAAUUCGACGGUCAACUUUGACCUGACUCGUCGAGUGCACAUGGGCGACUCGGCGAGUCCAUGCGGGUCCUCUGAAUCCUUUCAGCCUCGCAUGGCUCGNCGAGUCAUCCUUCCACUCGACGAGUUACACCUGUCACGAAUCACGGGUCAACCCCGACUCGACUCGUCGAGUCCACUUAUGGAUUCGGCGAGUUGCUCCCAUAACAACUCUCAAAUUACCUUCUGAGGUCAGAUCUGCUUUACCAAACUAUAGAUCUGGCCUUCCAGUGCUUAAAGGUCACGUAAAGGUGCAACCUUUACGUGCUCGCAACCCAUAACAAGCCAUAAAUGGAGAAAUAACUCUAAAAAUGGCAACCUAGUCUCUAAUCCUCUAAGAACAAGCAUAAAGCAUAAUGGGAAAGGUUCUCUGGACCUCUAUGGGUCCAGAUCUGAGGUCUAACCCAGCAAAGGACCAUAUACUGAACCUUUCAAGCCUUAAAAGGUUUGUAGAAAACCCUAGAUCAUAGAUUUUAACCCAAAACAAAAGGGAAGUUCGAUUUGAUACCUCAAUAGUGUAGAUCUAAACUAGACAACCUUAGAUCUGCAGCCCCCUUGACCUCCUCUUGAUGGAACCACCUUUCUUUUGCUAAAACACUCAAGAAAUGGUGAGUUAGCCUCCCUCAAGCACCACAAACACACACACUCUCUCUCUCUAGGGUUCUCAAGGGUGAAAUGGACGCAAGCCCGCUAUGGAGGCUAUAAAGGCCUUUAAAUAAGCCGCAAGCCCUGAGAAUUAGGGUUUUCUCUUAAUAGCGCGUACUCGCCGAGUCCAUCCAUCGAAUCGCCGAGUCCUUCAUUAAAUCAGACCAGAAAUGUGUGAUCCCACUCGGCGAGUCUAAGCGCCUACUCACCGAGUUCCUCUCUAAAUUUCAAUAUGAAUACUCAAAAUACGAUACCUGGAAAUCCGGAUGUUACAAGCGUGGUCAAACAUUACUCGAAAUGGGAAGAUUUCACGAGAAACAACAAAGUGGACCGAAACCACCUUCGGUCCGGAUUCACUUUCGGCCUAAGACCCCUUUCGGCCCAGGCUACUACGUUUUGAGCCUACUUUCGGUUGUGAACCUAAUUUCAGUCCAAGGCCAUGUUUGGUUUAUUCCCCUAUGGCACAAACUGCUCUCGGUUAUGACUACCUUCGGGUCCUUACUACUCAUAGUUCAAUCCAGUUUCAGUCAAAGUCUCAUGAACUAAGACCCCACACCACAUUUCCCCUCCACCUCACAAUUCAAAAACCAAGGUAGAAAACCCAAAAAGUGACCCUCUUGGUCCGGAGCCCUCUGAGUCCGGAACGUGACCCUCAAAAUGAACCGGACAAUUCCGUAUACACCCUCCUUCUUUUGGAACCUCCUCAUCCGGAACCAACUCGCCUCGAAAGGAUCCGUACCAGAUGAGCUUCACGGUCUUGGAAGACCAAGGCCACUACGGAAGUUUAUAAUCCCGCACCUCCACUCCGGAACCAUGGAUGAACUCCGGACGGACGUUCCUGACUCCGGAAGGACGUUCCUAACUCCGUACACUCUAUCUCAUUUACCAACUUUGUAGAGAAGAACCCGUUCUUAUAAUAUCUAGGACUCAUUAUUAAAUCAUGGUCUGGGGAAAUCCUUAUUAUAAGAAAUAUCUAUUAUACAAGAUACUCUCUAAGAAUUGGUUGACUUUUUCCAAAAAGUUAUGACACCAACCCACUCCCCAUACACACUUUAUGACAACUUUAUGGCACUAUUCUCAUAGUACCUACUCAAAUCGAUAUCUUUUCUCCAACACUCCACCAGAUUUUCCUAUUCUAAAUCCACUAAUUGGAUUCUCAACCUCCAUCUAUAAAACCUCAAUUCCAUCUUUCAAAGACAAGCUUUACUUCCUCUUUCACUAUUCUUCAAUCUGGAACACGAGAAUUCCCUAGGAAGCAUCUGCCCUCAUUUCACCCUUGGUAAGCUCUUUACCUUCACUCUUUAAUAUUGCACAAUCCCUCACACAUAUUAUGGUUUUCUUAUGCAAUAUCGUCAUAAUUACUCUUAGGAUCUCCAAAUCCUUAAGCUUUCUCCAAGUGUUCUCGACUUGGAAACCUUUUUCCUUCGACAUCCAUUUCUAGGAAUCACUCAAGGUGAAUUCAUACCCCUGCAUUUUCAUUUUUUCUUCAAGUGUUAGGGGGGGGAUACAAGUUAUAACAUCAAAAACUUAACUAAACUCAAACAUUAGCUUUCCAUAGGAAAGUUGUAACAUCCCGAAAUAUCAAGAGUAGAGUUGAAGGGCUAAAAGAGUAAGUUGUGGAAGAGUGACUCGGCGAGUCCAUGGAUGGACUCGGCGAGUAGAGUCGCGACUGGGUCGCGUGUUAAGUAGCCGACUCGGCAAGUCAGUAAGGAGGACUCGGCGAGUAGGCGUUGGCUAGAGAAAACCCUAAUUCUCGGGGUUGAGCCCUAUAUAAAGAACAUAACAGCCCACUCUCAGCCUCUUUGUUCAUCUCCAAGUCCUAAAACCCUUAGCCUUCGUGUGUGAGUGAUCCUAUCUCAAUCGGGAGCUUGAAGGAGAUGAUUAUUGAAGGAAUUUUGGGAGAUUGAAGGCUUGGAGCAAGGGGCUUUGCUUGGAUUUGAAUUUCAUUUCAGUUAGGGCGUCCAUUGGAGGUAAUAUCUUGUUCUUGGUCUGAUUGUAUGUUGUUUAUUCAUUUUGGGGUUGUGGGAACUUGUCUAUGGAUGUAAUUGGAAGUCUAGAGGUUAGAUCUGAGGUUGCUACCUCAGAUCUGGAAUGGAGAAGAAUCAGAGAGCAUGAAAGUCCCUGUGUUGGAGUGUUUAGUGAAGCUUACAUGUCCCAAACCCUAAACCAAUGUGCAAAAGGCCUAGAUCUCUUUGGAUUCACGUAAAGUCUGCCACUUUACGUGAUGGAUGAGUUGUAGGAGGCUAGAUCUAUGUUUUGGAUCAAUUGCAUGGUCUGGAAUGCUUCUGUAUGGAUUCAGAUCGGUGGUACUCGGCGAGUCACAUGGGUGAACUCGACGAGUUGUUUGAAGAUGAGCUGGGACUCGGCGAGUUGGAAGAACAACUCGGCGAGUCGGAUGAAGAUGGCCUUGGACUCGGCGAGUUGUAUGAACAACUCGGCGAGUAGGUUGAAGAUAGCCAUAGACUCGGCGAGUCUGUUCUUGGACUCGGCGAGUCUUGUCGAAGAGUUCCGAUAUUCUCUGGUUGAGUCGAGAAUCGGUGAGUCAAGGGAUGACUCGGUGAGUUGUGUGCGAGAGGACUCAGAAGUUGUGGGACUCGGCGAGUCUCGGGGUGACUCGGCGAGUUAGGUCGCGGAUUGAGUGANNNNNNNNNNNNNNNNNNNNNNNNNNNNNNNNNNNNNNNNNNNNNNNNNNNNNNNNNNNNNNNNNNNNNNNNNNNNNNNNNNNNNNNNNNNNNNNNNNNNNNNNNNNNNNNNNNNNNNNNNNNNNNNNNNNNNNNNNNNNNNNNNNNNNNNNNNNNNNNNNNNNNNNNNNNNNNNNNNNNNNNNNNNNNNNNNNNNNNNNNNNNNNNNNNNNNNNNNNNNNNNNNNNNNNNNNNNNNNNNNNNNNNNNNNNNNNNNNNNNNNNNNNNNNNNNNNNNNNNNNNNNNNNNNNNNNNNNNNNNNNNNNNNNNNNNNNNNNNNNNNNNNNNNNNNNNNNNNNNNNNNNNNNNNNNNNNNNNNNNNNNNNNNNNNNNNNNNNNNNNNNNNNNNNNNNNNNNNNNNNNNNNNNNNNNNNNNNNNNNNNNNNNNNNNNNNNNNNNNNNNNNNNNNNNNNNNNNNNNNNNNNNNNNNNNNNNNNNNNNNNNNNNNNNNNNNNNNNNNNNNNNNNNNNNNNNNNNNNNNNNNNNNNNNNNNNNNNNNNNNNNNNNNNNNNNNNNNNNNNNNNNNNNNNNNNNNNNNNNNNNNNNNNNNNNNNNNNNNNNNNNNNNNNNNNNNNNNNNNNNNNNNNNNNNNNNNNNNNNNNNNNNNNNNNNNNNNNNNNNNNNNNNNNNNNNNNNNNNNNNNNNNNNNNNNNNNNNNNNNNNNNNNNNNNNNNNNNNNNNNNNNNNNNNNNNNNNNNNNNNNNNNNNNNNNNNNNNNNNNNNNNNNNNNNNNNNNNNNNNNNNNNNNNNNNNNNNNNNNNNNNNNNNNNNNNNNNNNNNNNNNNNNNNNNNNNNNNNNNNNNNNNNNNNNNNNNNNNNNNNNNNNNNNNNNNNNNNNNNNNNNNNNNNNNNNNNNNNNNNNNNNNNNNNNNNNNNNNNNNNNNNNNNNNNNNNNNNNNNNNNNNNNNNNNNNNNNNNNNNNNNNNNNNNNNNNNNNNNNNNNNNNNNNNNNNNNNNNNNNNNNNNNNNNNNNNNNNNNNNNNNNNNNNNNNNNNNNNNNNNNNNNNNNNNNNNNNNNNNNNNNNNNNNNNNNNNNNNNNNNNNNNNNNNNNNNNNNNNNNNNNNNNNNNNNNNNNNNNNNNNNNNNNNNNNNNNNNNNNNNNNNNNNNNNNNNNNNNNNNNNNNNNNNNNNNNNNNNNNNNNNNNNNNNNNNNNNNNNNNNNNNNNNNNNNNNNNNNNNNNNNNNNNNNNNNNNNNNNNNNNNNNNNNNNNNNNNNNNNNNNNNNNNNNNNNNNNNNNNNNNNNNNNNNNNNNNNNNNNNNNNNNNNNNNNNNNNNNNNNNNNNNNNNNNNNNNNNNNNNNNNNNNNNNNNNNNNNNNNNNNNNNNNNNNNNNNNNNNNNNNNNNNNNNNNNNNNNNNNNNNNNNNNNNNNNNNNNNNNNNNNNNNNNNNNNNNNNNNNNNNNNNNNNNNNNNNNNNNNNNNNNNNNNNNNNNNNNNNNNNNNNNNNNNNNNNNNNNNNNNNNNNNNNNNNNNNNNNNNNNNNNNNNNNNNNNNNNNNNNNNNNNNNNNNNNNNNNNNNNNNNNNNNNNNNNNNNNNNNNNNNNNNNNNNNNNNNNNNNNNNNNNNNNNNNNNNNNNNNNNNNNNNNNNNNNNNNNNNNNNNNNNNNNNNNNNNNNNNNNNNNNNNNNNNNNNNNNNNNNNNNNNNNNNNNNNNNNNNNNNNNNNNNNNNNNNNNNNNNNNNNNNNNNNNNNNNNNNNNNNNNNNNNNNNNNNNNNNNNNNNNNNNNNNNNNNNNNNNNNNNNNNNNNNNNNNNNNNNNNNNNNNNNNNNNNNNNNNNNNNNNNNNNNNNNNNNNNNNNNNNNNNNNNNNNNNNNNNNNNNNNNNNNNNNNNNNNNNNNNNNNNNNNNNNNNNNNNNNNNNNNNNNNNNNNNNNNNNNNNNNNNNNNNNNNNNNNNNNNNNNNNNNNNNNNNNNNNNNNNNNNNNNNNNNNNNNNNNNNNNNNNNNNNNNNNNNNNNNNNNNNNNNNNNNNNNNNNNNNNNNNNNNNNNNNNNNNNNNNNNNNNNNNNNNNNNNNNNNNNNNNNNNNNNNNNNNNNNNNNNNNNNNNNNNNNNNNNNNNNNNNNNNNNNNNCGGCUGCCGCGGCGGCUACAGUGGCUGUAGCAACGGCAAGGGGAGGAGCUGAUAGAGAUUUUCAGUAUCGGGACUUCGAUAAUGCGGAGCCUCCCGCCUUCGAUGGAUUUCAGGACCCGAUUGUUGCUAUGAGAUGGUUAUCGGACGGGGAGGGGUGUUUCUUCACGUGUUCAUGCCCUGCUGAUCUGAGGGUGAGGUAUGCUCUGAGCCUGUUGAGACUCGGGGUGAAGGAUUGGUGGAGAUUGACCACGGGGUCAUACUCGGAUGCGCAGAGGGCUGCGGUUUCAUGGGAUCAGUUCAGAGAGAUGUUCAGCACUCGAUAUGUUCCGCAAGUUGCGAGGGAGAGAUUGUCUUAGGAGUUCCUUGAGUUGAAGCAGGAUUCGGAGUCGGUGACUGAGAUCGCCAGGAUGUUCUUUGUGAGGGAGAUGUUUUGCCCUGAGUUCGCUUCGGAGCAGGCUCAGAUGUCCCGAUAUCUGAGUAUGUUCAGGGGGGAUAUCAGACAGUUCAUGUCUGCGCAGAGGUGUGAAACUUUGUUGGAGUUGUAGGAGGCCGCCAGGCGGCGUGAGUUAGAGGUUGAGUUGCAGUUGCGUGAGCUGAGGCAGGCUCCGAUGUAGUCGCAGCCGGUGCUGAAACGGUCCAGGACCGUUGAUGUUAGAAUGGGGAAUCUGAGUGGCCACACUUGUGGGAAGUGUGGGAGGGGUCAUACCAGAGUUUGUUGGUCCGGUGGUGCAUGCCGCAAGUGCGGAAAGGAGGAGCACUAUGCGCGGGUUUGUCGGCAGUCAGUGCCGGUUCGGGAUUUGAGGAUUUGUUAUCAUUGUUGUCAGGUUGGACAUUUGAGGGUCAACUGUCCACAGCUUUCUGCAGGACCGGUGCAGGCUCCAGCACCGACCACUUUGAGGAUUCCAGGAGGAGGUCAAGAUGGAGCGGAGCCCCCAAGGGCUCAGGGUCGUGCUUAUCAGCUUGCGGCNGAUCAGUGCCGGAGGCAGCUGCGGGUAUGUUUCUUUCUUGAUGUUUUGUUAUCUUGCGAUUAUGGUGGUGUAUUGUUUGUGCUCGUAUCUUUGUGUGGAUUUCGAUGCGGUAUUUGUCGUUUUGCGGGUUGAGGUUUGGCAUGGUUAUGGAUUUAUGUUUCGGGUUUUCGUCUUAGUAUCCGUUGUCCCUUGAGGGUUUGGCAUGGUUAUGGAUUUGUGUUUCGGGUUGGUAUCCGUUGUUCCCUGAGGGUUUGGUAUGAUUAUAGUUUGGUGUUUGUGCUAUCGUUGGUUAUCGUUCAUGAGGGUUAUUAGUGGAGAUGCGGCAUUGGGUUGAAUGUCGGGUAGCAUCCACAUUCGUGGAAGGGAUAAUUGGAGAUCGGAUUCUUUUGAGCGGAUUGAUCAGUGAGGAGAUGUGUUUUGCUGAGGGUUGCUUAUGCUUGUGGGAAGCAAUCAGUGUNGGGGUUGUUCUGGAAGGUCGUUAAUGGCGACCGGUGGUUGUUAGUCAGUGCUUUAAGUGGGGGAGAAUUGGAGAAUUCUCCGGGAGAUCGAUGAGUAUUUGAGGGUGCUUAGCUGUUGGGAUUCAGCAGUGUUCUGUCAGCCCAGAGUAUAGGCUGAUAGGAGCGAGUGUCGGGCAUGCGGGGCGAGAUACAGACCUAGAGCAUUUGAUUGUGGAGGCCUGGGAGCAGGCCGGGAUCAAGUUUGAGUAGGCAACCGGGGUUAUGUGAUCAGAGUAUUUGUAUGCUUUAUGUAUGUUAUGUGUUGUAUUGCAUUAUUUCUAUGUGAUUUAUGCUGUGCAUGUUUUCAGAGUUGGAACUGGAGGGUUCCUGGAGUUAGAACCGGAAGGUUCACAGAGUUAGAACUUGAGGGUUCAUAGAGUUUGGGUGUACGGACCCACAGAGUUAUAGCCUCGAGUGGCUAAUAUGUGUUAUGUGAGUCGGUCCAGUCAUGCUGGAGACUCUGUUGGUAUUGUUGGAUCAGUUUGAGAUUGCGGAUUGUGUAUGUUGCAGUGUGAUUGCAUUGGAAGGUCUGGCCCCGGGUAGUGAUCUUGUUUAGUUGAGGUAGUGCAUGGGCUUGAGAGUCCCUGCGAGGAGAGUCAGAGUAAGUGUGUAGGAUGGAUAGCGGAGACGCUAAAGGGUGGUGUAGCGUUAGACGUGCACCGUGGCAUUUUCCGGAGUGACAUUGUGGCCAAGUGGAUUCCUUGGUAAAGGAAGAGAGAGAGGUAGGAGGUGUGUAACUCCGAGAGGGAGUGCAAGUUCACGGAAGUGAAAGCGGCAGAGCAGAGUUAUGAUUAGAGUAAUUCGAGUUUGGUUACUGAGCAACGUGUUUGCGGCAGUGGAGUAGAAGCUCAUCCGGUUUGGAAUGUCUGCUGAGGUCGCGGAGGGAAAUCCGCAAGUGUAGAGCCAAGAGGCUCGGAAGGGAUGCAGAGAGAGAGAGAGAGAGUCUUAGACUCUCAGUGUGAUUCUGAUCAGGGUAUGGGGUGUAUAUUAGUGGUUCAUCCUGUGGGGAUGUUUGAGGAUAUUAUCAGUGUAUCAGGUUUUCCCAACCUGAGGGUGUUAGAGCUGGUUCAGCUUGUGUGUGUGGUUGCAAGGGGAGAACUCAUGAGAGUUGCUUUGAGAUUAAGAAUGGGUCUCUCAGUCGUCCCGGAAUGGAUAGAGUGGGAUUCGGAUCGGGGAUCCGAUGGUUCAUGGUUUUCUAACCCUUAUGGGUCGAGCGAUUAUUGAGAUUUGGGGCAGUGAUGCAUCUUGGGUAAUUCUCGGUUGUUGAGAGUGAUGAUCAGGGGGUAGAGUCGGUGCCCGGUUCGAGACGAUGGUCAGGACACCAUGAAGGAAGGGAAACUGUGCGAGUUUAGAUAAGUAUGCCUUGAGGGAUCUGGUCUGGUUAAGGCUAGGUGGAGCGUUGUGGGAGUAUCCUUGGAGUUGAGUUGCUGUAGGCGUCGAGGGCGAAGCCUAAUUUAAGUGGGGGAGAAUUGUAACAUCCCAAAAUAUCAAGAGUAGAGUUGAAGGGCUAAAAGAGUAAGUUAUGGAAGAGUGACUCGGCGNGGACUCGGCGAGUACAGUCGCGAAUUUGGUCGCGUGUUAAGAAGCCGACUCGGCGAGUCGAUGAGAUGGACUCGGCGAGUAGGCGCUGGGUGGAGAAAACCCUAAUUCCCGGGGUUAAGCCCUAUAUAAAGAACAUAACAGCCCACUCUCAGCCUCUUUAUUCAUCUCCAAGUCCUGAAACCCUUAGCCUUCGUGUGUGAGUGAUCCUAUCUCAAUCGGGAGCUUGAAGGAGAUGAUUAUUGAAGGAAUUUUGGGAGAUUGAAGGCUUGGAGCAAGGGGCUUUGCUUGGAUUCAAAUUUCAUUUCAGUUGGGGCGUCCAUUGGAGGUAAUAUCUCGUUCUUGGUCUGAUUGUAUGUUGUUUAUUCAUUUUGGGGUUGUGGGAACUUGUCUAUGGAUGUAAUUGGAAGUCUAGAGGUUAGAUCUGAGGUUGCUACCUCAGAUCUGGAAUGGAGAAGAAUCAGAGAGCAUGAAAGUCCCUGUGUUGGAGUGUUUAGUGAAGCUUACAUGUCCCAAACCCUAAACCAAUGUGCAANNNNNNNNNNNNNNNNNNNAAUGCUUCUGAAAGGAUUCAGAUCGGUGGUACUCGGCGAGUCACAUGGGUGAACUCGACGAGUUGCUUGAAGAUGAGCUGGGACUCGACGAGUUGGAAGAACAACUCGGCGAGUCGGAUGAAGAUGGCCUUGGACUCGGCGAGUUGUAUGAACAACUCGGCGAGUAGGUUGAAGAUAGCCAUAAACUCGGCGAGUCUGUUCUUGGACUCGGCGAGUCUUGUCGAAGAGUUCCGAUAUUCUCUGGUUGAGUCGAGAAUCGGUGAGUCAAGGGAUGACUCGGUGAGUUGUGUGCGAGAGGACUCAGAAGUUGUGGGACUCGGCGAGUCUCGGGGUGACUCGGCGAGUUAGGUCGCGGAUUGAGUGAGCUCUGAGUAUGGGAACUCGGCGAGUCAUCGGGUUGACUCGGCGAGUAGGGUCAGUCAGGGGUUGACUUUGACGUUGUCUUUGACCAAGGGUUAACCAGUGGUUUCCAGGGGUAUUUUGGUAAUUGUUGUUUAUGGUUUUGAGUUCAGUGCAUUGGUGGCUGUCCAGUGGUGGAGAUCGUAUCAGUGAUCGGAGCAGCUUGAGUUACCUGUUCUGUAGGCAGUUUCAAGGUGAGUUAUCCUCACUAUAUCGAUAGGGUUUAUGGCACCAAGGCCAACCCUUUUUAUCGGAUGGAAAUCCGGAUAGUUGUCAGUUAUUAUGUUAUGGGCCGGAAGGCGUUAUAUGUUGUGGGCCGGAAGGCAUUUGCGAUGUGGACCGGAAGGUCAUGGCCUGGAAAGGCGUAUGUGUGCAUUUAGUAUGUUGUCUGAUUUGUAGGGUGAUGUUAUGCUAGUGACCGGCUAGGCUGGUAUCUUGGUUAGGGUAAUGCUAUGUUAUGUGAUCUGUUGAUCGAUUGCUGACUGUGAGUCGUUAUAUGAUUAUGUGUUAUGUGCAUGAUUGCUAGGUCUGGGGUGUGACCCGGUAUGCGGGUUCGUUCUAUGUUUUGUUAUGAUAUGUAUACUUUUUAUGUUAUGGGCCGGAAGGCAACAUGUUAUGGGGCGGAAGGCAUUGCGUUAUGGCUGGAAGGUGAUAUGUUUUGGACCGGAAGGUCGUGGCUUGGAAGGGCGUAUAUGUGUUUGGUAUAUUGGGGGUAUCUCACUAAGCUUCUGGGCAUACAGUUGUGGUUUUAUGUUUUCAGGUUCUCAGGAGUCUGUGGCAAGGCAAAGGCGUGAUCGUAUCGUUCCUCGCGUUGGUGUUUUAUGAUAUGAACCUGGGAAAAUACUCUGUAAAAUAAUGUAUUGAAAACCUUUUGUAAAGAUUUUAUGGAAUCGAGAUGUUUUUGAAAAAUUUAAAAUUGGUUGUAUUUUUCGGUCGUUACAAAAGUUUAGUUCCAUUCACGGAUUGUUUUGAACAUCUUAAACUUUUUAUUUUUCAAAACUUUACAAGGUGAAAAUAGUUCAGGUUUACACCUUUCUAAUGAGUACUUGCACAAGUUCAUACGAUUUUUCUACAAAUUAUGACGAAUUUUACAAAACUGCCUAUCAUUUCAGCAAACAGUUUUGGACCAGUCUGUUAAGUUGCACAUUUUCACACAAGUUAAAGGUCACUAAAAAUCAUUAUAAAAAUUAUGAAAAAACUAGACACAAUUUCUAAACUCUCAGAAUUUACGGAUUCUGAUUUCAACUUUCAAUGAUUUUUCUAUAGUUUUUCUAGGAACAGAUUAGAAAAGCUAAAACUAGAAAAUAGUAAACAAGUUCAUUUACACUUUGUAACCUAUUGAGCAAAGUGUGUAUUAUUGUAUAAAUACACACUUUGCUCAAACAUCAUCUUUCCACAAUAAAGUUUAGUUCUAUUCACGGACUGUUUUGAACAUCUUAAACUUUUUAGUUUUCAAAACUUUACAAGCUGAAAAUAGUUCAGGUUUACACCUUUCUAAUGACUAAUUGCACAAGUUCAUACGAUUUUUCUACAAAUUAUGACGAAUUUUACAAAACUGCCUAUCAUUUCAGCAACAGUUUCAGACUAGUCUGUGAAGUUGCACAUUUUCACACAAGUUAAAGGUCACUAAAAAUCAUAAUAAAAAUUAUGAACAAACUAGACACAAUUUCUAAACUCUCAGAAUUUACGGAUUCUGCUUUCAACUUUCAAUGAUUUUUCUAUAAUUUUUCUAGGAACAGAUUAAAAAAGCUAAAACUAGAAAAAUAGUUAACAUGUUCAUUUACACUUUGUAACAUGUUGAGCAAAGUGUGUAUUAUUGUAUAAAUACAUGUUGUUUGUAUUUCAUGUCUUAUACCUUCGUAAGAAGGUGUGCAUCAUAUACAAAGGAUUUUUAUCACUGCAAACUCACUAUAAAAAGUUCCGUUUACAUUAUAAAAAGGAUUUUCAUUAACACUACACGUAAACUCGUUAUCAUAAAUUGUGAGACAUAACUUCAUUGUACUCUUAGAGUGAUGGUAAAUUUCAUGUAGUUAUAGCCAGAGUCUCUUGUAGGGAGAGCGUGAUAGUUGUGUAUAGAUCUAUAUUGGGAUUGACAACUCACACCUUAGUUGCAUGUAACAGCCUGACCGGCCAGUCAGGGGUGACAAAUUUCAUAACAUUCCGACGCCUGAAGAAUGUCGUAGCAGGUCAUCUAUGUCAUAACAUGGUUAUAACGACUCGCACAGGGAGAUAACGAAACAUAUACUUUACGGGGAUUCUUCAUCUAAAAAGGGUUUUAUGUUGAUUUAAAACCACAUUUACUACUAUAAGUAUGGAAAUUUACUUGUACAUUUCGGUCUUUGGGUAUUAAGACUACAACUCAUUUCAUAAGGAAAAUAUUGGAUUUUUCUUGAAACAUAUACAUUCAUUUACACAGAAAGGUUUGCAAUCCUACAUGCAAAAAGCUUAUGCACUCACCAACUUAAUUGUUGACAUUCUUUCAAAAUUACUUGUAUUCUCAGGAAAUCAAUGAAAUCAGGUAACUACAAGCUUUUGUGGAAGGAACGCUUCGACGUUUGACAAACUAUUUUGAUAUUAUGUUGUAAUCGAUUUUGAAACACGUAGCAUUUGAAAACACGUAACCCUUUUGAUAAUAUUUAUGAUUGGUUGCAUUUAAUGUGAUCACAAUUAUACUCAUUUGUCAUGAUACUAUGAAUGAAGUCCUCCACCCCCAGACGUUUCCACCAUUCGAGGUUUGGGGGUGUGAAAUAAGGAAUCUGACGAUAUCAGGCUCAAGGAGCCUGUUUGAGGCCAUACAGGGAUCUCUGCAACAAGUUGACAUGAGUUGGGAGGUUCGGAUCAUCGAAACUUGGAGGCUAAUGCAUAUACAUUGUUUCCUAAAAAUGAAUGUGAAGAAAUGAAUUGUUCACACCAAGCUGAUGAACAUGCCAGUGGUGGGAUAGAGCCAAACUAAGGAUCAUCCGAAUGGUAUCCAGUUUGACGAUCGGGUUAAAGGUCUCAUCAGAAUCAAUGUCUAGCCUUUGACUGUGACCAUUGGCAACAAGUCUUGCUUCAUACCGGAAUAGAGAUCUAUCUACAUUAUGUUGCUUUUGAAUAAAAAAAAUACAAUUAACCAUGAUGGCACUAGGAGGCCAAGGCACAAGCACCUAAUUUCUGUUAGAAAUAAGUGCAUCCUAUUCUUCUUUCAUAGCGUUUAGCUAGUUAUUAUCUCAAAAAGCUUUGAAAUAAUUGUGAGGGAUAUGAUAGGAGGAGGAUUCAAUGUGAAGAUUGAGUUUUUGAAUGAGGUUGGAGAUGUCAUCAUGAGACUGAGUGACCAUUGGGUAAGACUGAGGAGGGACGGUAAAAAGAGGAUGGGAUGGAGGGUGGUGGCCAUGAUUAUUACUGUUACAGAGUGGUAUAAUAAACUUUUAAAGGAAUAUGGGGGUGAGUUUUGUGUUUGAUGAUGGAGAUAACUAGGAUGAAGAAGAAGAAGAUGCGUUAGGUUAUUACAAAUCAUGGAAUCGCAUAAUUGGUGGAGAUCUCUCUCUUUUUCAAAAAACAACAUGACAAUACAUCAUAUACAACUGGCGGGUUUUUCAGCCCCUUAUGUUACAAUGUAUCCAUAUCAUCCUAAAUUUGUUCCAAACGGCCCUAACUAUCAAGGUAGAUGUCAUUUUUAUUAUUGUUAUGUUUUUGUAUAAAAUGUCCUGAGUCACCUUACCCAUGACCUAACUUCUUUAAAUAGAUGGAUAAUGACCCCAUUAAAUUUUAAUACAUGGAUCAUAACCUAAUUCUUUUAAAUAAAUGGAUCAUAUGACCUAAGUCCGCCCAUUAAUUAUUGAUUUUAUUAACCUCAAAAUAUGUUAUUCCCUUUGAGGUUUACCUACACCAGACGAGCUAAGUCUCAAGUGUUUGACUGGUAGGGUUGACGUUUACUUGUAUUACAAUAAGUCUGAGUUGGGAAGCAUAAUUUGGUCUUUUCCUUAAGUCAGUUAGUAUAGUGUUAGCAUUGGAGGAGGAAAUUUCUUGUUCAGUUGAACCUAGUUCAUUGCGAGAGACCUGCCCUCUCAAAAGGCAGAUGUCAUAAUUGUAAUCCUUCUUUCUAGUACAUUAAUCAUUUAGUAAAGAGUAAUCAGUUCAAUCUUACAGAUCUAGAUUACUCCAAAAUGGUCUAGGAUGUAACAAAAUAAAAAUAGUUAUAACCUUGCAAUAGAUGCUUGAAAAUGGCAACAUCUAAAUGUAGUUGGGGCAUGAAAUUUGUCUAAUGUUGUUUUAACUAUUUACAUGCAAACCUCAAAUCUUUACUUAAGAGGAGCAUGUCAAGCAACUGUACAGUUAGGGCUCUAAAUUCAGAGUUAAGGCAUGCUUUCUUCAAAAGUAUAUGCAUAGCUCCUCCACAUGUUGACUUUUUUUUUUCUUAACUACAAAUCUAGCCACUUUUUUUCAUAAUUUAAUAAAAGCUUUGUUUUCUAUUUAUCAUUAUUUGUAUACACAUUGCAAGAAAAGCUUAUAACUCCAGUGGGUGCAAUCUUUGGGAUAAAGUAUUUACAUAUAAAAACAUUUUACACAUUAAUUUGAACCAAUCAUUAUAAAGUUAGAAAAAUCAUAUUACUAUAUAAAUUAAUAAAUGUUUGAAAAUCAUUAAUUAGUGAUUAUAACUACAAAGUAUUAAUAUUAUUUUAAUUUACUAACUGCGGUUACUACGAGUUAGUUUAUAAAGAAGCAAACCACUUAAAUAUACCUUUUUCACUAUUCAAAUACUAGAAAUCACUUGACCAUCUUCUUAACAAACCAUUAUUAUAACCACAAAAAAGAAGAAAUAUGAACAACAAGGUCUAAGAUGAGAGAGAGUCGAUACUCAUAAUUUUCUCAAGCCAACCCCACUUCUUAAAAUUUGGACAAUUUUACGCAUACAACUAGUCUAGGAAUGACAUUUAUUAUUAAAAAAUUGAAAUGAAAUGAGAAUGAAAUUUAAAGAGUAAAAUGGAAUAAAAUGUGUGGUUUUCAAUUGGUACGAAGAGAGUAUUUAUAAUGAUAUAAAGGAGAAAAAAAAGGAAAAAAAAUGAAAAUGUAACUGUUAGAACGCGUUCCACAAACCUUUAACCUUCUUCUAACGGUAACCAAUGCGCUCAAAUCCAUCUCCUCGGCGGUACCGCCCGUCACCCGUCGGAGCCUACUUCUGAGACCCUCCACUCUAAUAAAUAUCAUUAUUAUCUUCCAAUUUUAAGUAUCAUGAUAAGUUCUGUGUUGACUUUGGGUUGACAUAAUGAAUAUCAAUUAUUUUCUCUAAAAUUCUCCUUGCUAAUCAUUAUUUUGUUGAAAUGUACCUUUUCCUUAUGAGCAUAAUUACUUUAUUAAAUUUAGCUUGCCUUGAUAAAUAUCUUUUAUUUUCGUGAAGUUUACAUUGUCUUAAUAAAUAUCAUUACCACUUUAAUAAUUAUCAUUUCUAAUUCCACAAUAAAUAUCAUUAAAUAGUUUUCUUUAAUAAUUAUUAGACAACAUUACAAAAAUGGUCCCUGUGGUUUGCCGAAAAUCACGAAGUCAGUCUCUGUUAAUUUUUUUUUGAUGUAAAUGGUCCUUGUGGUUUGCAAAACUUGCAAAGAUGACUCUUUUUACUAACACCGCUAGUAUUCAGCCGUUAGGAACUAAACCUGUGAGGGUAUUUUCGUCUUUUCAAGUAUAAAUGAAUAUAUUCGAACUUUGGACCUCCUACCUUUCUCCCUUAAUCAACCAAAGUUUUAACCAAUUAGGCUAGAGACGCACUUGAUUUAUAUUUUCGAAAACUAACUAAUAUUAUCUACAAAUCGUAAAUAAAUUAAUAAUAAAAUAUUAAAAAAAACAUAUUUUUUAAAAAAAAAAAAAUAAAACAAAAUAUAUUUUUAGCGUAUUGUAAAAAAAAAUAAAAACAAUUAUUUGUUUUUUUACGUAUUUAAAAAAAUAAGUUUUCGUAUACUUUUAAAUACAUAAAAAAAUAACGUAAUAACAUAUUCUACAAAAACAUAAUCCUAAAAAACAUAAAAAAAAGUUUUUGUAUAUAUUUAUUUUAUGUGAAGAUUCAGUUUCUAACGGCUGAAUACUAACGUAAAAAGGGUCAUUUUUGCAAGUUUUGCAAACCACAAGGACCAUUUACAUUAAAAAAAAAAUUAGUAGGGAUUGACUUUGUGACUUUUGGCAAACCAUAGGGAUAUUUUUGUUAUUAUGUCUAAUUAUUAUUAUAGAAAAGAAUUGAAAAAAAAAAAAAAAGCGACACCAUCAAGGCAUCGAAGGAAAACCCAACACCCUCGUUGACUCUCCUCUCUGGUCGUCUCCCUUCCUCGUUGACUUGCUGUUUCCCUGCCGACUUAACGCGGUUCGCUCUGUACUUUUCACUCUUCAUCGAUCUUUCUCAGACUCGUCACUGUUGGUUCAUCCUUUAUCGCUGCUGUUUCAGUUCUCCUUGUCAUCCUGUAUGCUUCUUAAUUACAAGUUGUUAGACAAUUUCAUCUUAUGAAUCAUAAAUCACAUCAUAAUCGUUUGGUUAUUUCACUAAAAGGUGAUUGAAUAUUGUCUAUUUCCAUUAUUUUUGUUUUAUUUUAUAUAUCAAUUAGGAUAGUCCACACUCCUUCUAGCUAAAGUCAAGUACGAUGAACAAAAUUUCCUGCACGUUGAGAAUUCUUUGAUCCUUUAAAAUUUCUUCCUCAAUUCCUCUAUAUUUUCUAAUUCACAACACGAUUUUUAGAUUUGAUUCUUUUUGAAUGAUGUUUAUGAACAAGCUUCAAUAUUUGACUGUCAUAAUGAGUGUUUUGCUUGUGUAUAGACUAAAGAGUGCAUUUAGCUUUGAAGUUUCUUCUAUUAUUGAGUUUGAAAUUGAACCCUUAGAAAGGGCAAAGUGGAAGGCGUGUUUUGUUGGCUUCAGAAACAUAUCAUUUGGAACAACCCCAUCAAUAUUGUUAGUUGAAACACUUAAAAUAAGAUUUAUGCUGAUACUAGAUCCAGUUAUAUAUGAAUUUUAAAUUUGUGUAGAUUGUUGUUGCUAAUUUUGGAGAUCCAUAAUUAAACAACCUUGUCAAGCAAGUGCUGUUUUUUUUGUUUAAAACUUUACAUCUUUCAAUUGUAUGUUGAUAUCUAGUAAAAGCUUGAAAUUUCCUGUAUGUUUUGCAAUUUCCUUCAUGGGAGGUAAUAGUGGAUCUUGUAGUUAUUUCCAGAAUGGUAUUUUGGUGUAGAUUUGUUUGAGGAUUACUUUACUGAAAUUCAUAUGGAUUUUACUUAGACAAAUAAGGAUCUUCAUGUGGGCUAAUCAAAUUAAAACAGAGGCGUUGUAGUUUCAAUGCAUAAAUUGGUUUGUUUUUUUUUUUUCUUGAAUCUAAACUUAGCCAGAAAAACAGGUUAACCAAUUUAGUUUAAUUGGUAACAGCAUUUAAAAUAAAUUUCAUGGCAAUGUAAUGGUUAUUCUAUAUCCAUACUUUGUUUUUGUGGGAAAAAAUAUUCUAUAUAAAUACUUAGUUAGCUAUAUAUGUGUUGGCUAAAGGAUCCAAAAACCUGUCACAUAAUUAUUAUUGCCAUGAGAUUGCUGUUGUAGUGAUUUAACAGCCUCUCUUUGUAUUUCAAACACGGCAGCAACCGCUUAAUGCUUAUUCUUUUGUGUUCCUUUUCCAGUGUUUAUUUGAUGAGAUUUAAGUUGCAUAUUAUAAAUAUUAAUAAUUUGGAUUUUAUGUACAGGCUUUAUUUGAACCACAAGUUAAGUGUUUCUAGCUAAUUGAGAUACACAAAGGCUCAUCAACCCAAAACUCAUAAUGGUUAUUCUCUCUGAACUCCUCUCAGAAGGAUCUUCAUCUUCUUCAUCAACUCAUGGUUAUAGUCCAUCAGCUUGUGUUCCUACUUCAUCAACUCAUAAUCAUAGAUAUGAUGUAUUUUUAAGUUUUAGAGGUGUUGACACUCGUCAUAGUUUCACUGAUCACCUUCAUAAAGCCCUCAUUGAUGCCAAUAUCACUACGUUCUUGGAUGAUGAAGAGAUUGAAACAGGGGAAGAUCUGAAACCAGAACUGGAGACUGCAAUUAAGGCAUCUCGGGGUUCUAUCAUUGUGAUAUCUAAGAAUUACGCUUCUUCAACAUGGUGUCUGGAUGAAUUGGUGUUGAUCCUUGAGCAGAAUAUGACAUCUGAUCAUAUUGUUAUCCCCAUAUUUUAUCAUGUUGAGCCCACCCAUAUCAGGAAGCAACAAAGUAGCUUUGGAGAUGCAAUGGCUAAGCAUAAACAGAUGAUGGAGGCAGAGAAAAAUGCAUAUAAAAAAAGUCAAUGGGUUCAAAAGAUGGACCGAUGGAAUAAAGCUCUUAUUGAAGUAGCUAAUUUAAAAGGAAAAGACGUCAAUGGAAGGUAACCAAUAUUCUUCAAUUUUGUUUGAUUAACACAUGAAUGUUAGUAUCAUCUUCUCCCAAUGCAUUUCAAUAANACAUAUAUAUAUAUAUUUGAUGUAUUAGGAUAUAAAGUCCACACAUUUUUUUUAUGCAUUUUGUGUUUCAUCAUAAGUUAGUUCAUUUAGACAAACCGUUCCAAUUAUUUUGUAUGCUUUCUAUUAAGAAAACAAGAUUUGAAGGGUUUGCUAUGCAUCUACUAUUACUUAUACCAUACCACCUUAUAAUCAUAGUGUCUUUUAUGAUAAAUAACUUCUCUUACCUUUAAGCAGUAAAAUAUUACCUAUAACUGCAUGGCACUUUUUUCAAAACACGCCACAAUGAUAGUUAUGAUGGUCUUGUGUAAAUGCAGUGAAGUUAGGUUGUCCAUUAGUGAAAUCUGGUAUUACAUUGGCAUCUUUUACCUUAUUAUACAUAAAUAUUUAUGACCUUGCACAUUGGAACUUGUAUGGUUAGAACAUAGAAGUGUAAACACAAUAUCAUUUUUUAAUGUGAAGGACUUGAUUAAAAUUAAUAGCUAUGAUAUAAUUUUGAUUUUGGUUCUUUGGACAAAUUAAAUCUCCAAAUCCAGUUUGUUAGUUCUGUGGUUCAUAUAAAAUCUGAUUUCAGGCUAGAGACGGAAUUUAUUGAAGAAAUUGUGAAGGACAUCCACCGUAGGUUACAUGUACCCUCAAGGAGUGUUCGACAACAACUUAUUGGGAUGGACUAUGAGAUUAAGUUCAUAACUUCAUGGUUGAAAGAUGGAUCCUCACAUACGGCAGACAUACUCACUAUUUAUGGUAUAGGAGGGAUUGGGAAGACAACUUUAGCCAAACAUGUCUAUGGGCUAUAUGCUCACAAAUUCCACAAAAGCAGCUGUAUUGAAGAUGUUAGUAGGGUAUGUGAUGGAAAGUUUAAUGGGUUGCUUGAUUUACAAGAAAAACUAAGCAGUGACAUUUCAAAAACAAGUUCCGUUAAAGUUCAUGAUGCUUCGGUAUACACCUCAAAGAUAGAGAAUGCAGUAGCACGUAAAAGGGUGUUUCUUGUUCUUGAUGAUAUUAGCACGCUUGAUCAGUUGGAUGCGUUACUUGGAAGCAAAGGUUUUCAUCCCGGAAGCAAAAUAAUUAUAACCACAAAGGAAAGACGUUUGAUAGAGAGGUGUGCACUAUUCAAAACAGACAUUAAACCAAAGCAUACAAAGCUCUUGCUUCAAGGCUUACAUGAGACCGAAUCAUGGAAACUUUUGUGUCUCCAUGCAUUCAAAUGCAACUAUCCCAAGACAGGUUAUGAAGGGGUGUUAUAUAAGCUUGUGAAGUAUUGUCAAGGACAUCCAUUGGCUCUUGUAGUAUUGGGAAAAUCUCUAUAUGAUCGAGAUGUAACUUAUUGGGAAGGGUGCAUAGAAGGGCUAAAGAAAGAAACAGAUUCUCAUGUGAAUAAUGUCUUGAGAAUGAGCUUUAACUCUUUGCCAUCCAAAAAUGAUAAGGACUUGUUUAAGUAUAUUGCUUGUUUUUUUGUUGGAAUAGAUAGAGAUGUUGCUGAAACAAUAUUAAAGGCAUGCAAUAUAAACAUAAGAUCUGGAAUCCCGAAUCUCCUCGACCGAUUCCUUCUUUCGAUUGGAUGGAAAAACAAAUUGAAGAUGCAUCAGUUGGUUCAAGAGAUGGGAAGGUUCGAAGUACGUCAAGAAUCACAUGACAAGCCAUGGAAGAGAAGUCUAUUAUGGUGUCAUGAGGAGUCAUUCAGAGUAUUAAAACAAAAAAAGGUAAGAGGUCAUAUGUGGUUUUAAAAGUAUGCAUGUUAAAAAUAUUGUGUAUGGUCUCAACUUUUUAUUUACAUUAUGUUUCUUCUUAGGGUAAGGGAAAUCUUGUUGGCCUUGCCCUUGACAUGCGCAUGCUUGAGAAAGAGAUGUUGGGUGCAUCAUAUAAGUUAAAAACAGAUGCAUUAAGUAAGAUGGAUAAUUUGAUGCUACUACAACUCAAUUAUGUUCACAUGAAUGGGUCUUAUGAGAACUUUCCACCGGAACUAAGAGGUUUGUGUAUGCAUGGGUUUCAUUUGAAGUAUAUACCUUCAGAACUACCUAUGGAGAAUCUUGUUGCUCUUGACAUGUCAUAUAGCAAUAUUGAAUCAUUUAUCGGUUGUUAUAGUAAUCCACAACGACUUGAGAAGAGGCAAAAGGUAACUUAUCUUCAUUUAUUAUUUUUCCAUGUUUAGUUGAAUUUCACUCCCAUUCUAACUUCUUUCCGUUUUUAUAGUUGGAUGGAUCAUGCUUAAAAAACAAAAGGUUGCUUGGAUCAUUGAAGGNAUUUUUCCAUGUUUAGUUGAAUUUCACUCCCAUUCUAACUUCUUUCCGUUUUUAUAGUUGGAUGGAUCAUGCUUAAAAAACAAAAGGUUGCUUGGAUCAUUGAAGGUUCUUAAUUUAAGUUUCUGUAAACAACUUUGUAGUCUUGGUGACUUUGACCAAUUUCCAGCUCUGGAGAGGUUAAUAGUCAGAAAUUGCACUGGUUUGCUUGAGGUUAGUGAAUCAAUUGAGCAGUGUGUUGAACUUGCCCUCAUAGAUCUAAGCUACUGCAAGCAGCUUAAAAACCUUCCAAGAAUCAUAGGCAUGCUAAAGAAGGUUAAAACAAUGUUGCUAGAUGGUUGUAAUCUGGGUGAAUCUCAAACUGAGGAUACAAAUUUAGAUAUGGAUUCACUGGACAUGUGCAAUGCUAACAAAAACAUUAGCAUAAGCACAAGAACCUCUUCCACCACCUUUGUGGGUGCUAUGCCAAGCCAUUUGAAGUUUUUUUCAAGUUCUUUGUUGAGAUCUCUAGUAAGGCUUUCGCUUGCAAAUAAU
rnacentral:lncRNA from 1 species